AUAAAUAGAUGAUGCAUUAUUCAUCAAAGCAUCAAAUACUGUUAGUGGGUGAAAGAGAUUUCUCGUUUUCUUUUGCUUAUCGCAGAAAUUUGGCUCUGCUUCUAACAUCUGGGAUUCUUCUCUUACUUCUUAUGGUAAUUCAUUCAUUUCUCUAAUCUCUUUUUCUUCUCUUGCAUCUUUUUUUUCUUUAGAAUUUCUUUUCAUCAUAUGAUGUGGCAAAAAUUACCCUGUUUAUAAAUCUUUAUCCUCAAUUUGAUUUGUUAAAUUGUCACUUAAUUUGUUGUGUAAUCGUAAAGAAAUGAUCAAUUUUACAGGAAAAUAGUAAAAUGACCCGGAAAACCAGGAAAAUGUAUUAUUAAUGCCUCUGUUUUUUUUUAAUUAAUAAUUAGAUUUCAUAUGAUGGGAGGCCAAAAUGACCCUUUACAAAUCUUUAUCUUCAAUUGGAACUGUUUUACUUCAAAAUUGGAACUAUUAAAUAAGAGUGGGCAUUAGUACAAAAGUUAAAUAUAACAGUCCGGUCCCUUCUUUAUAAGGUGGAUAUGAUUUCAAGAUCACAUGUAUUUAGAGGGGCGAAACUAGGAACUUUUUUCAAGCUGGUGGUUAGACUAAUUUUUAAGUUAAAGAAAAAAGAAUCUUAAAGUAAAGCUAUUGAAUUAAACCAUAACAAUUAGUUCACAUUUUUAGAUUUUAAAAAUAUUUUGUGAAUUUUGUUUAUUUAAAAAUAAAAGUUAUCAAACUUCAAAACUGUGACUACAAUACUCCAUGAGUGCCAUACUUCACAACCUGGCACCGCUAGAUGGAUCUAGAUUAUUGACUUUUAUUUACUUUUUAUUUAUCUAAUGAUGCUUAGUCUACAGAGUACGGUACCCUUAGAAAUCAUAAAUAGACACUUUAAAGAAUUAAAAGAUAAAUGAGUGAUAAAUAUCUUGUUAUAAUUAGUUUACUUGAGAUCAAAAAUAGAUUUUUAAAAUAAGAUGGAGUGGGGAAGAAGUUGGGAAAAAUGACCGUGUCCAAAUUUUAAGAUAGCUUGAGUGAUAAACUUGUAAAUUAUGCUAUGAUGUUUUGUAAAAAAUAACAGUGGUAGCCCAAUUGGGAAUAAAUUAUUCUAUCUUAACCAAGGUUUUCGGUUUGAGAUUUGGGAAUGCAGCUGCGUUAAAUACUUGUUGAAAGAGCUUUACCACCCCAGUGGUCCUAUUGGGCUCGAAUCUGGAUUAGUCAGGAUUCAAUGUGGUCUUCGGAUACCAAAUGAUUUAAUACACAAAAAAAAACAAUGGUAGCUAGUUUUAUAAAUUCUACAUGGUAAUUUGUGAACAACAUAGAAAAAAACAAAAAAACUAAAUAAUAAUAAUAAUAAUAGUAAUAAUAAUAAUAAUAAUAAUAAUAAUAAUUUACGUAUCUUGCUUAUUUGGAAGUCAACAUAAAUUGUAUAUUUGGAUGGACUAGAAACUGUGAUUCAGAAAUUCAAGGAGGCACGGUCAAAUUUGGACACCCUAAAGAAGCUGGAAGUGUCCAUUCUCCAUGGGUUGAUGCAACUGAAAUGAAGGAACAUCCUGAAUUUAGCAAGCGGAAGUUUGAUAGAAUAAUUUGAACUUCCCCCAUGCUGGCUUUCAUGGAAAGGAAGAAGACGACAAAGCUAUUCGUGAGCUGCCAGGUAAGUCCAUUGGACAUAUGUGUCAAUAUAGUGAGUUAAAAAUGGUUAUCAUAAGAGGGAACUUCAAGUGAUUCGUAUUUCUUAAUAAUUCAACUAGUUAAGCAUAUACUAAGGAGUUGUUUAUUUCUUAAUAAUUAAUAACCUAUAAUUCGGAAGUACAAUCCACUACAAUCUAUCAAUUGGUUAAUCCCAAACAUGUACUAAGGAGUUGUUUAUUUUUAUCUAAAGCCUGAAUUUUACUUAUUUUCAGACAUUGAUAGUUUUUAAUUUUUUUUUUCUAUUGCUUAUGUCUAAUUAAAAUAUGUUUAGGUGUGAAUAGAAAAAGUUAAAUAUUUUGAUUUUUAUCUGAAUGGUAAAACAUAUGAAUAGAGCUUUAAUAUUCUCUCUUAUUAUUACCCCUUUAAAUAAAUUUAUUUUCUAUUAUACAAAUUAUUCUUUAUUUUUUUAAUUAUGCUUUUUUUGUUAUAUGCCUGUAUUCAACUUUUUUUUUUUGUGAGUGAGAAUUUUAACAUAAUAAAGCGUUUAGGUGAGGGUGUUUUAUAAUGGUCUAUCUUUUUGUAUUUAUAUUUACUAUUCUUAAAAUAGAUCUUAUACUGAUUAUUCUCAUUCUCCGUAAUUUAUUGUACCGAAUGUUCUAAAACCUACCUAGCAUUAACGAGUGAAAUAGAAAUUUCGGGAAGCCAAGAAAGUUUGUGUGCACUGAAUGCCUCUACUUUGUAAGUUCAAUUGAUCUCCUCUUAGUUGAAGUAGAUGAUAGUAAAUAGUAUCUGAGUUUCAUUUCAGAUUCCAAAAACAAUCCUCCAUUUGAAUAGUUAAGUAGAGAUCCGCAUUGCUUUCUUUUUCUUUAGAGGAAUGGCUGACUCCUUUGAUCAUGAAACUAUGUCACGGCUAUCACAAAAACCCGAGUAAUUCUAUUCAUAGAACCAAAAUAGAGUUGAGUUGGUGCUCCUUCAUUUUGACUGAUUUAUUAUGAUGCAUAACAACAAAUGAUGAGAUGGUAUCUGAUAUGAUAAUGAGAAUUAGUCGUCAACGAGAAAAUUAAUUUCGCAAGAACACGGUUGGUCGCAGAACUCUCCUAGUCCUUGGAAGUAAUUUAAAGGAAAGGUGCAUCAAUUGCUUUGUGUAGCGUGCUUUAUGGUUAGAGCUUUGUGCUCUUGGUCUUCGGAGUUUACUUAUUCUUGAUUCUAUAGACCUGCAGCCAACAUACAACAGGGUUUGAUUUUCUUUAUUUUUCGCUCUCUUUGGCCCCCUUUUUUUCAUUCCUCGAUGGCUCUUUGGUUAUAAAUUAUGUCCCAAAAGACAAGUCGUCUCUGGUCUUCAGGAAGACAAGUGGAAAUUGUAAAUAGUUUUGAUGACUUUUUUGCAGUGUAGGACCCAAUAAAAAAGUUGAACACGCUUUUGUUGUUUUUCACUUUUAUGAAGGAAUGAGAAUGAUCUGUUUUCAAAAGAAUUUAAGUACGUUGCAAAACGGUGCCAUCAACAAGUUUUUUAUUUUUUAAAAAUUUUUGAAAAAUAAAAGACACCGUGAUUAUGUAGUUUCUCAUUUCUUCCUAAUUUUGGCAGUAAACAAACAGUAAUAACAAAUAUUGAUUAAGCAAAUUAGUUUUCGGGAAUAUUUGAAGGAGAGAUUCCAUAGGAAAUAAAGGUUAGUCCAAUUUUGCAAAAGAUUCUAUGCUCCGUAAAAAGAGAGCAUCUAUAUAUAAGGAUGUGGUCAAGUGUUGGCCAUCACGCGUAUUAGAGUAUGCGAAUAGCGUGUGCGGCGAGAACUCUUAGGAAGGCGCUUGGCACCACAGCAAAGCUCCCCUAAUGAAUGCUCUCCAGUCACAAGCACCAGAUUAAGCUCGUCUACAAAUAUCUGGCUGCAAAAAUAAACAAACCAACUUUCGUAAAAUAAAUAUUAAAAUAAACUAGAAUGAGCUCAAUUGCCGACAAAUUCCAGGUUGCUUAGGUCAAAAUAAACAAUGACCAAACACUGUAUGCAAAACCAUCACUCUGCUUUGUAAAUUAGACCUGCUGGUGUCAUAUGGCGGAGGCUGCGGUGAAAUUUGCUCUAGAGACCUUGGGUCCUUUGCUUGUCGAAGAAAUCAGAUUGUUGGGGGGUGUUAGAAAAGAAGUUCAAAGCAUCAAAAGCGAACUGGAAAGUCUCAGAUCUUUCCUCAAAGACGCAGAUGCAAGGGCAGCAGUCGAGGAAUUAGAAGGAGGCGGUGAGGAAAGCGUCAGAACUUGGGUGAAACAACUGAGGGAUGAGGCUUAUCGCAUUGAAGAUUUCAUCGAUGAGUACGCACUCAUGGUGGCAAAACUCCCCCAUGAGAGUGGCCUCGUUGGUGUUCUCCAUAGAAUUAGUCGUUUCAUAAAGAAGCUGAGGCGGCGGCGUGGAGUUGCUACUGAGAUUCAAGAUAUCGAAUCAGCGCUUGCUGAUAUAAAGCGAAGGGGAGAAAGCUAUCGAUUCAGAUCUAUUGAUGAACCAUCGAGAAGUGGAACCAGAAAUGUUAUCCCACAUGACUCUCCAGUUCGUUCCUUUUUCGUUGAAGAUGAUGAAGUUGUGGGCAUCGAAUCCAUUAAAGAUAAAUUGAUUGAUUUGAUGGUGAACGGAAGAUCCAAAAGUUCAGUGGUUGCUGUGGUGGGUGAAGGAGGACUAGGCAAGACCACUCUUGCCGGGAAACUUUUUAACAAUGAAGGUUUAAAAACUCACUUCAGUUGCCGGGCUUGGGUUACCGUUGGGAAAGAAUACAACAAAAAUGAUUUGUUGAGGACAAUUAUAAAGGAGUUUCACCGUUUAUCAAAACAUGGAAGAGAUGGACCUGAUCGCCACGCUGAGGGACCACUUGAAGGACAAAAGUUACAUGGUUGUGCUCGACGAUGUUUGGAAGAUUGAUUUUUGGAGAGACGUGGAGCAUGCUUUACUUGAUAACAAGAAGUGCAGCAGGAUAAUUGUCACAACACGGCACAUGAAUGUCGCUAAGUUUUGCAAAUCAUCUUCCUCUGUUCGUAUCCAUGAGCUUGAAACUUUGCCUCCGGAUGAAGCGUGGAAACUUUUUUGUAGAAAGGCGUUCGGACCAAGCUCCGGAGGUUGUUGUCCUUCAGAGUUGAAGGAGUUCUUUAUCGUGGCCCUAGGUGGACUUCUUUCAACCAAGAACAGGAUUGUAUCUGAAUGGAAGAAAUUAUUUGAUAGGUUGGGCUCAAUGUUAGGAAGUGAUCCCCAUCUAAAAGAUUGCAACAGAGUUUUAUCUGAAGGGUAUUAUGAUCUUCCUCACCACCUCAAAUCAUGUCUUCUGUACUUUGGCUUAUUUCCAGAGAGCUGCAAAAUUAACCGUGGUAGACUUAUCCGUUUGUAGAUAGCUGAGGGCUUUGUCCAACACAGAAAACGCCUCACAUCUGAACAGGUUGCAGCCGAAUACUUGGAUGAGCUCAUUGACAGAAGCUUGGUUCAAGUUUCAAACAGAGAGAUCCCUGGACGAGCUAUAAUCUGCCAAGUUCAUGAUCUUAUGCACGAGAUCAUCAUCAGAAAAACUGAAGAAUUGGGCUUCGGUCGUCUGCUGAACGGAGAGGACUCGAGUCAUUGCAGUAAAACUCGACGCAUUACUAUACAGAGAAGUAUUGAUGAUGGUGCUUUAGAGAGCAUCAAGGACUGGAAGGUCCGUUCUGUUAUCCUUUUCAAUGUAGAUAAGCUGCCCGACUCUUUCAUGAAAUCAUGUAUUGCCAAUUUCAAGCUCAUGAAAGUACUAGAUCUGGAAGAUUCUCCCAUAAAUUACCUUCCUGAAGGAGUGGGAAACUUAUUCAAUUUACACCUCUUGAAUGCGAGAAACACAAAAUUAAAAAUAAUUCCCAAGUCCAUUGGAAAUCUUCUCAGUUUAGAGAUUUUGGUUUUGGCACGCACUUUCGUGAGUGAACUUCCAGAAGAGAUCAGGAAUCUUAAAAAGUUGCGUUCUCUAAUUGUUUUUCACUACAAGUAUAUCACAGGUUCUAUAAUACCAACAGAAGUAGCAGCCAAAAUACACCGGGGCUUUGGGUCUCUAAGAGGUCUGCUGGUGUUGUCUACUAUAGAAGCUGACUCUCAAGUGCUCAAAGAGCUUAUGAUGCUAAGGCAGUUAAGAAUGUUGAGCAUUAGACCCCAGAAUGGAAAUGGCAGGGAUCUCUGUGCUUUGAUUGCAAAUUUGGAAAACGUAGAGACUUUAGGAGUACUAAUGAAAAGCAAAGAAGAAAUUCUUGACUUGCAAUCUUUGAGUAGUCCUCCUCAACAUCUGCAGUAUCUCAGCUUGAGAGGGAAUAUGAAGAAACUGCCGGACUGGAUUUUAAAACUUAAAAAUCUAAUCGGAUUGCGUUUGAUCUUGUCGGGAUUGACUGAGGAUCCAAUCAGUAUCCUUCAAGCCUUGCCUAACUUAUUGGAACUUAUGCUCCAUGGGGGGUAUGACUACGAGCUUUUUCACUUUGAAGCAGGUUGGUUUCCAAAACUCCGAAAGUUGGUUCUUUUGAACUUCGAGGCUGUGAAAUUGGUUAUAAUAGAGAAAGGUGCGAUGCCUGAUAUUAGAGAACUGUGGAUUGGGCCUUGCCCCCUGUUGAUGGAGAUUCCUAUUGGAAUUGAGCAUCUUAGAAACCUUGAGCUACUUACAUUUCAUGAUAUGUCUAAACAAGUUUGUUGCAUGACAAAGAACGAGAAGUGGGAGGUUACUGAGCAUAUACCAGAUGUCCGUGUCACUUAUAUUGAUGCGGGGCAACUGUUUUAUUGUCCAAAAAAAGUUCUUUCAUCUCUUUCCUGUAGAUUUCGAGCAAUCUGCUAAAGAAGAGGACUCAAGUAAGGAGCAGUCAUGCACAUCUAUAAAAUAACUAAACAGGUGUGCCUAUUUGUAUUAUUUUCUAAUUACUUUAAAAAAAAUUAUUUUCUUUUUUUUCUUUUUAAUUUGACAGACAAUAUAAUCAUAUAUAAUUCAAGAAAAUUCACCCAAAAAAAACUCCUUUUUCCAUGUAAUUUGAGUAUGAUAAGUAAAUAAAUAAUUGCAGUAGGUCAGUAAAUCUUUUUCUAGUCAAGUCUAUUGUUAAUUAGAAUCAUAAUAAUUAGGUAUUAAUGUUUUUAUAGUAAUUUUCCUUAUAUUUUUUGUUACCAUGAACAGUAUAUAUACCUUCCUUACAGUGAAUACAUUGAUGAGUUCAUCGGUCAUAUACUGGAUCAGACUGUGGUAGUAAUGCUACUAUUGACAUGCUUUGAGUUUGAGUAAUUAUUAUCAGUGUUAUUAUGUAACGCAUGCUUAUGUGAGUGGUUGCAGUUGCUGCUGUCAAUGUAAAUGUAUUCUUUUAUAUAUCUAAGACUAAGACUAUAAUUUUAAAAAUGUAAAUGUAUGCUUAUGUGAGUGGUUAAUUUGUUUGGGAUGAUGCAUUUGCCUUAAUUUUAAUCUGUAGCUUAUUGUCUGCUUCAUAACAACUUACUAAAAAAUUGUAUCACAUGCAUUACCGUAUUAUCAAGCUUAAUUUCCUCUUCAUUUGCAUAAUUGUGCUUAUUAUAUUGGGAUUAUUCUACAAUAGUUAUUUAUUUUAUUUAAGAAGUGAACUGAAAAUGCAUGUGAAAUCGUUUUUUUACAAAAUUAGAUGCACGUUUUGGAUUGUGGUUAAUUAUAAUUUUCAAACAAUCGCUUAUUUUAAAAAAAAAAAUGUACUCAAUUAUAUUUGAGUUGUCAAAUUAUUUUAAUUAAACAUAUACAACCGAUUUGGGUUGUCUUUUUUAACUCAAUACACUAACAGUCAUCAAACAAUUGAUUAUCAAACAUAAUAUGAGAAUAAAAUCCAUCACCAUUGCAGACUUAUUGUAACACAAAGAAAGUCUAUAAUUGGGCUUUGGAUUGGGCAAUAAAAACCCACUAAGCGAUAGCAUUCUUCUAUUCCUAGGGAAAGUGAAAAAAGCGGGAGUUGUAAGUGUUAAAUGGAAAUGGAUACAUGCCGAACUUACAAUUAAAUAAAAGAGAAAUUUUUAUAUAAAAGAAAGCGUCGGUGACUCUAAAGUUAGUCGGUGACUCUAAAGUUACAAUCAAAUGAAUGCGAAACUUCAUAAAAAAGAAAAAAAAAAAGUGUAGGUGAUUCUAAAGUUGAAAACUGCACAUGUUUGUGAUUUAAUUAGCUUUUUUGCUCUUAAAAUUACUUUAAAUUGCUCAAGAAAUGGUCAUGGGAAGGCUUACUCAUUAUAAUCCAUAAAUUGAUUAAACUGAUUAAGGAAGCAUGAACCAGCAAUUAGAUCAAAGUGUUGAAUAGUUCUUGCGUGAAAUAAAGAGAAAGAUUGCUAGAAAUUACAUUUUAUUUAUUUUCUGGUGUCACGGGUACAGGGACGUAGCCAGGAUUUUGAUUGAGCCGGGGCAUAUUUAAAAUCAAACAUGACUCGAAUGCGCGAUUGCUCGUAUCAUAAGUCCCCAUUUGGGAAAAUGUAUUGUGGGCCCUAUAAACUCCAAAUGGGAGCUUGCCACAUGUAUAAUUGUGCUAUUUAUAGAGUGCGUCUGUAUGCAUCUAAUUGAAACCCCUAUUUAAAGUAUAAUACAUUUUUAAAAAUUUAGAUAGCAAUAUAUAACAUUACAACUAUAAUAUUCAUUGAUAAUAAAUUUACUUAUUACAAUGGUUCUCCGUGAAAACUCCUCAAUGAGAUUUUAUGAGUUGAAAAUAAUGCAUUAUCACUAUAAGCAAAAAUAUUUUUUUCAAUAUACAAGACUAGGUUAUUACUUAAUUUGCUCUUAAAAUCUUUUAAUAAUAACAAAAAUAUUCAUAUAUUGCAACACACAAAACAAAUAUGAAAUGCAUGAUAAAAUUAUAAAUUUUAAAACUAGACAAAAGAUUAAUUAGAAAAUUAAAAAUUAGACUUAGGUAGACUUACAACUUAUGGUUCAGUGUUGAAAGACUAAAUAAUUGAUUUUACUUGAAUAAAAAAUAAAAAGAUUAAAGACCGGUCCAUUAACCAUUAUACUAACAUUUUGUUAUGAUUGUUUUUUAUUUUAAUAUUUGUUCUUGUGUGUUUAAUCAAGUUUCAUGAAAUGUUAAUAACUAAUUAAAUUAUUUAUAAUUAGAAAUUUAAACUAGGGAUAAUAUGAAAUAUUUUAAAAUUACUGGAGUCAAUUUUAAAUUUUACAAUUCAACUGGGGUAUUUUUCAUAAAUAACAAAAAAACUACAAUUUUUUAGUAUCAUUAUAAAAAAAAUUUUAAAGCCAGCUGGGGCCGGUGCCCCACCUCGUCCCAUGCUGGCUCCGUCCCUGCACGGGUAGAUGAAAGCCACAAACAAUGUUAAGUCCCUUCACUGUAAAAGCAUUUUCCUGCACCUUUUUCUUGGGAAAUUUACGAAAAUAACCAUUAUUAUUUUAUUAUUUUUGCAAUUAACCCUCUCAACUUUUUUCUAUCAACAUUAGCCAAACACAAGCCUUUCUUCCCAAAUUACCCUUCUUUGCGUAACAAAACCAACAUCGUUUCUCCCAUAUCGCCAAACCAAAAGCAGCUUUUCGCUCUUGAUUCAUCAGUCAACGGCGACCGCAAAAGACAACGAUAAAAGUGAUAUCCGAUCAUAAUUUAUCCGGAUCCAACACAAAUCGACAUCCGAAUCCAACACAAAUCGACAUCCGAAUCCAACACAAAUCGACAUCACUUAGUGGUAUGAGUUAUUUUCUGAACAACUGGGCUAAAUCUGGAUCUGGCGACAGGCUGCCUGUCGCAGCAAAACUUGGUGCGACAGGCAACCUGUCGCACCAAGCAAGGUGCGACAGGCACCCUGUCGCACCAAGAUUCGGGCGACAGGUUGCCUGUCGCACCCACCAUGAAAUACAUCAUUAAAACUGUAUUAUUUUAAUAUGGCUGAAAUAAUUUUUUUUUUAUAAUUUCAGGCUUAAUGGAUUCAGUUGUACUUGAAUUGUGUUACGAUGGUUGGUGGGAGACAUUAGAGAAUAGCCGUAUGGAGUACGUGAAUGGUAAAAAUCGAGCAUUUUUUGUUGGAAAAAAUUAUCUGUUUGAUCAGUUAUUGGCAAGAGUAUACGAGGUGUUACAAAUAAACCCUAAUGACUAUAGUAUCACCGUGAAGACAACUUUGAGGUCUAGUAACACAUUAUAUCGUAUAUGUGCAAUGCCCAUGGAUAUAUGCGAUGAUGAAAUGGUGAGGGUUGUGUUGCAUAUGGCAUCGGACGUAGCUAAUUUUGGAUGCAUUCCUAUAUUCGUGACCACAUCACCUCGAGUUCCGAGCGAAGGUAUUGAGCCACAUGUCGAUACAGAAACUUCGUUUAGAGCAAAUAUGUCUGGCCCCGAUAAUGAUGAAGAGGUGUUGCCAAGGACAAUAUCGUUGCAGCAAUAUUACUCUCCAAUCCACGACAAUUAUGACAACAUUGAUGAUAAUGGCGUUACGUUACAGGAUGUUGGAGCAACAAUAUUUUCAAUAACAACGUCGUUGGAGCAACGAUAUUCUCCGUAUCACAACAAUGUUUUUCGGGACAAUGAUGAUUUUCAUAAUGAGACAGAGGGGGAUAAUGUUUGUGCAGAACCUUCUAAUACUAUGAGGGGGGGCACUCGUUUCAAUAAUGAUGGUGAUGAUGGAGGAGCCGGUCCUUCAAAUGUUCCGUCGUUUCAGCAUGAGGAUGAGUGUGAAGACAAUACUCAUGUGAAUAACAGAGGCAAUAGACCUAUUCCUUCUAUGGUUCGAUCGAGAAGGCGAAUUGACCCCCUUACAAGUGUUGCUCCAACUUUGCCUUCGAAUAUGGUUGCUCCAAGCUUUGUUAGCAGUUGUGAUUCAGAUGAUAUCAGUGUGGGUAAGCUAUUUGCUGAGAAAAAUGAGUUUAUAUUACAACUACGCAAGGUUGCCUUUAGAGAUAAGUUUGAUUUCAAGAUUGCACGGUCUACUACGACACGUUUCGAGGCUCACUGUUGUUCAGAAUCAUGUAAAUGGCGUAUUCGAGCAACUAGAUGUUCGAACGAGUAAAAUAUUCCGUGGGUGAUGAAGAGAAUUGACAAUGUACACACUUGUCAUAAUGAGGUAUUGGUUGAUGGACGUCAUCAAGUCAGGAGCCAGGUUGUCGGUCAUAUUAUCGCAGAAAAAUAUAUUCAAGACAAGAGGAUUUAUACUCCGAAUGACAUAAGAGCAAAUAUGCAACAGGAAUACGGUGUUCAGUUAACAUACCAGCAGGCAUAUCGGGCGAGAGAAGUUGGUCUUGAAAUAGUUCGAGGCAACCCUGCAGAGUCAUACAACUUGCUCCCUAAAUACUCUCACGUACUAACUACAGCGAAUGAGGGUACAGUCACUCACCUCGAGCAGGAUGGAGAUGGUAAUUUCUUGUACUAUUUUGUAGCACUCGGAUAUUCCAUCAAGGGUUUUAUGCAGUACAUUCGGCCUGUCAUUGCUGUAGAUGGUACUCAUCUUAAGGGAUUAUAUCGUGGAAGCAUGUUCGUGGCAACAUGUCUUGAUGGUAACAAUCAAUUGUAUCCGUUAGCCAUUGGGAUCAUGGAUUCAGAAAACAACGAUGCUUGGGAAUGGUUUAUGAUGAAGUUACACGGAGUGAUUGGCGAUAGACCUGAGUUGGUAAUUAUCUCUGAUCGAUGCACUGCCAUAAGGAGAGCCGUUCUUAAAGUUUUUCACAAUGCAACUCAUGGCGUUUGUUUUUACCACGUCAAAGGUAACAUUAAGUCUCAGUUUAGAAUGUCCAAAGCUCUUUGGGAUCAAUUUGAGCCUGCCUUUAUUAAUGCAGCAAAAGCAUAUGGCCACGAGGAAUUUAAGAGACAACUUGAAGGGUUGUGGAUGAUCCACUCGGGUGCGGCUGAUUACCUAGAAAAUAAUGUCGAUACGUGUAAUUGGGCAAGGUCGCAGUUUGAAGGUAGGAGGUACAGCAUUCUUACCACGAACAUCGCGGAGAGUGUUAAUGCGUUCAUGAGGGAACCUCGAAAAUUUCAUGUGACUCAUCUUGUUGAUCACUUUAGGAAAACAUUGCAGCAAUGGUUUUAUGAUAGGAAAAUUGUGGCUGAAUCAAUGACUACUCGGCUAACAACAUGGGCGGAUGGAAUAGUCACUGAGAGGAGAACUAUAGCUGAAAGAAUGAUAGUUCGACCGGUGUCUCCGCAUCGCUUUCAAGUUAUAGGGGGUGGGCUUAAGGAAUGGUUAGUUGACUUGCAAAAGAGAACUUGCUCCUGCAGAGUGUUCCAGCUUGAUCAGCUUGUGUGUGCUCAUGCAAUUGCGGCGUGUCUAACACACCGGGUGGAUUUUAUUAACCUUUGCUCGGACUUUUACACUACAGAAUCGUUGGCGAUGGCUUAUGCACAACCAAUAGAGCUAGUUGGUGAUGUGGCUGAUUGGGAAAUUCCAGAUGAAAUUCAGGAAAUGCAUGUAUACCCACCAGUUGAGGCACCACCACCUGGCCGUCGUAAAGAGCUCAGAAUACCCUCGGCUGGCGAGGACGUUGACCGGCGGACUGUAAGAUGCGGUCGGUGUCAUGAACUAUGCCAUAAUCGUAAGAGAUGUAAGAAUCCCAUUGCGUCGACUCGAAGUUAGUUGUAUUUUGUGUGUUAUGAGUUUGUUAAAACUAUUAUUGUUUUUGUGUUCGUUGGUUAAAACUGUUACUGUUUUUUUUGUAUUGUACACUUACAUUUCAUAAAACUUUAUUUAAAGUUUAAAAUGUGAGGCAUUAAAAUUAUAUAAACUUAAGUGUGCGAAGUAAAAAAAAAUUCAAAUUUCAACAUUUAAAUUACUACAUAGGUUUACAAUUGAAUAUCGUCAUUAAAUAUAUCAACCGCAAUCUUCUUUCUAAAGUACUCGACAUGACUAGCGUUAAAGUCCAAUCUAAGCCCGAACAUUAAAUACAUCGUAACCAUCAAUACAAAAACACCGCAAUCGCCAGUUCCGGGCUCUUGUUGUGGCGCGCUCUUAACUGCGAUAAUUUUCCACGGGUCUUCACUCUGCAACUCCGGUCGGAUAUUGUAGAAGCCAACAUAUUCCAACCAUCGAGGGAAUAUAACUUCAAGUGGCUUGAAUUUCAACUUGUACCUUUUGUCGUCGCGAUUUGUGAGUAAUGAGUCAUAAAUCCAGACUUUGUUUUUCCGAAAGUCAACUCGUGCUAGUACCCAAUGCGCGCCGUCGAAGUUAACAGGGAUGAGUAGCUGCAUAUAACAAUUGAAAAACAUGUUCGUUAUGUAUGAAAUUAAAAUACAACAAAGAAAAAGCAACAACUUGAAUAUUUUCAUUAUAUAGCAUGUGAAAUGUAAUAAAAUACAUACCAUAUCGACAUCCGUCAUUGAUUUAGACAUUGUGUGCUGUCGGCCACAAAGAUAACUAUUCAAGCGGUCGUCGAAUACCAUUGAAUCGACUGCACAAUUCCCGUUAUUCCAGAACUGAUUCAAGAACACCUAAUACAUAGAUAACCAAGAAAUGCAUAAAUUAAUAAAACUUAAAUUUUUACAUCCACAUAAAAUUUAUAAGUUUUGUCGGCACGUUACCCAAAAAAAUGUGUCAGUAUGUGUGACACGUUGGAGUAAGGCAUUUGGAUACUGCCGUUGCUUCUCGCUAAUCAAGCGGAGAUACUCGUGAAUAUGCUGUAGAGAAACAGAAAUAUUACGAGUUUUUAAAAACAAAUUUAUACACAAAUCCACAACAGUAUACACCACGAGGAAAUUAUAAAUACCUCAUCGCCUAACCAUCCCAUCGAAGCUGUCCCCAAAAUUAUUUGAAAGAAUGACCGCGGGUGCUGGACUCUCCGGCGGACUCUGCUAUCACCAGUAAACCAUCGAUCAAACUCAGCAAACAGACUAGAGUCCUCCAAUCCUCUCAGUGGAUUUACAUCCACACUCGUACUCAUGUCAAUCGCAUGCUCUAUGAUUUGGGGUCGAGGUAAAGGCCGGACGUUCUGUCCUCGCCUGAUCGGAGGAAUCAUGUAAGGACUGUUAUAAACAUACGACGGUAUGUACGCGCGGCCGAACUUACUAACGCCCGGAGGCACCUCUGUGAACACCUGCACGCUCUCCCCACUUACAUCCCCGUAGAAACUAUACAAUGACGUGGGCGUAGACAAAUUUUCAUUGCCCACGUCAGUAUACACUCCAACGUCAUCCGGGGCCUGUACAUUCGCCAAAAAGAACAUAUUAAAUAACUAUCAAAUUAAAAGUUAAACGAACAUUAUUAUUAAAUUUAAAUUAGCUUACCGCAUACGAGCGUGCAGUGGGAGAAUCCUUAUUUGGACGUUUAGAAAAUGUGUCGAUGAAGCCAACAACGGUUUCUUUAAAAUCUUUUAAUUCUGACUUUAUUUCAUACACGUUACGAUCAAUCUUAUCCAGCCGUCGUCGUACGUAAUCAUUAAACUGCUUUGUCCUCGACUAUUACAAAAGAAAAAAAUAAAACUUUAGAAUAACAAUAAAAAAUUAAUAAUUUAUAAAAAAAAAUAUCGUAUAUUAUUUCUAACCUCAUAAUCCCGUGCGUCAUCAGAGUUGUCUGUUUGCUGCUGGUGGUCAUCAACAGCCACCUCAUCCUCAAAAGUGUCAUGCCCCACCUCAUCCGCAAAAGUGUCAUGACGCUGCUCUGGUAUUGGGUUUGGUAUGUCGUCAUGAUCGUCAUGCUCGUCUGAUUGCCUUGUAACCGACGGCAUCACGUUGAUUGAGGGUUGGUGCUGUAUAAAGUAUCAUUUAAAAUUAGUAAAUGAAAAGUCAAAAAUUUCGAUUAACAAAUUUUUAGUGCUUAGAGUAUACCGACCUUAUGAACCCAGUCUGGAAUGCUUGGCAAGUAAUCCUUCACAGAGAGCCAAUAAUUUUUGCUACUCUCCUUUGAAUUUGGCUCAAGGGUUUGUAAAACGUCCCCCUUCCAUAAAUUCAAUUUAAAAUUUUAAGUAAGUAUACAUAACUUAAAUUUAGUAAAGUUUAAAAAAUAAGUAAUACAUAUUACUUACAAGACGAGAUUCGUCGUUGAAGAACGAAUAAACCUCCGCAAAGUUGAUUCUCGACGACGCCAUGGGCUUCCAUUGCAGAAUGCGGGGAAUCUUAUUCUUCGUUUUGACGACCCAUGUUGAUGGCAACCCUCUGAUUGCUUCGUAAAUCCAAGCCUACAACAACCAAAGUGAAAAAUCAAAUAAAACAACUAUCAAAUAUUUAAUACUAUAAAACUUAUUAAUAAACAAAAAAAAUAGCACCUGAACCCCAGACGUAAAGCCGUAAAGAUUGUAUUUUUCAAUAUUAUGAUCUGGAUUUUUCAACCGAGUCUUCUUAUAUUUCUCGUCUUUCUCGAACAGUGCAUUGUCAAGACUCUCGUAAAUCAUUUCCCACGACAAUAGACCCCAUGGACGCUUUCGGAAGUACUGUAUAUCAUCAACUUGGUCAAGCCAAUCGAAAUUAAUUUGACAGUGAUUUUUUCUUGCAUUUAGUACUCUGUCCGCAAAAUAAAACAGCGCAAUCUUUAAUGCGUCCAUAUCGUUCAUUUCCUCGAAUUUCAACUCCUUAAAUACUGCAUCGAAUUGCUUCACAUUAAUCUUACGAUGCACACCACCAAAAUACGUAUUCCGUAGCCUCUGCUCCAUUUCAUCAUUUUUUUGAUUGGUAUCCACACCAAAUGAAAGUCCAGUAACCAAGCACCAUUCGACAAUUGACAAGCGAAUCACAUGCUUACCAAUUUGAAACCAUAACUGAUCCUCACGGCUAUCUUCUUCAUGGGCCACUUGCCGCAGUAGAAGAUUGUGCAAAAUUACCCCACUAAAUGGAAAACUUCGACACUCCAAGAAAUGCCCAAAUAUAUCCUUUUUGAACAUACGCAACUGCCGGUUUGUUAAUUUUUCCUCGAUGGCUUUAACGACCGAAGAUAACAUACACAUGCUCGAAAUUCGACCAGGAAAAUGAUCAGCAUAACGAAAAUACAUCUUGCCUACUUCAAUAUCCGGUGAUUCUGAUUUCGCCAUGUAUCGGUAAUAUUUAUAAAAUUAUUACAUUACAUUUACAGAAAAAAAAAUUAACUCCUUACAAAAAAAAAAUUUAAUUUUUGGUGCGACGGGCAAGCCUGUCGCACCAGCUUUGGUGCGACAGGCGCGCGCCUGUCGCACCAGAUUUGGUGCAACAGCGUGCCGCGCAUGGCCGCGCGCUGCUGCCCAGCGAUGGGCGCGCGCGCGCGCCCUGCUCCCCUCCCUCCCCACCCGCAAAAUUAAGCACAAUCACUCCAAAAUCGAAAACAAUACUCUCAAACACCACCAACCACCACAAACAUCAUCACCACCACUAUUAAUCUCAAGCUAUAACUAUUAUUAUUCUAAAAUCUCAUUUUAAAUUAAUGAAAAUAAGAAAAAUGACUAACCUAGAUUUUGUUGAAGGUUGUAGAUUGUAGAUCGGAUGCCGGUGAGAGAUGGAGCCGCCGCCGACGAGGGUUGAUGUCGCCGCCGAUGAUGGGAGUUGGAUCAGUUUGGGAGAGAUGAGUGAAAGGGAGUGUUGGGGGAGAGAUGAGGGAGGGGUAUUUUGGUCUCAAAUGUUGUUUUAUGACUAAUAUUGAUAGAAAUAUUUUUGGGGAGUUAAGAUGAAAAAAAGGGAAAUUUUUUUGGUUAUUACUGUAAAUUUCCCCUUUUUCUUCGGCUUUAUGAUAUUCAAUGCCCAUAGUCCCUAGUCCCUACCCCUGUAUCUUUAUUAAUUAUUGGUUAAGAAGCUUGCGGCCUUAAAUGAUCAGAUAUAUUUAUUUUUUUGUCUGUGUUAUAAGAAAUCUUAUUUUCCAUUAUCACAGUUUCGUAUUAAGUAUCACAAUGGUUUAUUGUCCGACUUAAAACAUGAUUAUUAAUAUAGAUUUAAGAAUAAAGAUUAGAGUUAAGGCAACCUAUAUAAGAAAUAAAAUAAAGAAAUCAUUUAAAGAAAUUGUAACCGCUGCUCAUCAAUAAAAACCCAUUUCGGCUGGAAGAAUUUCCGUAGAAAUACAGAUGGUAUUUGAUUUGAAGUAGAAAUGUAAACUUUUUUUUUUUAAUGAAAAUUGGAAAAGUAAACUUAAUUAAGGAAACUAAUAAAUAAGGAAACACAAAUCCUACAAUAAAUAAAUAAGGAAACACAAAGGACCAUAUAUACAUAGGCCGGCCCGGGCCCUUUGACAUGACAACUGACGACCCUCCAAUAAUUUCAAUUUUUAGUAUCGUUCCCAAAACACCCUUCCAAACUUUUCCUGCAUUAAAAGUCAUGAAGAUAAUUUAUUAAUUUAAUCAAACAGUAAAGGUAAUUAUGUCAUUGUAUAUUUGUGGGUCAAGUCCAUCUUGAUCAUCUCCCAUCCAAACGUACAACAAACAUUUCACUAUUUCAGUACCUUAAUCUCACUGUCAAGUGCUCAACUCUCUCUGUAUUAAACACACCGACCCUUGAAUCUCGAUGGCAAAAGUAGUAGUGGGUAUGGCUGCUAAAGGAGAACAGAAAAAAGAAAUGAGUUUUACAGAAAAAGAUGAAAAAGAAGAAGAGAAAUGGAUCAUGCAUUAUUCAUCAAAGCAUCAAAUACUGUUGGUGGGUGAAGGAGAUUUCUCGUUUUCUUUUGCUUUAUUGCAGAAAUUUGGCUCUGCUUCUAACAUCUGCGCUUCUUCUCUUGAUUCCUAUGGUAAUUCAUUCAUUUCUCUAAUCUCUUUCUCUUCUCCUACAUGUUUUUUUUUUCAAGAUUUUUUUAUAUCAUAUGAUAUAGCAUAAAUUACCCUGUUUAUAAAUCUUUAUCCUCAGUUUGAUGUGUUAAGUUACCACUUAAUUUGAUGUGUAACUGUAAAGAAAUUAUCAAUUUUACAGAAAAAUGGUAAAAUGACUAGGAAAACGUAUAAUUAACGUCUCUGUUUUUUUUUUUUAAUUGGAUUUCAUAUGAUGUGAGGCCAAAAUCACCCUGUUUAUAAAUCUUUGUCUUCAAUUUGAAGUGUUUUGACCUCAAAACUGGAACUAUUAAAUAAGAGUCAACAUUAGCACAAAAGUUAAAUGUAACUGUCCGGUCCCUUCUUUAUAAGGUGGAUAACUGAAUAUGAUAUGAAUUAAGAGGCGAAGUUAGGAAUUUUUUUUAAGCUGGGUUACAUCUUUUUUUUUUCAAGUUAAAGAUAAAAUAAAGAACCUUACGGUGAAGCUAUUAAAUUAAACCAUAAAAUUAAAUUAAUAUUGUUUGUGUUAAAAUUUUUUUUGUGAAUUAAGUUUGUUUAACAAUAAAAAUUGUCAACUUUAAAGCGGUGACUACAGUACGCUACGGCUACCAUACUUCACAACCUGCCACAGUUACAUGGUUCUUGUUUAUUGACUUUUAAUUAUCAGAUGAUGCUUAGUCUAUGAAUUACGGUACCCUUAGACAUCAUAGACAGACCCCCACUUUACAUAAUUGAAGGCUAAAUGAGUGAUAAAUAUCUUGUCAUCACUGGUUUACUUGAGACCGAAAAUAGAUUUCUAAAAUAAGAUUGAGUGGGAAAGAAGUUGGAACAAAUGACAGUAGCCAUAUAUAUAUAUAUAUUUUUAAAAAGAGUGAUAAACAUGUAAAUAAUACUGCGGUCGUUUUGUAUAAUAUAACAGUGAUAGCUAGCUUCAUAAAUACUGCAUGGUAAUUUUAUGAACAACGUAAUAAAGAAACUAGAAAUUUUGCCAAAUUUUGGCCGCGCUAUAGCCUAGCUUCGCCCUUGCAUGAAUUCAAUUCGAUAGUUUGAUGCAACUGAAAAAAUAACUUAACCUUAAAGAAAUUAUCAAUCUUACAGAAAAAUUGUAAAAUGACCCGGAAAAUUAUCAUCAUCACCACCAUCAUCAUCAUCAUCAUUAUUAUUAUUAUUAGUAUUAUUAUUAUUAUUUGGUUGACGUAUCUUGCUUAUUUGGAAGUUAACAUAAAUUAUAUAUUUGGAUGGACUAGAAACUGUGGUUAAGAAAUUCAAGGAGGCACGGUCAAAUUUGGACACCCUAAAGAAGCUGGGAGCAUCCAUUAUCCAUGGAGUUGAUGCAACUGAAAUGAAGGAACAUUCUGAAUUGAGCAAGCGGAAGUUUGAUAGAAUAAUCUUCAACUUCCCCCAUGCUGGCUUUCAUGGAAAGGAAGAAGACGACGAAGUUAUUCGGUGAGCUGCUUUAACCUAGUGAGUCCAAUGGACACGUGUCAGUACAGCGAGUGAAAAAUGGUUAUAUUCCGAGGGAAAUUGAUAUUUAAAGUGAUCCAUAUUUCUUAAUAAUUCAACAUGCAUGUAGUAAUCAAGAGCUUGCUGUGAUAUUUCCGCUUCGCCAAUUCUUAAAAAUUUGGCUCCUACACCUGUUCCAUGAUCUUUCUUCUGGUAAUCGCAGAAUGCAUAUGAGCCUUGUGGAAGGUUUCUUCAGAAAUGCAAGUGGUAUGCUAAGGCCUCAUGGUGAAGUGCAUGUAAGCCACAAGACAACAGCUCCAUUUUGCAAAUGGCAUAUCGAGGAACUCGCUAGGAAACACUCUUUGUUAAGACUCGACUGUGUCCAGUUUAGAAAAGAAGACUACCCAGGUUACAGUAACAAGAAAGGAGCUGGUUCACUGUGCGAUGACUAUUUCCCCUUGGGAAAGUGCAGUACCUUCAAAUUUGGUUUAUAUCGUGCUCGCAAGAGGUCUAAAGUAAUGAGUGAUGGUGGAUUUAUUGUCAAAAGAACUAAGGCUGUUCAAGAGAUUCCGAUCCGAGUGCAGAAGCGUGAAACCGAUCCAUUUGACUGGAAAUGUACUAAUGCAAAGUCAGCCACUGAUAUGAAUGAAUUUCGAGCCUGUGUGAAGUUUGAUGGUAGCGGUGCCGGUUACCCUGUUCGUGAAUAUCCUAGGUUUGACAGUCUCGUACAUCCUCAAACAAGCUUCACCAGAAAUGCGAUUGACCAUCCAGGAUAUAAGAGACUAGCUUUGAUGGGUAAUUCUAGGUUCCAUAAUGGCUGCUUUAAUAGUUCCCACACGACGCUUGGAAGAGCUGUUGACGAUGUGGGCUAUCUUGUUCCCGAAUCAUUAAUUCCAUAUGAAAGAUAUUACGCGGAAGUAGCAGGAUUCCAAAGAGAAAAUGGUAGGAGCUACGAUAAAACAGUGCCUCGAGGAAGAACCUUGUAUCCUGUGGAUGGACGUUGCUAUCAGGAAACUAUGAAACCAGCGCAGCCGUCAUGGAUGAGAUUGGGAUUUAGUUACCAGCUUUAAAGGAGAAGUGGUGCUAUUAUGCUUUUAUGGAAGACUGAACGACCUUUUGUCUUUAGUCGUGAAUUCUAGCUAGUUAAGCAUAUAUAGGCAUCAUAGUGCAAGUAGAAAGCUUUGAUUUGCUUUCACUUUGGUUUGUUUUAAGAACUAAGAAUUUCAGUAAUCUGUUGGUGUGUUGUGUGGUGUUGUCAAUCUCCUAUUUGCAAAGCACUCGAUCUGUUUCCUGUUUAAAGAACUAUAAUUAGAUUUAAUAACAUCGAUGAACUCAUCAACGUACGUAUUCACAGCAAGGAAGAUACUCCUCCAUCUAUUUGUGGUAAUUACUAUGAAGACGGAGUAUAAUCAGUCAACAAUGCUACAAGUUUAUAUGCUUUCAGUAAUUAUUAUCAGCGUUAUUAUGUAAUAUAUGCUUACGUAAGUGGUUGCUGCUGUGAGUUAGCGUAAUCUUUUAUAGAAUCUAUUAUAGUUUUUAUCUAAGAUUUUAAUUUUAGAAUUGUUAUAGGACUGUUGUCAUCAUAUUGUAUAUUCAGUGUUUAAUUGAAAAAAAAAAACUGUGCGCCAAUUUGAUCACCACUGCUAUACGGUUAAUUCGUAUGGAGGAUGAUGCAAUUUUUGCCUUAAUGGGCUUUCAAAUUUUUUAAUCAAACAUAUAUAGUUGAUUAGAGUUGUCCUUAAUUUUAGAUUCAACACACUAGCAACCAUCAAGCAAUUGAUUCUCACAUAUAAUUUAGAAAUAGAACCCAUCGCAAUCUGUCAAUCGGUCAAUUUCAUACAUUCACCAAGUCUUGUAAAUAAAUCAAAAUGCAUAAAACUAUGUGAUUUUGAAGGGUUCACUUCAUCACCCCUUUUUAUAAAACCUCAUUUCAAAUAAAAUUACAUUGAAAUAAGAAUUAAAUAUAUUUGAGAAUUUUUUCAGUAAAUUACUUGCAUUAGUAAUUAAUCCUUUUUUUUUUGUUUUCUACCCCUCACUUCCAUCUAAUCAAAAUUAAUUAAAAAAAAUUAGAAUAAACUAUUUUUCUUAUUUCAAAUUAUAACUGACUUUCAAAAGUUCAUUAGUCAAAAAACUUUUCAAUGUGCUGUGUGGGACAACAAGAUUACAAAAGAAAAAAAAAGAAUUAAAAUAAAAAUAACUGAAAAAAAAAAAGAUUUUAUAAAGUGAUUAGAGGGUCGCCAAUACUCCCAACUCGUGGAAAAAGUUUAUUCAGUUGUGUGUGGGCGUAAAUGUAAAUGGGCUUGCAAAUAAAAAGUCUUAUGAGUGGGCUUUGGGUGUAGGCAAUUAAAACUUGCUAAGCCACGGUAUUUUUCUUCACUUCCAUUCUUAGAUUUGAUGCUUUAAAGCGGUGGGGAUGCGAUGAGAACAUAAUCUUCGCGGUGCGGAUGGCGGACUCCACAAUUUGGCAGAAUAUAAAAUUUUCUAAAGAGAAUAUUUUUAUUUUUUUAAAAGUGAGAAUACUAUUAUAAUAAAAAAUAUAAAUUUUAAUUUAUUGAAAAUUAUUAUUUUUGUUUGUUAAUAUAUUAGAAUUUGUAUUUAUGUAUGCAUGUGUGUGUAUUCCUGAAGCUAAUUCCUCGUAAAGUUUGCUAGGCAUCUAAUCAUAAAAAAAAAAAAAUCUGAUAUUUAAACACGUCUUAGUUAUUUAUUAGUGCCACGUUAGUUUGAAUUCUAAGGGUCGAGUUUGGUAGCAUAUAAUCUCCAUUCCACCGUCUUUGAUAAUUCACUUUCUUAACCAUUUUAGAAAUGUGACCCUUGCUCUUGCUCAAUUAUUACUACGUCUACAUAUGGCCACAAGAUUAGAGUUUGCACAUUUGUUCUUUUUCCAUAAACACACGGUUUCCUCACUUCCAAAUGGACUUCUCUUAAGUUGCAUUAUUAUUAUUUGCACUCUUCUCAAUAUAUAAAACUCAUGAAAUUUUUUAAUGAAGUUUUUCUAAUCAUCACAGUAUUAAUCUUUUUAACUCUCAUUAUUUGUAAUUUCUUUCCCACACAAGAUAUCCUGCAAUUGCAAAUAAUGAGAGGUACUGCCCAGUUUUUUUUAAAAAAGUCCACAGUUAAAAUAAACGACAUGAUCCAUUAUGAAAAAUAAAGUAUUCGAUCUAAAACUCACAACAGAAAAAUAACAACAAUGCUAGCUUGCUCAGGGAAACUUGCCUGAAAUUGCCGGACCGGCCAAUCUUCUAAUUUCUAAACCACCGUUUUGAUUGGGUGGAAUGUUGAAUAACAGGCACUGCAACCAACGUAAUGCACACAAUUUUUUGAAACUAAUCAAAUUUGAUCAAUGACUUAAUUCCAAUGAAAUAAAAUGUAACUGUUGAGGACUUAAAUGAUAUCUUUUGAAAUUCUUGUCUAGCUUUUUAGAUAGAAUCAUCAGGGAAUCAAGUGAAACAAAUCCUCUUGUAGGGCUAGAUUAUUCUUUCAAGUUUCAUCAUGGCUGCUAGCUCUAAGAAUCCACUUUAUUGAAGACGUUGGAAAAGAGGUUCACUGCCAAUAGCUUCCUUAGUAAAACUAAAUCUCUUUCAAACUAUCAGACAUACUACUAGUUCUACAUCAAUGGAGUAAACGAGAAAAAUCUGAGAUAUGGCGGAGACUGUGGUGAAUUUUGUCAUUGAAAAGCUGGGUCCUUUGCUUGCUCAAGAAAUGGUGUUUUUGAGCAUGAGAUCUUUUCUAAAAGAUGCGGAUGCAAGAGCCGCACUAGAAGAUUUUGAAGAAAGAGAGAGUCAAUAGGUAUCAAAACUUGGGUGAAACAAGUGAGGAAAGAAGCCUAAUGUUGAUGCAGAAUCUGGUCGAAACCGUUAGCAUGGGCAGGUCACCAUGUCAACACUUGAAUUUGUUUUGAUGGGAGACGGUACUGUUUGCACUUCCUUCCUCCAAACAGAUCCUUACGCCCACAUUCACUUCCCUCAGGAUUCUCCAACAUUUCUGGAUUCUCCGACGUUCACAGAAACAAUUAAGGGGUGCAGGAUGUUUUUCUGACAUAAACCCUCCGAUACGUCGGUAGUCAGGUCUCUCUGGGAAAAACUUAUACCACAACUUCCAUGGCUUAAUUAAAACUGAAGCCAGAACAAAUAUUUUAAUGAUUCUCAAAAAGAGAUAAAUUCUAAAAAACAGAUUCUAGAGUUAGAGAGGCAGAAUUUCGUUUCAGAGUGGGCAAAAGAACUCACCUCUUUGGGAUUUUACAGGCCUUUUAUAACCCUGUUGCACUAUCGUGGGUACACAAUCAUUGACCAGUCCCUUGCAUCACCGUUCAUGGGUUGGUUAAGUAAUUGUUAAGGGAUAAUGGAUGAAUGUGCGAGGUAGUUGAUGAAUUGAUGGUGCAACCGUUAAUGGAGUGGUAUUAUAAUUGUUGAUAUCGAAAUCUGGUCGAGUUGAUGAUGGCAAUUAGAUUACUUCUUCAACACUUGAAUUUGUUUUGAUGGCGAACUAUCGCUUGCUACUCCAGUAGAGUUUGAAUUGCUAUGAUGCUUUUUGCUUUCUUUUAUUUGCAAUAACAGAAAACUGUCAGGGGGCGCUUGGCGAAAAUCCUCCGACGCUCAAGUUAGUAAUGAAGUUUUCUUGCAAGAAAAAUAAUAAUGUCACGCACUUGUGAUCUUAAGUACUUUCUUUUCAAAUUUCUUAUUCCCCAGAAAAAAAAUCUCCCUUUCAGGAUCUUUUCCGAUUCUUAUAGACAACCGCAAGCAUCUCUUGUUCUUCAAUGCGCUAAUGUUACCAAAUUGAAUGUGCCACUUGAAUUAAGGGUUAAUGUAUCCGUUUCUGUAUAGUUAUUGAGCUAUCGUGUCUGAUGGUGCUUUAAACAUUAUAGCAGGACAUGCUUAGACGUUACGGACGAACUACCAGGUUAAGUUCUACAAUCUGAAAAUUAAACCAAGACCAUAAAAUCGAACGACAUGAUUAUGGUCUCCUCGCAGACUGCUGGUUGUCCUUGCAUAUGUAACCAGAUAACUUUCUCCUCGAUGUUUCACAUCACCCUUAAGACUUUUAUAUUAAGUGGCUACAUUUGUAUACCCCAAACAAUAACUAUUAGUGAAUUGACUUUGUGCUCAGAUUCUGGGGGGGGGGGGGGGGGGGGGGGGGGGGGGGGGGGGGGGGGGGGGGGGGGGGACUUACAGAUGUUUGUGUAAGAAACUUGUGGGACCAAUGUGUUGUUUUUGAGAAUGGCAAAAGUAAGUAUAGGUGGCUCUAAAGUUGGGACUUACAGAUGUUUGUGUUUGAAUUAGUCCCUUUUUUUUUUUUUUGAAAUUGAAGCAAUGGUCUUGGGAGGCUCACUCAUUGUAAUUGAUAUGUUAAACUGAUUAAGGAAGCGUGGAGCAGAAAGUAGACCAAAGUGUUGAAUACUUCUUUAAAAUUGAAAUUUAAGAGAAAUAUUGCUAGAAAUUUCAAUUUUAUUUAUUUAUUUAUUAUGUCAUGGUUUUAUUUAUUCAUAAAAUUGAAAACCACGAUGUUGAGUCUCUUUACAGUAACAGCCAUUUUCACAUUUAGAGUUCUUUUCCUUUAGUUUUAUGAGAUUCAAUGCCCCCUUCACAGUAAAAGAAACUUGUGGCCCUAAAUGAUCGUUAGAAUUUGAGAAUACACAUAUUUUUCAUGUUACUGAGAUUUUUUUUUAUUUCCAUUCUAAAUUAACCAUUAAAAAGAAAUUAAUUUAAGAAAAACCCAUUAAAAAGAAAUUGUAACCGUUGCUCCAUUGUAAAAAUUACGUUCAACAUUUCAAGAAAACAAUCUUAGUUGGAAGAAAUUCCGGAAAAAUAUAGAUGGGUUUUUGAAUUUGAAAUUUAAACUCAAUUAAGGAAACUAUAAAAUAAAAGGAAACACAAAACCAUAUUUGGCCGUGGACCUGACAACAUAUCCCUCCGAUAAUAUCAAUCUUUUUACCAUUCUUCCUAAAACACCCUUCCAAACUUCUCAAACUACAGAAGAUAGACUCACAGACGGUAAUUACAUCAAGGCUAAUUACGUCAUUUUAAAUUCCUGGCUCAAAUCUGGUGGAGUAUUGUCCUCAUCACGAUCGUUUGCCAUGCAAACGUAUAACAAACUCUUCGGCAAUCUCACUACGACUAUGGCAAUACUGGCUGAAGCUGCUGAAAAAGAAGAGGAAAAAUAAAUGGGUUUGACUGGGAAAAAAAAGAAGAAGAAGAAGAGAAAUGAAUAAUGUACUAUUCAUCAAAACAUAAAAUACUGUUAGCGGGCGAAGGAGAUUUCUCUUUUUCUCUUGCUUUAUUUCAGAAAUUUGGCUCUGCUUCUCACAUCUGCGCUUCUUCUCUUGAUUCUUAUGGUACGGUAAUAUAAUCAAUUUUACGGAAAAAGAAAAAUAGAAAAUUGUAAAAUUACCAGGAAAAUUAUUAAAAAGUAUUAUUAUCUGUUGACACAUCUGGUUUAUUUGGAAGUUAAUAUAAACUAUAUUUGGAUGGAUUAGAAACUGUCAUUUAGAAAUUCAAGAAGGCAGAGUCAAACUUGGACACUCUAAAUUAAGAAGCUGGGAGCAUCCCUUAUCCAUGGAGUUGAUGCAACUGAAAUGAGGCGUCAUCCUGAAUUGAGAGAGCGGAGCGUUGAUAGAAUUAUCUUCAAAUUCCCCCAUGCUGGCUUUUCUGGAAAGGAAGACAACAAUCAACUUAUUCAAUGAGCUGCUUUAAAAUACAGUUCCUUGUAGAAAUUUUGUGUUUCUUCUGUAUUGCUUACUAAUCUGAAACUUUCAUUUCUUUUGCAAUGAUCCAGCUAUUCACUGUCAUCGUUUGAUGUUAAUACGGGGAUUAGCAACUCAUGCUUUUGAAGAUUUCAUGGAUAGGAUUGAAACUUAAUUGAAAAUCAUAGUUUCCAAAGGGGAAUUGCUAAAUUGCUGAUGAAGAAAUUAUAGUCUCGUUUAGAUUUAGAUACAAGUUGAAAGCGAAAACCCAGCUUUGAUUUUAAGGGAUCUGGGAUUUGGAUGACUCUUGCAUAUAUAGGAUAUUAUUGUAAUGUUUUGCUUUCAAUGGUUGAUUACUUGUUAGUGAGGAAUUUCAGAGUGACGAAAUAUGCAGAGUCCUGUGGAAACGUGGGUCGAUACACUACAGUGACAUGAAAAUGGUUGAAAAAAAAAAAAAGGGUGAACUUGCUUAAUAAAGUGAUACGUUUUGCUUAAAAAUUCAAUACAUUGUAGUCUAGAGUUCCCUGUGAUAUUUUAAAAACCACUAAUUCUGAAAAUGCUGGCUCGUAUACCUGUUCGAUGAUCUUUCUUCUGGUAAUCGUAGAAUGCAUAUGAGUCUUGCGGAAGGUUUCUUGAAAUGCAAGUGGCAUGCUGAGGCAUAGUUGUGAAGUUCAUGUAACCCACAAAACAACUGCUCCAUUUCGCGACUGGAAUAUCGAGGAACUUGCUCCCAAACACUGUUUGUCAUCAAUGUACCCUGUCAACCUUAAAAAAGAAGACUACCCUGGUUACAACAACAAGAGAGGAGCUGGUUUGAAAUGUCAUGAGCCCUUCCCCUUGGGAGAGUGCAGUACCUUCAUAUUUGGAUUCUAUCGUGCUAGCAAGAGAGUAAUGAGUUAUGGUGGAUUCGCUAACAAAAGACAUCAGCCGGUUCAAGAGAUUCCAAUCCAAGUGCAGAAGGAUGGAACUCCAUUUGACUCGAGAUAUGCUAAUGCAAAGUCAGCCACUGGUAUGAAUGAAUUUCCAGCCUCUUCGAAGUUUGAUGACAGUGGCAUGGGUUACUCUGUUCGUGAAUAUCCUAGGUUUGACAGUUUCAUAUAUCCUCGAACAAGUUUCACUAGAAAUAUGACUGACCAUCCAGCAUAUAAGAGACUAGCUUUGAUGAGUAAUAUACAAAGAGAAAAUGUUAGGUCCCAUAAUGGCCGCUUCAAUAGUUCCAUAAUUCUGUGUGAAAGGUAUAUCGCAGAAGUACCAGGAUUCCAAAGAGAAAAUGCGAGGAGUUUGUAUCCUAUGGAUGGAAGUAAUUUAAAUGAAAGGUGCACCAAGUUGUUUGUGUAGCACACUGUAUGGCUAGAGAGUUUCAUGCUCUUGGUCUUCGCAGUUUUCUUAUUUGUAUGGUUUGGUUUUCUUUAUUUUUUGCCGACAAAUAAACAAAUCAACUUGCAAUAAAAUAAAUAUUAAAAUACACUGAAAAAGCUCAAAUGCCGACAAAUUCCAGGUUGUUCAAAUAAUUAAUUCUAUAGUAAGUAUGAAGAAUAAAAUAAAAGCAAUCAACUUGCAAAUUGCAAAUUCUGCAUUCCUAAACCAAUGUCCAAACGGGGGUAAACAUGUCUGCAAACAUAAACAAUGAUCAAACACUGUUUGCAAAAGCAUCAAUCUGCUUUGUAAAUUAGACCUGCUGGUAUGAUAUGGCGGAGGCUGCGGUGAACUUUGCAAUAGAGACCUUGGGUCCUUUGCUUGUCGAAGAAAUCAGAUUGUGGGGAGGUGUUAGAAAAGAAGUUCAAAGCAUCAAAAGCGAACUGGAGAGUCUCAGAUCUUUCCUCAAAGACGCAGAUGCAAGGGCAGCAGUCAAAGAAUUAGAAGGAGGCGGUGAGGAAAGUGUCAGAACUUGGGCGAAACAACUGAGGGAUGAAGCUUAUCGCAUUGAAGAUGUGAUCGAUGAGUACACACUCAUGGUGGCAAAACUCCCUCAUGGGAGUGGCCUCGUUGGUGUUCUCCAUAGAAUAAGUCGUUCCAUAAAGAAGCUGAAGCUGCGGCGUGGAGUUGCUACUGAGAUUCAAGAUAUCAAAUCAGCGCUUGCUGAUAUAAAGCGAAGGGGAGAAAGCUAUCGAUUCAGAUCUAUUGAUGAACCAUCGAGCAGUGGAACCAGAAAUGUUAUCCCACAUGACUCUCGAGUUCGUUCCAUCUUCGUUGAAGAUGAUGAAGUUGUGGGCAUCGAAUCCAUUAAACGUAAAUUGAUUGAUUUGAUGGUGAACGGAAGAUCCGAACGUUCAGUGGUUGCUGUGGUGGGUGAAGGAGGACUAGGCAAGACCACUCUUGCCGGAAAUUUUUUUAACAAUGAUGGUUUAAAAACUCACUUCAGUAGCCGGGCUUGGGUCACCGUUGGGAAAGAAUACAACAAAAAUAAUUUGUUGAGGACAAUUCUAAAGGAGUUUCAUCGUGUAACAAACGAGCCUGCUUCAGUGGAGACACACGACAUGGAAGAGAUGGAGCUGAUCACCGCGCUGAGGGACCACCUGAAGGACAAGAGUUACAUGGUUGUGUUCGACGAUGUUUGGAAGAUUGAUUUCUGGGGAGACGUGGAGGAUGCUUUACUUGAUAACAAGAAAAGCAGCAGGAUAAUUGUCACAACACGGCGCAUGAAUGUCGCUAAGUUUUGCAAAUCAUCUUCCCCUGUUCAUGUCCAUGAGCUUGAAACUUUGCAUCCGAAUGAAGCGUGGAAACUUUUUUGUAGAAAGGCGUUCGGACCAAGCCCCGGAGGCUCUUGUCCUCCAGAGUUGAAAGAGUUGUCCGAGGGAAUCCUUGCAGAAUGUGGAGGUUUGCCUCUUGCUAUUGUGGCCGUAGGUGGACUUCUUUCAACCAAGAACAGGGUUGUAUCUGAAUGGAAGAAAUUGUUUGAUAGGUUGGGCUCAAUGUUAGGAAGCGAUCCCCAUCUAAAAGAUUGCAACCGAGUUUUAUCUGAAGGGUAUUAUGAUCUUCCUCACCAUCUCAAAUCAUGUCUUCUGUACUUUGGCUUAUUUCCAGAGAGCUGCAAAAUUAACUGUGCUAGACUCAUCCGUUUGUGGAUAGCUGAGGGCUUUGUCCAGUACAGCAAACGCCCCACAUCUGAACAGGUUGCAGAAGAAUACUUGAAUGAGCUCGUUGACAGAAGCUUGGUUCAAGUUUCAGAGAGAGAUAUUUCUGGACGAGCUAGAAUCUGCCAAGUUCAUGAUCUUAUGCACGAGAUCAUCACCAGAAAAACUGAAGAAUUGGGCUUCGGUCGUGUGCUGAACGGAGAGGACUUGAGUCAUUGCAGUAAAACUCGACGCAUUACUAUACAGAGAAGUAUUGAUGACGGUGCUUUAGAGAGAAUCAAAGACUCGAAGGUCCGUUCUGUUUUUCUUUUCAAUGUGGAUAGGCUGCCCGACUCUUUCAUGAAUGCAAGUAUUGCCAAUUUCAAGCUCAUGAAAGUACUAGAUCUGGAAGAUGCUCCUGUAGUUUACCUUCCUGAAGGAGUGGGGACCUUAUUCAAUUUACACUACUUGAGUGUGAAAAAUACAAAAGUAAAAAUAAUUCCCAAGUCCGUUGGAAAUCUUCUCGGUUUAGAGAUUUUGGAUCUGAAAAAUAGUUUGGUGAGAGAACUACCAGUAGAGAUCAGGAAUCUUAAAAAGUUGCGUUAUCUAAUGGUGUAUCAGUACAAUUAUACCUCGGGUUUUAGUAUAGCAGGAGCACCAGCAGCGAAAUUACACGAGGGCUUUGGGUCGCUAACGGAUCUGCAGAAGUUGUGUAUUAUAGAAGCUGACUCUCAAGUGCUUAAAGAGCUUAUGAAGCUAAGGCAGUUAAGAAAGUUGGGCAUUAGGCCCCAAAAUGGAAAUGGCAAGGAUGUGUGUGCUUUGAUUACAAAUUUGAAAAACCUAGAGUCUUUAACGGUCGAAAUGACAAGCAAAGAAGAAAUACUUGACUUGCAGUCUUUGAGUAGUCCUCCUCAAUAUCUGCGGCGUCUCUCUACUUGAGGGGGAAUAUGAAGAAACUGCCGGAUUGGAUUUUUAAACUAAAAAAUGUAAUCAGACUGGGUUUGGACUUGUCGGGAUUGACUGAGGAUCCAAUCAGAGUCCUUCACGCCUUGCCUAAUUUAUUGGAACUUAGACUCAGGGGGACAUACAACUACGAGCUUUUUCGCUUUGAAGCAGGUUGGUUUCCAAAACUCCAAAUAUUGAAUCUCUUUGGCUUCGUCGCUGUGAAAUCGGUUAUAAUAGAGAAAGGUGCGAUGCCUGAUAUUAGAGAACUGCGGAUUGGGCCUUGCCCAUUGUUGAUGGAGAUUCCUAUUGGAAUUGAACAUCUUAAAAACCUUAAGCUACUCAAAUUUGCUGGUAUGAUUAAACAAGUUUAUUACAUGACAAAAGACGAGAACUGGGAGAAGGUUACUGAGCAUAUACCAGAUGUCCUUGUCACUUUUGUGAAAGCCGGGCGACUGUUUUAUUAUCGAAAAGAGGAUCUCUCAUCUCUGUCUCCUGAAUAUGUCGAGCAAAUCUGCUGAAGAAGAGGACUCAAAUAGGGAGCAGUCACGCACAUCUAUGAAAUAAGUAAACAGGUCUGCCACUCUCCUGCGUAUUUGGAUUAUUUUCUAUUUACUUUUAAGAAAAAUUAUUUUUCUCAUUUUUAAUUUGACAGACAAUUUAAUUAUAUAUAAUUCAAAUAAAAAUUCAACAAAAAAAUUCCUUUUUCCCUCUAAUUUGAGUACGUUUAAUAAAUAAAUAAACAAAUGCAGUAGGUCAGUAAAUCUUUUUCUAGUCAAAUAUAUAGUUAGAAUCAUAUAAUGAUUAGGUAUUAAUGUUAGUAUAGUAAUUUCCGUUAUAUUUUUUGUUACCAUGAACAGAUGGAGUAUACAUAUCUUGCUUCUAGCGAAUUCAUUGAUGAGUUCAUCGAACCUAUACUGGAUCAGAUUGUGGUGGUAAUGCUACAUUGAUAUGCUUUGAGUUUGAGUAAUUAUUAUCAGUGUUAUCGUGUAAUACAUGCAUAUGUGAGUGGUUGCUGCUGUGAGUGUGAGUGUAUUCUUCUAUAUAUUUAAGACUGAGAUUAUGAUUUUAGAAAUGUUGUAUUACUAUUGUAAGGAAUUGUCUGUUGGGAAAAUAUGCUCUUUAAAAGCAUAUGUGUUUAUUUAAUUGUAAUAAACAAUUUUUCUGAUUAAUAAAAUAAAUGAGGUAUUUUAUUCAAAUAUCUUAAUUGCAUUAAUAUUUGUAUUAAAGUCCAUUUAAUCAUAUUAUAUGUAUUUAUGUGAUCACCAUGUGGAUUCACAGAAGACAUAAAUACAAGUUAUCUUAUGAUUAAAUAAAUUUAGUUCGCAGUUGAUAAAUAAAGUUGGGCACUUUAUUUAGGUAUAGACUGUAAUAAAUUCAUUGAAUGAUUUGUCUUAAUCAUGUAUGAAUUUAUUGAUGUAGUACGACUACAUUGAACAGGAUCACAUAUGAGAUUUAAUUAACUUUGUAAUAACUGUCAGACUUAUUAAAUCUCAUAGGCGUUGAUUUUACUGUAAUCUUAAUCUUGAGUUAAUUAUGAUUUCAUGAUUGUGAUUGUUAUUUCAUUUGAGUUACCAAUGGGCACGACACAUCCUUGUGGUCAAGAUUACCCGGUAUCUUGGUGGGAGCAAUUAUGAGUAUUGGAGUUAUGGAUUAACAAUAUAGAAUUUGUACAACACAUCUCUUGAUAGGUUUUCGGUACUUGAUCAUAGAAUUCUCUGGCCAGAGUGUGUCAACAUAUUUAGUAUGUUGAAAAUGAUCAUUAGAGAAAACCAGUAAGGAUCAAGGAAUAAGAUGUUAUUAAAUUGAUUGGACAGUUGAGAUAUCAAUUUAAUUAACGAUGUGGUACAAAGGAUUGUGCAGUAAAGAAAUCAAUGUGGCUUGGGACGAAUUAUUAUUCGAGCAUACAAUUAUGGAAGUCAGUUCCAAUCUUUUAGUGGAGUAGAUUUGGAAUUAAAUAAUUGGGCUAGUUUAAUUACAGGCCUAAUUAUUGUAGCCACUAUUGUAUGUUCCCAAAUGAUCCCCGGGUUAGCUCAUUUAAUUGAUUGCACCACUGCUGGACUAAUAAGCAAGAUAACUAGCUAUUUGGGUCAAAAGCCUAAAUAUAUCAUUUAGUGGGAGGCUCCAUUUAAUAAGCUUAUGUGUAAGGGGCCUUAUGUUAUUUUACAUGGUGGGUCCCCUAUUAAAUGAAAAGUAACGUGAGUUUUAUUUUGGGGGAAUCCUUGGAACCUAGGGUUUUCACUAAAGGGAGAUAUAUAAGGCUUAUUUUCCCAAAAAGGAGAAAGGGAAGCCACUUUAUACAAAUCAGAGAAUAAGAUUUUUCUCUCCAUUGUUGAGAGAAAAAUUUUCUCGUGCUAGUUGCUUUGGUAGUGAUAAAGGCGCCCACACGUCAAGUGCAGAUCGAACCUGAGUCAUAACCUGGAAGAUCAUUGGAGACAGUUCGUGAUCUAACAAGCGUGGUGGUGACGGAUCGUGAUCUAACAGGAGUGGUGGUGGCGGAUCGUGAUCUAGGAGCCUAAAUCACUUCAGUGGAAAAAGCAAACUCAGAUUUACAAGGUACGAUUUCUAGAAUACGAAUUCUUAUAUAUUAUAUGAGAGCGAUCUUCAAAAGGUUUUAUAAAAAUUUAAAAACCUGAUUUUUCCCCAACAAUUGGUAUCAGAGCCAUCUCAUAUUAAUAUAUAAGAAUUUCGUAUGAAAUUAAUCUUGAAAUUUAUGUAUUAGAGUGGCACAAUUUAUUCAGAUGUAUAUUAUUUAUUUAAUAUAUGAAUAAAGCAUGCUUAUGGUUUGUCUUAAUUCAUGGUUAGAUUUUCUUUUGUAUUGUUCUUUGGAUCUGUAACAAGAGGGGUGGUUUUUUAUCACCAUGUUUCCCUCUUGAUUUAUUUUACAGUUAUAGAAUUUUUGUAAGCCAAAAUUGGUCUAGGAAAUUUGUAAAUUAAUCUCAGAUUUUCAAGAUCGGAGCGACGGAGGCCGGAAAUUAUGACAGCGGCAGCAAACCAGGGCAUGCUGCAGCAGCGUGCGCGGCCAGCAAUGGCCAGCAUCGCGCGCUGCGCUGUGCGCAGCAAAGCAGCGCGCGCGGCCAACAUUGGCCAGCGGCGCGCGCUGCGCUGUGCGCAGCAAGCAGCGCGCGCGGCCAGCGUGGCCAGCAGCGCGCGCUGCAUGUGCUGCAGCUGGAAGCAACGCUGCCGAGGCCAGCAGAAAGUUGCGCGCGGGUUUUGGCACGUUUUCCGGCCAGGCGGCAGCAGUUGGUUUGGCGUCGGCGUCGGCGUCGGAGGUCGGCUGGCGUCUGAACAGUGAAGGAGGAUUUUGGAGAUGGCGGCUGGGGAAGAAGAAAGAAAGAAAAAUAUGGAUUUAGGGUUUCAUGGCUUUUAUCAUGGAGGUCCCUAUGGUUCCAUAAUUUUUUACUUGGGCAGUCAAGUUUUAAUUUUUUGCAUUUAAGUCUAAAAAUAGUUUUGGGCUUAAAGAAUCCUAGUUUUAGGCCCAAUUGAUAUUUGGGCUUAAUGGAUUAAAAAUGCAUAGACAAAAUUAAAUACAUUAAAUUUAUUUUUGGUCCAAAAGUUUUAUUUUAAUUAAAAAAAAUAAAAUAAAAAUAAAAUAAUUUAUUUAUUUAUUUCCUUUCAAAAUUAAAAUUGGACCAAUUAUAAAUUUAAAAGCUCAAUUUCCCAUAGUCCAUUAACAAAAACAAGCUUAUGGAAUAUGGACAUUGACAAGAAGCCCAAUGAAGAUUAGGCUUAGGGUUAAUGUAUUUUUCAUUAUUAGGAAAGCCAUGAAUUAAGAUUAUUUAAUAGUUUUUCUAUAUGUUAUGUUUUGGAUGAUAACAUGCCAUGAUAACAUGUCAUAUAGAAUAGGUAGUGCCACUCUAUGCAUAAUGAUACAUGUCAUUCAUUAAUAAUGAAUUUCAUUAUAUUGUUUGAAAUUUGUAUAUGCUUAAUAAUAUUUGAUAUCAUCUAGAUAAUAUUAUAGGAAGCAUGCAAUUAACAAUAUGUAUGUUUUAAAAAGGAAAAACCAAUUUUAAAAUAUUGAGUGGGAGAGGGAAAAUUCAAGAUAAUUUUCCCACGGGCUCCAUUGUUAGUUCAAUAAUAAAAUUAUAUAUAUACCUCGACUUCAUGAUACGGUGAUGCUCCCUUCGGAGGGUAUAUAUAUUAGAUAUUUUAUUUGAUGAACUUCUUCAAAGAUAAAAUUGAAAUAUUUUUCAAUCGAUUGUUCACCCCAACGGUGACUAUUGAUAUGAAAAAUACGUAGAUUGAAACAAUGGUUAUACACUCAACUAAAGUUUGUUAUUAACCUUCCCAACGAAGCUCUGUUAACAAAUUUAGGUCCAAAGGGAUAACGAUAAUUAUUUAUCAUGUCUCUACAUGAAAGUAAAUAAUCCAAUGGAUAAUUGAGUCUAGUAAGUGUAGACAUGACUUCCCCAACGGAUAGCUUGUCAAAGCGGUACUAGAUUAUCGUUACAAUAAAUUAAAAUGCAUUUAUGGUUUUUUGCAUUUUUGUCAUUUAUUGUGAAUAUUGUUUCAAAGUAUUUAUGCAUGUGUAUUUUAUUUUUUCAGAAAAUGUCUUCCAUCAACCCAUUAUUAUUUAUCCUUGUUAAAAAUGAACUCACUGGCGAAAAUUAUUUAGAUUGGAAACGCAAUCUAUUUAAUAUUCUCACUGCUAAGGGAAGCAAAUAUGUGUUGACCCAGCCUUGCCCUCCUGAACCAUCGUUAUACGAUUAUAGAAAUCAGAGGGAGCCUUAUGAGAAAUGGUGCGAAGCUAACAAAAUGGCUAAGCGCUAUAUAUUGGCUUCGAUUUCUGUGGAACUGCAUAAGAAACAUCGGAGCAUGGAAACAACCACUGAAAUAAUGGCUAGUCUUCAUCAGAUGUUUGGGCAAAAUACCCAUUUUGCCAGAGAAGCAGCAUUAAAACGUAUUACGGAUACUCAGAUGGAAGAGGGCACAAAAGUUCGUGAUCAUGUCCUCAAAAUGAUGGACUAUUUGAAUGAGGUAGAGAUUCAUGGUGUUCAAAUCAAUGAUAAAUCAAAGAUUAACAUGGUGAUUGAAUCUUUACCUGAUACAUUCAAAGAGUUUAAGGUCAGCUAUAUCUUAAACAAUAAAGAUAUGACCUUAAUUGAAUUAAUGCACGAACUACAUGCUAUAGAAGAAUUUUAUCAUAGCAGAAAACUUCCUGAAAAAGGAUUCUCUUCAAGGCUUAAGUCAAAAGACAAGAAUGAGCAAGCAAGAGUUGGGAUCGGCAAACUGUCCAUUAAAAGAAGUGGCAAGCCAAAAGGCAAGUGUUACAAAUGUGGACAGAAGGGUCACUGGAAGAAAGAUUGUCCUAAGAUUAUUAAAAUCAGGUAUAGGAAAUCUUUAAGCUUCCUAAUUAGUUCAGAUUUCUAUUGAUUCAUACAAUAAUGAAUUCUGAGAUAACUAAUCUUAUUUGUAAUUCAUUUAUUUGGUUUUCAGGAAACCAAGAGAUUAAGUGAAGAAAGCUUCAAAUAGCAGUUGAGGAUGUGCUAGUUUAUAUCAAUUGAAAGACUAGAUCAAUUUUACAAGACUUUAGUUUUGAUAUUUGUCUUUAUUUUUCCAAAUAUUAGAGGAAUUUAAUUUCAGUGGCUUGUUUUAAUAAACAGGAGUACACUGUUAUUUUUGGAUCCUCUGUUUAUUACUUAUUUUGGUUAUUUAUAAAGACAAUUUAUAUCAUAAAAGUACAUUGAUCUAUUCAAAGUAAGAUAUAAUGAUUAAAAGUAUAUGCAUUUAUCUAAGAAAAGAAAUGUUUCUUCUAACCAAAAAUCACCUCUGAUAGUUAUGCUUAAGUCAUAUAAACUAUAAUAAGAUUUUAAGAAAAUGAUUAAUGAUAGACUUGUUGGCCUAUUAAGAUUGAUCAUUGUAACUCUAUAAAUCUUAUUUAGAAAAGUAAUAUGACAAGGAUACUCUUUAUGAGCUAAAAGCAUAACAUUGUAUUUGAUGAUUUAGCGCAUACAAAUGUAUACGGACUAAUCAGUUUACAUGUUAUAAGAGGUUAUGAGUAUUCUAUCAAUCUAGUUGAUGAAUAUUCAUUUUAUGUUUGUCUAAAUGAGUCAUGAUUCCAUUGCUUUUGAAAUUCAAAAGAGUACGUGAAUAAGACAGAAGCAAUUAGACAGGAACAUAAAAGAAUUUCGAUAUGAUCGAAACAAAGAAUAUCUCUAUGGAGAAUUCAAGCACUAUUUGGUUGUCAAUGAACACUAUGAUACAAUAGUGUAAUUAAAUGGAGAAACAAGAUUCUUUUGGAUAAGACAAGAUAUAUACUAAGUGGUUUAUCAUUUACCUUUUUGAUUCCAGAUACUAGUAUUUGAAACUACAAAGUUUAUUGAACUUAGUUUCAUCUAUCUCGGUGUCCACUACUCCAAGAAAUUAUGAAAAAGUCACAAACAUGGUUUGAGACACAUUCGUAUUUGGAGUUUACUAGUAUUUCUACUAGAAUCAGAGAUAGAGAAGAUGGAUUCGUGUUCAGAAGCUUGCAUGUUUUAGGUAUCUUAAAGGAAUAAGGGAAAGUCUGAAUUAUAGUCCUCAAGAUAGGAAUGUAUUUAUAGAAAUAUUUUUUACUUUCUUUGAGGAAGACUAUAUAAUGACUUAUAACCUAAGAGUAAGGUAAAACUAGAGAAAUAAAAGAGAUCAGGUUGAUGCUCAGCUUUCAACACCUGUUAUAGAACAGGAAGAACAGCAACAACCAGCUGAUCAGCACAGGAUUAUCCUUGAACAACCAUCACUUUUAGAACCUCGUCGUAGUGGGAGGGUAACUAGGUUACCUGCAAGAUACAUGUUUUUGGGAGAAACCUAUAAGGCUAUCUCAGAUGAACAUGUACAAGAUCCCACUAGUUACAACGAAGCUCUAAUAGAUAGAGAUGAUGAAUUUUGAAAAAGGCCAUGAAUCAAGAAAUGGAAUCUAUGUAUUCCAAUAAAGUCUGGGAACUUGUAGAGGCACCAAAUGGGGUAAAACCUAUAGGGUGCAAGUGGAUCUACAAGAGAAAAAGAGGAGUAGACGGAAUGGUGGAAACAUUUAAAGCAAGAUUAGUAGCCGAAGGGUUUACUCAGAAAGAAGGAAUCAAUUAUGAGGAAACCUUUUCUCCGGUUGCUAUGCUUAAAUCCAUCAGGAUUCUGCUCUCCAUUGCUGCAGUGCUAGAUUAUGAAAUUUGGCAAAUGGAUGUCAAGACUGCCUUUCUUAACAGGCAUCUUGAAGAAAACAUCUACAUACAGCAACCAGAUGGAUUUAUACAAAAAAGGCCAAGAACACAUGGUAUGUAAGUUGCAGAGAUCUAUUUAUGGAUUGAAGCAAGCAUCCCAGUCAUGGAACAUCAGAUUUGAUCAAGCGAUUAAAUCACUUGGAUUCAUUCAGAACAUUGAUGAACCAUGUGUGUACAAGAAAAUUCAGGGAAAAUUUGUAGCCUUCCUAGUUCUUUGUGUAGACAAUAUUCUCCUGAUUGGAAACGAUAUAGGAGUAUUGACUACAAUAAAGAUUUGGUUAGCAAAACAAUUUGAUAUGAAAGACUUGGGAGAGACAAGUUAUAUUCUUGGUAUCAAGUUACUAUGAGACCGGAAGAAUAAAACUUUAGCCUUGUCUCAAGCGGUCUAUAUCGAUAAGAUAUUGGCUAGAUUUAGUAUGGAAAAUUCCAAGACUGGUUUAUUACCAUUCAGACAUGGAAUUACAUUCUCUAAGGAUCAAUCACCUAAAACAUCUGAAGAGAUAGAGAGAAUGAGACGAGUUCCCUAUGCAGAAGCUGUGGGAAGUCUCAUGAAUGCCAUGCUUUGCACUAGGCCAGACAUCUGUUUUGCGGUAGGGAUGGUUAGUAGAUAUCAAUCUAAUCCUGGACCUGAACACUGGACUGUGGUCAAGCAUAUAAUGAAGUAUCUGAAAAGAACUUAAAAUUAUAUGCUUGUGUAUUCUGGUGAUGAACUUAUUCUAGUGGGUUAUACUAAUUCUGAUUUUUUGUCAGAUAAGGAUUUUAGAAAAUCAACUUCCGGCUAUGUGUUUACAUUGGGAAGUGGAGCUACUAGUUGGAUGAGUGUGAAACAAUCUUGUAUCACAGACUCAACAACUAAAGCUGAAUAUGUGGCUACAUCUGAAGCUGCAAAAGAAGCUAUAUGGCUCUGCAAGUUCCUACGAAAUCUUGAGGUGGUACCUGUUGUAACUGCACCCCUUAAACUAUUUUGUGAUAAUGGUGGUGCGGUAGCUCAAUCUAAGGAACCAAGGAACCACAAGAAACAAAACAUAUUGAAAGGAAGUAUCAUCUUAUAAGGGAAUAGUGUAGAAAGGUUAUAUGACAGUACCCCAAAUGGCAUUAGAUGCUAAAUGGCAGAUCUUAUUACAAUGGCCAUUAGUGGGAAACCUUUAUAACCUGCACUUAGAGCCCUAGAGCAUGUGCAAUAUGCCAGAUAUGCUUUGAGAGCUAGUGGGAGAUUGUUGGGAAAAUAUGCUCUUUAAAAGCAUAUGUGUUUAUUUAAUUGUAAUAAACAAUUUUUCUGAUUAAUAAAAUAAAUGAGGUAUUUUAUUCAAAUAUCUUAAUUGCAUUAAUAUUUGUAUUAAAGUCCAUUUAAUCAUAUUAUAUGUAUUUAUGUGAUCACCAUGUGGAUUCACAGAAGACAUAAAUACAAGUUAUCUUAUGAUUAAAUAAAUUUAGUUCGCAGUUGAUAAAUAAAGUUGGGCACUUUAUUUAUGUAUAGACUGUAAUAAAUUCAUUGAAUGAUUUGUCUUAAUCAUGUAUGAAUUUAUUGAUGUAGUACGACUACAUUGAACAGGAUCACAUAUGAGAUUUAAUUAACUUUGUAAUAACUGUCAGACUUAUUAAAUCUCAUAGGCGUUGAUUUUACUGUAAUCUUAAUCUUGAGUUAAUUAUGAUUUCAUGAUUGUGAUUGUUAUUUCAUUUGAGUUACCAAUGGGCACGACACAUCCUUGUGGUCAAGAUUACCCGGUAUCUUGGUGGGAGCAAUUAUGAGUAUUGGAGUUAUGGAUUAACAAUAUAGAAUUUGUACAACACAUCUCUUGAUAGGUUUUCGGUACUUGAUCAUAGAAUUCUCUGGCCAGAGUGUGUCAACAUAUUUAGUAUGUUGAAAAUGAUCAUUAGAGAAAACCAGUAAGGAUCAAGGAAUAAGAUGUUAUUAAAUUGAUUGGACAGUUGAGAUAUCAAUUUAAUUAACGAUGUGGUACAAAGGAUUGUGCAGUAAAGAAAUCAAUGUGGCUUGGGACGAAUUAUUAUUCGAGCAUACAAUUAUGGAAGUCAGUUCCAAUCUUUUAGUGGAGUAGAUUUGGAAUUAAAUAAUUGGGCUAGUUUAAUUACAGGCCUAAUUAUUGUAGCCACUAUUGUAUGUUCCCAAAUGAUCCCCGGGUUAGCUCAUUUAAUUGAUUGCACCACUGCUGGACUAAUAAGCAAGAUAACUAGCUAUUUGGGUCAAAAGCCUAAAUAUAUCAUUUAGUGGGAGGCUCCAUUUAAUAAGCUUAUGUGUAAGGGGCCUUAUGUUAUUUUACAUGGUGGGUCCCCUAUUAAAUGAAAAGUAACGUGAGUUUUAUUUUGGGGGAAUCCUUGGAACCUAGGGUUUUCACUAAAGGGAGAUAUAUAAGGCUUAUUUUCCCAAAAAGGAGAAAGGGAAGCCACUUUAUACAAAUCAGAGAAUAAGAUUUUUCUCUCCAUUGUUGAGAGAAAAAUUUUCUCGUGCUAGUUGCUUUGGUAGUGAUAAAGGCGCCCACACGUCAAGUGCAGAUCGAACCUGAGUCAUAACCUGGAAGAUCAUUGGAGACAGUUCGUGAUCUAACAAGCGUGGUGGUGACGGAUCGUGAUCUAACAGGAGUGGUGGUGGCGGAUCGUGAUCUAGGAGCCUAAAUCACUUCAGCGGAAAAAGCAAACUCAGAUUUACAAGGUACGAUUUCUAGAAUACGAAUUCUUAUAUAUUAUAUGAGAGCGAUCUUCAAAAGGUUUUAUAAAAAUUUAAAAACCUGAUUUUUCCCCAACAUUGUCAUCAUAUAAUAUUCAGUGUUUAAUAAUAAAAACUUGAAAUACAAGUGUGCAAUCUAAGAGGGGGGUGAAUUGGGAUUCUAAAAAUUAUUUGAUUCUAAAACAAAUUAUCAAGUAAAUCUAAAAUGAAUUUAAUGGAAUAACAAUUAAAUCAAUUACAAUAUGAAAAGAUAAGGGAAGAGAGAUUCAAACACGGAGAUUUUUACGUGGUUCGGCCAACUUCGCCUACGUCCACGCUUCCAAAUUUUCUGGACUUGAGGAUUUCACUAAACAAGCCUCCAAGGUUUCAAAUGCUUACACUUGACUUCCAAGGUUAAGGACAUAUUAUUUAGAGAUAGAAAAAGUAGGUACUUAUUUGCGAAAUCGUGUAAGAUUAGGAAUCUGAUACUAAUUUCUCAUUUUUCUUUUUCUUUUUUUUUUUAAACAUUUAUCUAAUCGUGCGCCUACUGUUGUUUUAUUUACCCUGAGGUACGCGCAUACUGCACUCGCGCCAUUAGAGUGUUCGGAAAACGCGGGGGUAUGUUGGGUAAUUUAGGCAGCAAUAUCCAAGCUAAGGAGAUAUUUUUGCUGAUGUGUCAGUUACAAUAGCGCGCGUUGUUGGCCUGCCCCUACGCGCAAAACUGUAGGGUCAGUUUUUAGGGGUCGAGGGAGUGGCGUUGACUGGAUUUUAUAACGGAUAUGGUCUUUGGGGCGCUAUAUAAGGGAAAAAUGUAUAUUUAGUGGGGUUUGAUGGUUUGGUUUCAUUUUCUAUUUUUUUACGCGAAGGAUCUGACGGCUAGCAUUAAAGAUGCAGAAUCUAUAAUUUGCUUUGGGAUUGGGGAGUUAAAACUUACUAAGGCACUCUAAUAUCCAUAGGAAAAAAAAAAAAAAGAUAAGUGGCAGUAGUUAGCGUUAAAAAAUACAGAGAAACUUUAUGAAAAAAAAAAAAGAAUGUAGGUGACUCUAAUGUUAGGAAAUUACAUGUGAUUUGAUUGAAUUAGCUUUUUUGGUUUUGUAAUUGCUUUAAGUUGCUCAAGGAAUGAUCCCGCAUAGGCUCACUCAUUAUAAUCUAUAUAUUCUAUCAAAGUGUUAGUUUUUGCGUGAAUUAAAGAGAAAGAGUGCUGGAAAUUUCAUUUUAUUUACUUUUCCAUGUCGUGGAUAAAUGAGAGCCGAAACAAUGUUAAGUCUCUUCACAAUAAAAGUAAUUUUCGUACAUCUUUUCCUUCAGCUUUAUGAUACGCAAUGCACAUGGUCCUUAGUCCCUACACUUGCCCCUUUAUUAAUUAUUGGUUGAGAAACUUGUGGGCCUUAAAUGAUCGCAUAUGUACUUUUUUCCUUCAUUAUCACCCUUUCGCACUAAGUAUCACAAUCGUAUAUUAAGGCAACAAAUAUAAUAAAAAAAAUAAAAAAAACCAUUAAAAGAAAUUGUAACCGCUACUCAUCAAUAAAAACCCAUCUUGGUUUGGUUGGAAGAAUUUCCGUAAAAAUACAGAUGGCAUUUGAUUUGAAUUUGAAAUGUAAAUUUAAUUAAGGAAACUAAUAAACAAGGAAAUACAAAUCCUCAAAUAAAUAAAUAAAUAAGGAAACACAAAUCUAUAUAUCUAUAUAAAGCUAGGACUUGAGGAGAUGAUGUGGCAUCACCAUUUUGCUUCUUUGUAUAUUCUCUAUUAUCUAAUAAAUAGAGAAUUUUUUUUAAGAUUUAGUUUUUCAUCUUCUCAUAAUUAAUUUGAUUGUAUUUAACUCAUUUAAUAAAUAGUAACUUUAUUAAUAUAUAUCAUUCAUCAUCUUUUUAUAUUUUGUCUAUUAUCUAAAAUAUCUAAAAUAUUGGUGGAUAUUCUUUGUACUUUUUUUCUCUUUCUAUUUAAAUUCAACAAUAUGUAAUCAUUAAUAAUAAUUAAUUAUAAGUCUUUUGAAACAUUUAUUUAUUUUAUUAUGCUAGCAAUUAAACUUUAGUGGCUUAAAAUACAUGAAUUAAUUAACAUAGGAAGAUAGGUUCUUUUAUUUUCCCUCAACAAUGCCACUAAGACCUAAUUUUAAUGCCAUAAUCUCAUAUUUAAUUAUACAACCUUUUGUUGAGUGUCUUUUGGCUUCUUCAAAAUUUAUUAUACUAUCAAUUAAACUUUAGUGCCUUAAAAUACAUCACCUAAUUAACAUAGGAAGAGAGGUUCUUUUAUCUUCCCUCAACCUCAUCUUUUUAUAUUCUCUAUUAUCUAAAAUAUUGGUGGAUAUUCUUUGUACAUAUUUCUUCUUCUUUCUAUUUAAAUUCAACAAUAUGUAACCAUUAAUAAUAAUUAAUUAUAAGUCUUUUGAAACAUAUAUUUAUUUUAUUAUGCUAGCAAUUAAACUUUAGUGGGUUAAAAUACAUGAAUUAAUUAACAUAGGAAGAGAGGUUCUUUCAUCUUCCCUCAACAAUGCCACUAGGGCCUAAUUUUAAUACCAUAAUCUCAUAUUUAAUUAUGCAACCUUUUGUUGAGUGCCUUUUGGCUUCUUCAAAUUUUAUUAUGCUAGCAAUUAAACUUUAGUGUCUUAAAAUACAUAAACUAAUCUAUCUAUAUAUAUCUAUAUUUAUAUCUAUCUAUAUAUAUAUAUAAAGCUGAGACUUGAGGAGGUGAUGUGGCAUCACCAUUUCUCAUCUUUGUAUAUUCUCUAUUAUCUAAUAAAUAGAGAAAUUUUCUUUUAGAUUUGGCUUUUCAUCUUUUCAUAAUUAAUUUGAUUGUUAUUACACAAUAACAAUUAUGUAAAGAUUUUAAUGAGACAUAUUUUUUGUAAUGAACAUCCAAAGGGGAGUGUUAUGAAUUAAUUAAAAUAAAUGUAGAUGUUUAUAACAUAUAUCUCUUAGUCUCCCCACUAUCUCCCAUUAGCAACAUUUACCUUCCCCCCCACUAUCUCCCAUUAGCAACAUUUACCUUCCUUAUAACUCCCACUAUCUCACAAGGAAUUAUGAUCCAUAAUUUUUCAUUAAUUUCAUGGAGUGAUUAUCUAUAUAUCUAUAUAAAGCUAGAACUUGAGGAGGUGAUGUGGCAUCACCAUUUUGCUUCUUUGUAUAUUCUCUAUUAUCUAAUAAAUAGAGAAUUUUUUUUAAGAUUUAGUUUUUCAUCUUCUCAUAAUUAAUUUGAUUGUAUUUAACUCAUUUAAUAAAUAGUAACUUUAUUAAUAUAUAUCAUUCAUCAUCUUUUUAUAUUUUGUCUAUUAUCUAAAAUAUCUAAAAUAUUGGUGGAUAUUUGAUUAGUAUUAAAAAUUGUUUAAUUAUCAAGCGAUAAUAUGUUAUUUUAUGCUUAUGUUAUAAUUUAUAUUUGUGUUUAUGUAAUAUAUUAUGAAUUAUUAAUUAUGUUUUAAAUAUAUUUAAUUUUGUGUAUUUUUAUGUGUUUAUUAGGAAAAUUAUUAAUUUCACGUACUUCGAGGCUCCAAACAGAUAAACGGAGGUCAAAUUUGGAUUCCGGAGGUCCGAAAACCUUAAGAUCAGUCAAGAUCGGCUUAAAAUUGGGCUUGUGUAAAAAAAGUUGACUUUUCCUGUUGACCGAGCACUGAUUGGAUGAUGAAAUGAGCUUACAAUAGAUAUGAGUGCAUGGGAUAACUGGCAAUCUUGACCAAAUCUCAACCGUUCAUGAUUCAAUGGCCAUGAUUGUGCCACGUGGCAAUGGUUGGUGAAGCAAGUUGGAGGAUCCGAAUCUUUGUAUUCGGGUCGACCCGAUCCACCCAUUAACCCGCCAAAUCUCAACCGUUCUUUGGGUAAAUCGGACGAGUCAAAUGAUGCCAUGUGUGAUGUUGACUUUUGAAGUUUGACCAGCCAUUGGAUCUUGAUCUAAGGGUUGUGAGGAGCACAUGCAUGAAGCCUAUGAUGGACCGCAAAGCACGGGAUUAUGAAUUUAUUUUUUCUAUAAAUAGGGCCUCAUUUUUAUGUUUUAAUCAUCUCUCUACAACUCUCUUCUUCUCAAAUUCUCUCCAUCUCCUUGUAAUCUUGAUUUCCAGGUGUGUUUUUAAUAUUUUGUAUAAUUAUUUUCAUUAAUAAAAUUAGUUUUAUUUCCAAUUUUAGUUGUUUUUAUUUCUUUUAAUUAUAAGUAAUUCAAUUUUACUACUUUUUUUUAUUUUAAUUAUGCUUAACUAAAUAAUAUUAGUUAGGGGAAGGUGAAACUCUUAAGAAAUAAAUAUGAUUUAAUCAAAUUCUAUGUUUAAUUUUAUAAAUUAAAUUAUUUUCUAUUUAAUUUUAUACAUGUUUUAUAUUUUGAAAAUUUGAUUUAUUGUAGACAAAUAAAUGAAUUUGGCACAAUAAAUUCUUAAGAUCUUAAUAUAAGGCAUGGUGAAAUGGUAUUUUGACUUAUUGUAGACAAAUUAAAUUUUGGCACAAUAAAUACUUAAUCCAUCAUAAAAUUAAAGGGAAAAUAAUAAUAAUUUGUAUAAUUAAUCUUUUGAGUAAUAAAUCUAAAACAAAUUGGCAAAAAGAAUUUAUUAAGUUUUAUUUGUUUCUAAGAGUGGAUCCAUAACCCUAACUAGUUCAAUUCCAUAGUUUCAUUUAAAUUAAGUUGUUUAUAUUCAAGUUUUAAUUUCAAUUUUUAGAUCAAAUAAAAUAAAUUAAUUAAAUCUUUUCUCUGUGGAUCGACCUCGGACUCACCGAGUUAUAAUACAACAAGACACUCUUAUACUUGGGAGUUAAAAUUUACUUUUAAGUUGUGUCAAGUUUUUGGCGCCGUUGCCGGGGAAAAGUUUUUUUUUUAUUUGGUUUGUUUUUCCGUUUUUUAUUUUUCUCUUAUAUGUAAAAUUUCGUUUGCCCCCUUUUCCUUUUCUUAAAUUCUCUUUUGUCCCCAUAUCUUUCAUAAUUCUCGUUUCACCCCAAAAAUUUCUGUUUCUAGCCCAAUCUUUUGGUAAUUACGUUCGGACCCCGACACUUUCAACUGUUUCACUUUCAUCCCAAAUUGUUAAUUCUAAACUUCUAAAAAUUACAGUUUGACCAUACAAUUAAAAAUAAUUGGCAAUAGAAUCCCUAGACGAAAUUCCUCAACAUAAUCAAGACUUGGACAUACUUGGACAUACUUUGGACAUAUUUUGGACAUAUUUUGGACUUAAUUUGGACAAAACUAACUUUAACUACUAACUCUAAUUACUAACUCUUAACUUACUAACUGCUAACUUCUAACUUUUUUUAAUUUCAGUUAUUUAAUUUUCUGCAUUUAUUUUAUUUCGCAUUUAUUUAUUUUUGCUUUAUUGGUGGGUUUAACCACCAAACUAACUACUAACUCUUAACUUUUAUUUUCAGUUAUUUAAUUUUCAGUAUUUAUUUAAUUUUGUAUUUUUUUUUUUAAUUGGUGGGUUCAACCACCAUUUUUUUUUUAUUUUUAUUUUUUUUUGCAUUUAUUUUAUACUUAAUUUAUUGUUAAUUGGUGGGUUCAACCACCAAAAUUGUUAUUUAAUUUUCUUUUGUAUACAUAUAUUAUUUGCUUAUUUAUUUUUUUUAUUUUGUUAUCACUUUGUGUAAAUAUUAUCUUUAUAACAUAACCCUUGCAUGAGACAUUGGUCUCGAUCUUCAAGUGGCAGGUUAAUUCGUAAAUCUCAAUCUCCACCACCAAUCAUGGAUGAGAAUGAAGGCGAAAACGUUUUGGGUGAACUUAAUCCUCAAAUUGAUCAGGGAGACAACCAAUCUCAACAUGGGCAUGAUCAGAAUCAACCAAGGACUCUGAGAGACUACAUGAAUCCAACCAGAACCGGAGCACCGUCGUGUAUAGUAUUUCCUCCAGAUGCAUCUCGAUUCAACUUUAAACCAGGUAUUAUCCAGCUUUUACCAACAUUUCAUGGUUUAGAAUCUGAGAAUCCAUACUUGCAUCUAAGAGAUUUUGAGGAAGUUUGUAAUACAUACACGGACCAAAAUUGUAGCAUGAACAUAAUUAGAUUAAAGCUUUUUCCUUUUUCAUUAAAAGAUAAAGCUAAAACUUGGCUACAAAACCUUAGAUCUGGAUCAGUAAGAACUUGGAAUAACAUGCAAGAACAGUUUUUGAAAAAAUUCUUUCCACCUCAUAGAACAAAUUCUUUUAAAAGGCAAAUCACUUCUUUCACUCAAAAAAAUGGAGAAACAUUAUACCAAUGUUGGGAUAGGUUUAAAGAGUUGCUUAACAUAUGCCCACAUCAUGGUUUUGAAACUUGGCGAUUGGUCACUUAUUUCUACGAGGGCUUAAUACCCCAAAGUAGACAGGUUGUUGAAAUGAUGUGUAAUGGUGAAUUUAGGGAUAAAAAUCCUGAAGAUGCACUAGAUUACCUUGACCAAUUAGCUGAAAAUGCACAACAUUGGGAUACUGUUGGAACUUUUGAAUUGACAAAUAAGCAACAAUCAUCUCCAUCUAGUGGAGGAAUCCAUAACCUUAGGGAAGAUCAUGAUUUACAAGCAAAAUUUGCAUCCCUAGUUAGGAAAGUUGAAGCUUUGGAGCAUAAAAAGAGUGAUCAAGUAAAAUCUGUUCAAGAAAUUGCAUGUAACAUAUGUAAUUUGAAUGAUCAUUUCACUCAAGAGUGUCCCACUUUGCCUGCACUUAAAGAAUGUCUAAAUGAUCAAGCUAAUGUCAUUAACACUUUCAAUAAACCAAACCCAUAUUCACAGACUUAUAAUCCUGGUUGGAGAAAUCAUCCGAAUUUCAGUUGGAGGAAUAAUAAUAAUGCACAAUCUUCACAAGCACCACCUCCACAAAAUUUUCAAAAUCCUCAGCCUUAUGCACCAUAUGUUCCACCACCUUGGAAAAAUCUGGAAGACACAAUGCAUUCAUUCAUCAGAAAGCAAGAUGUUAUUAACAAUCAAAAUGCACAAACUUUUUCUGAUUUGAAAGAUACUCUUGCUAAAAUCGCUUCUGCACUCACCAUUCAAGAAAAAGGAAAAUUUCCAGCCCAACCACAACCAAAUCCUAAAAUUCAACAAAAUCCACCCACAGACCAAGUCAAGUCAGUUAUAACUCUUCGUAGUGGUAAGGUUGUUGAUAGACCUAUGCCUGAACCUUAUGAAAAUGAUGAAAAUUCAAAGGGUAAGGAAGGACUAAAUGAACUUACACCUAGUGAAGAAAUAACUAGUGUUCCACCUGAACCACCAUUUCCGCAUGCAUUGAAUAAACCAAAGAAAUCAAACCACUCUUCUGAAAUUUAUGAAAUCUUUAAGCAAGUGAAAGUUAACAUUCCUCUAUUAGAUGCAAUCAAGCAGGUUCCUUCAUAUGCCAAAUUUUUAAAGGACUUGUGCACUGUUAAGAGGAAAUUGAAGGUAAGAAAGAGUGCUUUCAUGGCCGAACAGGUAAGUACAAUUCUGUCUACUAAUAAUAAGUUGAAAUAUAAAGAUCCUGGUUGUCCUACCAUUUCUUGUAUUAUUGGUAACCACAGAAUUGAGCAUGCUUUAUUAGAUCUUGGUGCUAGUGUUAAUUUGCUUCCAUAUUCAGUUUAUCUUCAACUUAAUCUUGGUGAGUUAAAAUCAACUUCAACUACACUUUUGCUUGCCGAUAGAUCAGUUAAAGUACCAAAAGGAAUAGUGGAAGAUGUUUUAGUACAAGUUGAUAAAUUUAUUUAUCCUGUGGAUUUUAUUGUCUUGGAAACUGAACCUAUUGUGAAUAAUUACAAACCAAUUCCUGUAAUUUUAGGUCGACCAUUUUUAGCAACUGCUAAUGCUUUGAUUAAUUGUAGGAAUGGUUUAAUGAAUUUAUCCUUUGGGAAUAUGACUUUGGAAUUGAAUGUUUUCAACAUGUGCAGGCAACCUAAUGAAGAAAAUGAGAAUGAAGAUGAUACCGAUGAACAAAAGGAAUUGUUUGAAUCUUGUAUCGAGGAAAAUAUUCAAAAAGGGGAUUUUUCUGAACUUUCUAAUGUUUGUUUAGUUAAUUCAAUUGAGUCAAAUAAGCAACUUGAACUGGAUAUUUCUAAUAUAAAUUCGUUGCUUGAUUCUAUGCAGACUUCACAAAAUUAUGAUGACGAGCAAAAAUUUAAGGAGCUUGGAAGUAUUGAAAAGACAGAACAACAAGAAGCACCUAAAAUGGAAUUGAAACCUUUGCCUGAAGGAUUGAAAUAUGCUUUUCUUGGAGAAGAACAAACUUAUCCUGUUGUGAUUUCUUCUACUUUAACAAGCGACCAAGAAGGUAAGUUACUAACUGUUCUUAAAAAGCAUAAAAAUGCAAUAGGGUGGACUUUAAAUGACAUUAAAGGCAUUAAUCCCUUAAUCUGCACACAUAGAAUUAAUUUGGAAGAAAAUGCUAAAAUAUGUCAGCAACCUCAAAGAAGAUUAAACCCACACAUGAAAGAGGUAGUCAAAACAGAAGUCCUUAAAUUACUUGAUGUAGGAAUUAUCUACCCUAUUUCUGAUAGUAAGUGGGUAAGUCCUACACAAGUAGUGCCUAAAAAAUCUGGAAUCACUGUUGUUAAAAAUGAAAAAGGUGAAUUAAUUCCAACACGAAUUACAUCUAGUUGGCGCAUGUGCAUUGAUUAUAGAAAAUUAAAUGAAGCCACUAGAAAAGAUCAUUUUCCAUUACCAUUCCUUGACCAAAUCUUAGAAAGAGUAGCAGGACAUCCCUACUACUGUUUUUUAGAUGGAUAUUCAGGUUAUUAUCAAAUUCCUAUAGCACUUGAGGACCAAGAAAAGACCACAUUCACAUGUCCUUUUGGAACAUUUGCAUUUAAAAGAAUGCCAUUCGGGCUUUGUAAUGCUCCUGCAACAUUUCAAAGAUGUAUGUUAAGCAUUUUUUGUGAUAUGGUUGAACAUUGUUUAGAGGUCUUUAUGGAUGAUUUGACUGUGUUUGGGAAUUCUUUUGAUGAUUGCCUUGAUAAUUUGGAGAAAGUUUUAAAAAGAUGUGUUGAAAAAGAACUCGUGUUGAAUUGGGAAAAAUGUCACUACAUGGUUACUUCUGGAAUUGUUUUGGGUCAUGUUGUUUCUAUUAAAGGAAUUGAAGUUGACAAAGCAAAAAUUGAAGUCAUAUCUAAAUUGCCACAACCAAAAACAGUUAGAGACGUGCGAUCCUUUUUAGGACAUGCAGGAUUUUAUAGGAGGUUUAUAAAAAACUUUAGUGCCAUAUCUAAACCACUUUGUAACCUCUUAUUAAAAGAUGCACCGUUUGAAUGGAAUGAUGAUUGCCAAAAAUCUUUUGAAAAAAUAAUUUGUCUUUUAACAUCUGCACCUAUUAUGCAAUCUCCUGAUUGGUCUUUGCCAUUUGAAUUAAUGUGUGAUGCAAGUGAUUUUGCUGUUGGUGCUGUUUUAGGACAAAGAAGGGAUGGUAAGCCUUUUGUGAUUUAUUAUGCGAGUAAGACUUUGGAUAGUGCUCAAAUGAAUUAUUCUACAACUGAAAAAGAAUUACUUGCUGUGGUAUUUGCAUUAAACAAAUUUCGUUCAUAUUUGCUUGGCUCUAAAUCUGUUGUGUUUACUGACCACGCUGCUGUGAGAUAUUUGAUGAGUAAACAGGAUGCCAAACCGAGACUAAUUCGUUGGAUUUUGUUACUACAAGAAUUUGACCUUACCAUCAAAGAUAAAAAGGGUGCUGAAAAUGUUGUUGCUGAUCAUCUAUCAAGACUCACAUCUGAAUUCUGCAAUGAUAUAACACCCAUAAAUGAUUCCUUCCCUGAUGAAUUUUUAUUUUCUGUUACUUCAAUGCCAUGGUAUGCUAACAUUGUUAAUUUCCUUGUUACAGGUAAAAUGCCUUUGCAAUGGAAUGCUCAAGAGAAAAAGAAAUUUUUUGUUGAAGUAAAGAAAUUUUAUUGGGAUGACCCUUAUUUGUUCAAAUAUUGCCCAGAUCAAAUUUUUCGGCGAUGUAUUCCUGAUAAUGAGGUAAGUAGUGUCAUUAAUUUUUGUCAUUCUGAAGCAUGUGGUGGUCAUUUUUCUUCAAGAAAAACUACUGCUAAAAUUUUACAGUGUGGAUUUUAUUGGCCUACCAUGUUUAAAGACACAUAUGAAUUCUGCAAAAGUUGUGAAAAAUGUCAAAAAUUGGGAUCAAUUACAAAAAGAAACAUGAUGCCCUUAAAUCCCAUACUUGAAAUUGAAAUAUUUGACUGUUGGGGAAUUGAUUUCAUGGGUCCAUUUCCAUCAUCUUUUGGAUUUGUGUAUAUAUUAGUUGCAGUUGAUUAUGUCUCAAAAUGGAUUGAAGCAAUUUCUUGUCGAAAUAAUGAUAGUAAAACUGUGAUUAAAUUUUUAAGAGAAAACAUUUUAAGUCGAUUUGGAAUCCCUCGAGCCAUUAUCAGUGAUGGAGGUAAGCAUUUUUGUAAUAAGUCAUUUGAGUUUUUAAUGAAGAAAUAUGGAAUUACACAUAAAAUUGCUACCCCUUAUCAUCCUCAAACAAAUGGUCAAGUUGAAUUAGCAAAUAGGGAGAUAAAACAAAUUUUGGAAAAAACGGUUAACCCAAACCGAAAAGAUUGGUCUCUUAGACUUAAUGAUGCACUUUGGGCUUACCGUACUGCAUUUAAAACAUCAUUAGGAAUGUCACCCUAUCGGUUAAUUUAUGGUAAACCUUGUCAUUUACCUGUUGAACUUGAACAUAAAUCACUUUGGGCUAUUAAAGCUUUUAAUUCAAAUUUGGAUGAUGCUGGUAAUGUGCGAAAAUUGCAAUUGGAUGAACUUGAGGAAUUAAGGAAUGAUGCAUAUGAAAAUUCAAGAAUUAUUAAGGCUAGAACAAAAGCAUUUCAUGAUAAAAGAAUUUUUCGAAAAACAUUUGAGAUUGGUCAAAAAGUGUUGCUUUAUAAUUCUCGUCUUCAUUUAUUUCCAGGGAAGUUAAAGUCAAAAUGGAGUGGCCCAUUUGUUGUAAAAAAUGUAUUUUCAUAUGGGGCCAUAGAAAUUGAGAAUCCAAAUAACGGUGUCACAUUUAAAGUUAAUGGUCAAAGAUUAAAACCAUAUUUGGAACAUCACCCACGUGACGAGGACACCGAAAUUAAUUUGGAUGACCCACCAGUUCUUGAUUAAGUCUUUAAUGAUUUUUUUUGUUUUACUAUUAUUUUACCGUUUCAUUGUUUGAUUUUUUUCUUUAGAUUGAUGCACUGUAAAUAGUUUUUUUUAACAUUGUUUUUCUUGUGUAAGCGUGUUUGUUUGACAGUUGUACAUUCUCUCAUCAAUUUUCAUUUUACAUCAUGAGCACCUCAAUGAGAAAAUACCUGUUCGCACAUCUUAAAAGAUUUCGGCGUAUAAAAUUUCACUUAAGAGGCCUGAUACAAAGCUGUAAAUCACAUCCACUUUGGGAUCUGCAACCACCAGAAUUCGUGUCCUAUGUUGAGGAUCUAGAGGGACAACUCAGAACAGUAGAGAGUGGCAUAUAUGAAUUUCAAAUGGAGCUUGAGGUUAACUCAAUGAGAGGACGAAUGUAAGUUCAUUUUCCUUUUAUAUUGUGUGUUUUUUCUUUUUGCUCGCUUUCACGCUUGAUUUGAUUUUGCAGAUUUGAUUUUGGUAAGUUUUGAUUUAUUUUCCCGUAUAAAUGGCGGAUAACGGUACUCCGUGACUUUUUAAGUCGGUAUCUUCAGUUUCCCACAAUAACUGAAACCCCAAAAUCAAACAUGGAAGAAAUACAACAUAAACUGCAUAAGCACUUUCCUUCUCUCCCUCAGAAUGCCCUCAGGAAAAUUUACAAAGCUCGUUGUGAACGACUGCGUUUGUUAAUGAUCAAUGGCAUUCCUUCUGACAUUCGUUGGUUAAUUGAAGCAAAAGUCCGAUUAGUAGGUGAGUUUUCUGAUCCAUUUGUUUCUUACAUGCCUGGUUUUGGUAAAAGUACGUUUGCUAAGAAAAGGAGAGCUAAACGACUUGGCUCAAAAUGUCAUAACUGUGUAAGACUUGGUUGCAAACGACCGGAUUGUCAAUCUUUAGGAAUGGUUUCUGAUACUCGUGAAGAUAAAAUUAAAUUCGUUAAAGAUGGCAUGAGUAAAGAAUCGUUGGAUGAUAUCUUACGAUCUCUUGAGACGCAUCGAAGUGGAAUUGUGCAACGUGAGAUUUACAAUUUGUGGAUACUAUUCCAAAAACAAAGUGCACAGUUAAGUCUUGGGAAUCUGACUAAAAAAGACCUUGUUUGCCAGUUUAUAAGAAAACUGGAUGGGAAGCCGAUCCUCGACCCAUAGAGGGCGUUCAAGCCGUUACUGGACGUAAAACCAGAGGAAGAUGUGAGCCACAAUCACAACUACCAGUAAAUAUCCUUUCACUUCACUGUUAUUUUACUUUACUGUUAUUUGCAUUUAGCGGUGUGAUUUUUGUAUUUAAUAAAUAUUUGUUUUCUUUUACUGUUUGCUUUUUUUAAUCAUUAUUAUUUUUUUUUUUUUUUUUACUGUUUGUUUUUGAAUUAUUGAGCCACGAGCUUUCCUCGUCAUUUGACAAAUAUGCCAACCCAUUUACAGCUGUUUCUCAUUAUUUAUGUCACCAAGAUCUUUAAAUAUGAGCUCGUUUUUCAAACACUCACAACUUGUUUUUGAAAAAUUAGUCCAAUGGCAGCAUCUUCGAGUAAACAAUUCAAAAAUAUUUGUGUGCUUUCUGGGUUUCACUAUGGAAAGUACAAAGAGUUCGUUCAGGCAGCUGUAGAUCUUGGUCGUGUCAUAGCAGAGAGGAAACUGCAUCUUGUAUAUGGAGGAGGUGAACGAGGGUUAUCAAGACUUGUCUCAGAAGCUGUUUUUACCAGAGGAAGUCAAGUACUCGGCAUUAUCCCAAAACCCAUGAAACCGCUAGUGUGCUUGUCUGGCCCACCAAUUGGAGAAGAAUUAGUGGUAUCAAGUAUGCAAGAGAGACUAUCUGAAAUGAUGAAUCAUGCUGAUGCUUUUAUUUUUUUGCCAGGAGAUCUUGCAACUUUUGAGGCACUAAUUACAUUUGCAUCUUGGGCCCACUUGAACAUUCAUCAAAAACCCAUCGGUUUGUUAAAUGUUAAUAAUUUUUAUGACGGCUUGCUAACUUUUAUUAACCAUGCAAUAAAGAAUCAUUUUGUUCCACAUUCUGUAAAAAAACUCUUUAUCUCUGCUUCUACUGCUAAUGAGUUACUUGAUCUUUUACAAGCUUAUACACCAGAGCCAGAUCCACAGACUGUUGCACUGAAUUGGUCGACUAAUGAUGGUAACGGUAACAGUAGCAGUAAUAAGAAGUGCGAUUUAGAUUUAACUCUCCGUUUGUAAAUAUUUUCUGUUGUAAUGUUCAUGUGAUGUCUUCUACACUCUUUCUCUUUCCUUUUAAAACAUUGAGGACAAUGUCUUUUUCAGGUUGGGGGGAGGGAAUAGUUGAUAAUUGUGGAAUGUCUUAGUCCUGGUUAUGUGUUUACAAAAAAAAAAAAAAAAAAAAAAAACAAUAACAAAAUUUUUUUUUUCUGUAAAGACUAACUUAGGACAAAUUUGAGUCGAAGAUGGCAGGAUAUAGAGAAUGUAGUCUCUCUAGAAACGCAUCUUCUUAAUCUUAAGGGUGUUGUUAAAAAAAAAAAAAAAAAAAAAAAAUUUCUUUUUCUUCAUCUUUGUUAUCUACUUCUAAGCUUCUGCAUCAAGUUCAGGUGAGAUCUCCUCUUCUUCUUCUUUUAUUUUUUCUUUUUCUUUUUGCAUAUCUGUAAAUUAUAAAAUGUUAGGAUAAUGUUUAGAUUAGGUUGUGGGGUGGGGAUAAUUGACGUAUGUUUUAAAUAUGUAUGUUGUUUUUUUCCCUUUUCUCUUUUCUUUUCUUUGCAAAAAAAAAAAAAAAAAAAAAAAAAAAUUGUUUUUUGUCUAGGAUGGUCGUGUAAAGAGUCACGACUUUUGAGACGCAUCCUAAUAGUCUUGUUGUAUUAUAUUUUGAUUUUGAGAUUUAUAGUAAGUUGUUUUUGUUCCCUUUUCUUUGAAUUACUCAAAUAUGUGAACUCUCCACUUGGUUAUUAAGUUAUUUAAUUGUUUACUCAUUUAACAGGUAUUGUUGAAUCAUUCUUCACACACACAUUAUGACACAUACUAGUGGGUUGUAAGUUAAAAUUUUACAGCAUUUAGUUCUUUUGAUUUAUUAGGAAAAGUAUCUAAGGUAGUAGAAAGUGUAUAUUUCCAAAAAAAAAAAAGAAAAAAAAAAAGAAAAAAAAAAAAGAAAAAAAAAUUUUGUUAUAUCUAGAAACCCGAGUAAUUAAGUCCGUAGGGGUGUUUCAACACCUAGUGCCCUAAGGUCAACUGGUCUGGGAGUCACUGGCCUAAAGCUCGCUACAUGGGUAAUAGAUAUAUUGUUUGUUUAUUAGAAACCCGAGUAAUUAAGUCCGUAGGGGUGUUUCAACACCUAGUGCCCUAAGGCCAACUGGUCUGGGAGUCACUGGCCUAAAGCUCGCUACACGGGUUAGAAAUGUAAUAUAUAUAAAAAAAAAAAAAUGUGUGAAUAAUCUGUGCCUAAAGAUAUAAUUUCUAAUGAAUUUUAGAACGAAAAUGUUGUUUUUCUUUUAAUGAAGCCCCAUAAGUAUUGUGUUAAUUACUUGAGCACAAAAGAAUGUUUGAUGAUAUUCUGAAUAAUGAGUGAACAUCAAUGUGGUAAAGGAAUUUGGGAGAGUUCAUUUAUUUGGUAAUUUAGAGGAUAGAUGAACAAUUAUUAACUUGCAUGUGAAUUUUAUAAAUCUUAAUAUAACGCUUUAAUUGCUAGAGGGCUAGCAAUAAGCUGGUUGGGGGGUGUGAUUAGUAUUAAAAAUUGUUUAAUUAUCAAGCGAUAAUAUGUUAUUUUAUGCUUAUGUUAUAAUUUAUAUUUGUGUUUAUGUAAUAUAUUAUGAAUUAUUAAUUAUGUUUUAAAUAUAUUUAAUUUUGUGUAUUUUUAUGUGUUUAUUAGGAAAAUUAUUAAUUUCACGUACUUCGAGGCUCCAAACAGAUAAACGGAGGUCAAAUUUGGAUUCCGGAGGUCCGAAAACCUUAAGAUCAGUCAAGAUCGGCUUAAAAUUGGGCUUGUGUAAAAAAAGUUGACUUUUCCUGUUGACCGAGCACUGAUUGGAUGAUGAAAUGAGCUUACAAUAGAUAUGAGUGCAUGGGAUAACUGGCAAUCUUGACCAAAUCUCAACCGUUCAUGAUUCAAUGGCCAUGAUUGUGCCACGUGGCAAUGGUUGGUGAAGCAAGUUGGAGGAUCCGAAUCUUUGUAUUCGGGUCGACCCGAUCCACCCAUUAACCCGCCAAAUCUCAACCGUUCUUUGGGUAAAUCGGACGAGUCAAAUGAUGCCAUGUGUGAUGUUGACUUUUGAAGUUUGACCAGCCAUUGGAUCUUGAUCUAAGGGUUGUGAGGAGCACAUGCAUGAAGCCUAUGAUGGACCGCAAAGCACGGGAUUAUGAAUUUAUUUUUUCUAUAAAUAGGGCCUCAUUUUUAUGUUUUAAUCAUCUCUCUACAACUCUCUUCUUCUCAAAUUCUCUCCAUCUCCUUGUAAUCUUGAUUUCCAGGUGUGUUUUUAAUAUUUUGUAUAAUUAUUUUCAUUAAUAAAAUUAGUUUUAUUUCCAAUUUUAGUUGUUUUUAUUUCUUUUAAUUAUAAGUAAUUCAAUUUUACUACUUUUUUUUAUUUUAAUUAUGCUUAACUAAAUAAUAUUAGUUAGGGGAAGGUGAAACUCUUAAGAAAUAAAUAUGAUUUAAUCAAAUUCUAUGUUUAAUUUUAUAAAUUAAAUUAUUUUCUAUUUAAUUUUAUACAUGUUUUAUAUUUUGAAAAUUUGAUUUAUUGUAGACAAAUAAAUGAAUUUGGCACAAUAAAUUCUUAAGAUCUUAAUAUAAGGCAUGGUGAAAUGGUAUUUUGACUUAUUGUAGACAAAUUAAAUUUUGGCACAAUAAAUACUUAAUCCAUCAUAAAAUUAAAGGGAAAAUAAUAAUAAUUUGUAUAAUUAAUCUUUUGAGUAAUAAAUCUAAAACAAAUUGGCAAAAAGAAUUUAUUAAGUUUUAUUUGUUUCUAAGAGUGGAUCCAUAACCCUAACUAGUUCAAUUCCAUAGUUUCAUUUAAAUUAAGUUGUUUAUAUUCAAGUUUUAAUUUCAAUUUUUAGAUCAAAUAAAAUAAAUUAAUUAAAUCUUUUCUCUGUGGAUCGACCUCGGACUCACCGAGUUAUAAUACAACAAGACACUCUUAUACUUGGGAGUUAAAAUUUACUUUUAAGUUGUGUCAAUAUUCUUUGUACUUUUUUUCUCUUUCUAUUUAAAUUCAACAAUAUGUAAUCAUUAAUAAUAAUUAAUUAUAAGUCUUUUGAAAUAUUUAUUUAUUUUAUUAUGCUAGCAAUUAAACUUUAGUGGCUUAAAAUACAUGAAUUAAUUAACAUAGGAAGAUAUGUUCUUUCAUUUAUAAAGCUAUGACUUGAGGAGGUGAUGUGGCAUCACCAUUUUGCUUCUUUAUAUAUUCUCUAUUAUCUAAUAAAUAGAGAUUUUUUUUUAGAUUUGGCUUUACAUCUUAUCAUAAUUAAUUUGAUUGUAUUUAACUCAUUUAAUAAAUAAUAACUUUAUUAAUAUAUAUCAUUCCUCAUCUUUUUAUAUUUUAUAUUAUCUAAAAUAUCUAAAAUAUUGGUGGAUAUUCUUUGUAUUUUUUUUUCUCUUUCUAUUUAAAUUCAACAAUAUGUAAUCAUUAAUAAUAAUUAAUUAUAAGUCUUUUGAAACAUUUAUUUAUUUUAUUAUGCUAGCAAUUAAACUUUAGUGGCUUAAAAUACAUGAAUUAAUUAACAUAGGAAAAUAGGUUCUUUCAUUUUCCCUCAGCAAUGCCACUAAGGCCUAAUUUUAAUGUCAUAAUCACGUAUUUAAUUAUGCAACCUUUUGUUGAGUGUCUUUUGGUUUCUUCAAAAUUUAUUAUGCUAUCAAUUAAACUUUAGUGCCUUAAAAUACAUCACCUAAUUAACAUAGGAAGAGAGGUUCUUUCAUCUUCCCUCAACCUCAUAUUUUUAUAUUCUCUAUUAUCUAAAAUAUCUAAAAUAUUAGUGGAUAUUCUUUUUACAUAUUUCUUCCUCUUUCUAUUUAAAUCCAACAAUAUAUAACCAUUAAUAAUAAUUAAUUAUAAGUCUUUUGAAACAUUCAUUUAUUUUAUUAUGCUAGCAAUUAAACUUUAGUGGUUUAAAAUACAUGAAUUAAUUAACAUAGGAAGAGAGGUUCUUUCAUCUUCCCUCAACAAUGUCACUAGGGCCUAAUUUUAAUACCAUAAUCUCAUAUUUAAUUAUGCAACCUUUUGUUGAGUGCCUUUUGGCUUCUUCAAAUUUUAUUAUGCUAGCAAUUAAACUUUAGUUCCUUAAAAUACAUCAACUAAUCUAUAUAUCUAUAUAUCUAUAUAUAUAUAUAUAUAUAUAUAAAGUUGGGACUACAAGUGGUGAUGUGGCAUCACCAUUUCUCAUCAUUUCAUAUUCUCUGUUAUCUAAUAAAUUUGUUGAAAUUAAAAAAUAAUUACAUUAUAAAAUAUUAAAAUAGAAAAUAAUUAUUAGAUUAUAAAUGAUUACAUGUCUUUUCCUCUUUUUAUUUAAAUUCAAUAAUAUGUAACCAUUAAUAAUAAUUAAUUAUAAGUCUUGAAACAUUCAUUUAUUUUAUUAUGCCAACAAUUAAAUUUUAGUGGCUUAAAAUACAUCAAAUAAUUAAUAUAGGAAGGAAUGUUCCUUCAUCUUCUCUCAACAAUACCAUUAGAGCCUAAUUUUAAUGUCAUAAUCCCAUAUUUAAUUAUUCAAUCUUUUGUUUAGUGCCUUUUGACUUCUUCAAACUCCAUAAACAUUAAAUAUUUAAGAUUUGUGUCAUCAUUAUUUCUCAUCUUUUUUUAUUCUCUAUUAUCUAAUAUAUUGGUUGAGAUUAAAAAAUAAUUACAUUACAAAAUAUUAAAAAUCUAUAUAUAUAUAUAUAUAUAUAUAUAAAGUUGGGACUAGAGAAGGUGAUGUGGCAUCACUAUUUCUCAUCUUCUUGUAUUAUCUAUUAUCUAAUAAAUUGGUUGAUAUUAAAAAAAUAAUUACAUUACAAAAUAUUAAAAAUAAAAAAUAAUUAUUAGAUUAUAAAAGAUUACAUGUCUCUUCCUCUUUCUAUUUAAAUUCAAUAAUAUGUAACCAUUAAUAAUAAUUAAUUAUAAAUCUUGAAAUAUUUAUUUAUUUUAUUAUGCCAAUAAUUAAACUUUAGUGGCUUAAAUAUAUCAAUUAAUUAAUAUAGGAAUGAAUGUUCCUUCAUCUUCCCUCAACAAUGUCAUUAGGGUCUAAUUUUAAUGCUAUAAUCUCAUAUUUAAUUAUGCAACCUUUUGUUUUGUGCCUUUUGGCUUCUUCAAACUCCAUAAAUAUUAAGUAGUUAAGAUUUGUGGCAUUAUUAUUUCUCAUCUUUUUGUAUUUUCUAUUAUCUAAUCUAUUGGUUGAGAUUAAAAAAUAAUUACAUUACAAAAUAUUAAAAAUAGAAAAUAAUUAAUAGAUUACAAAAAAUUACAUGUCUCUUCCUCUUUCUAUUUAAAUUCAACAAUAUGUAACCAUUAAUAAUAAAUUAAUUAUAAGUUUUGAAACAUUCAUUUAUUUUAUUAAGCCAAUAACUAAACUUUAGUGGUUUAAAAUACAUCAACUAAUUAAUAUAGGAAGGAAGGUUCCUUCAUCUUUCCUCACCAAUACCACUAUGACCUAAUUUUAAUGUCAUAAUCCCAUAUUUAAUUAUGCAACCUUUUAUUUAGUGUCUUUUGACUUCUUCAAACUCUAUAAAUAUUAAGCAUUUAAGAUUUGUUAUGUUUGGGUUUUUUUUUUUUAUUUAACCAACAUCCUCUUUAUAAAUGUUCUUGUGUUUUUAUUUUUUUGACUUAUUUAAAUUUUUAGUAUUGUGUGCUUCAUGGAGUACUCUUUUCUUCAUGAGUUAAACAAUGAUAAAGAUAGUUGGAUGAUAAGGGUUAGACUUUAUAAGAUAUGGGAGUCUGUUAAUACCAAGAAAAAUAAAGAGUUGAUUAGUGUGAACAUAAUUUUUAUUGAUAAAAAGGUUGUAUACACUUAACUAUACACAUUAAUAUAUAUUUUUAAUGUUAACAAAAAAAAAUUAACUUUCAUAAAUAACAUUAGUUUUAUAAGGCUACGUCAUCUUUAAAAAAAAAAAAUUUAUAUUUUUUAUCAGUUUCAUCAAGUGCAAAAUAAUAAAAAAAGAUAAUACUAAUUUUUUUUUAAAGCUGCACGAAGUGCGGAUCCAUUUCCUAGUGACCAUAUAUACAUAGGCCGGCCCGGGCCCUUGGACAUGACACCAUAACCCUCCAAUAAUUUCAAUUUUUAUUAUUGUUCCCAAAACACCCUUCCAAACUUUUCCAGCGUUAAUAGUCAUGAAGAUAAUUUAUUAAUUUAAUCAAACAGUAAAGAUAAUUAUGUCAUUGUAUAUUUGUGGGUCAAGUCAAGCGAGGCAUUUUCUUCCAUCCUGAUCAUCUGCCAUGCAAACAUCUGGGUAAACUUUCUUCCAUCUUAUAACAUCAGGGCUUCUUCUUUGGAUUCUUAUGGUCAUUCAUUCAUUUCUCUAAUCUCUUUUUCCUCUUACAUGUUUUUUUUUUAGAUUUUUUUUAUCAUAUGAUGUGGCAGAAAUUAUCAUGUUUAUAAAUCUUUAUCCUAAAUUUGAUAUGUUAAGUUGUCACUUAACCGUAAACAAAUGAUUAAUUUUACAUGAAAAUAGUAAAAUGACCAGAAAAAUCAGGAGAAUGUAUUAUUAAUGCCUUUCAUAUGAUGAGAGGCCAAAAUCACCCUGUUUACAAAUCUUUAUCUUCAAUUUGAAUUGUUUGACUUAAAAACUAGAACUAUCAAAUACGAGUCAGCAUUAGAACAAAAGUUAAAUAUAGCAUUGUUGAUGCUGAAAUCUGCUCGUCCUUUGCCCGACCAGAUCUUUACACCAACGCUUCUGUAAUCGGUAGUGAGGAUGUCAACUUCUUUUCGCCCCAACUACCGCUCUAGUCACUGAGAUUGGAAUAGGCCUUCCUUCUCCCACUAAGCCUGCGUUCACAAAAGUGGAUCAGAGACGCCGGUGGUUUUACCGGCGUAAACCCUCCGAUGCCUAAGUUAGCACAAGGUGUUUAUGGGAAAACGGUGCAAUUUGGAUUCGAUAAAUUGCUUAUAAUUGGCUCACAGUUUGUACUAAAAAUAGUCUGGUUUCAAUUUGGCAGAGUUUUCCCUUCUUCCCUUUUUUUUCUGUCCUUUUCUUCAUUAGUUUCCUUAUCUUUUAUAGCCAUUGUCCCACGUUUCUGUUUACCCUUCAUCCCCCCUCUAUCUUGGAUCGUGGCAGCCCCCAUGGGAUUCCAACUGCUAUAUUGUGGGUAAAUGUGGGACACCGUAUCUCCCUCGGCGGUUCUGGGCAUAGCGCAACUGUCGUGAUAUCGUGAGAUCGUGUUCCCGCUUUUUGGGGAAUGAGUAUCUGCUCGGUAUUUGUCUCUGGUCGGUCCUUGCUCGUAAAAGACUUAUUAUCAGUGUUCUGCUCAUACCAUUUGGCUGAGGUGAUCCAUGCCGGGGUGGAAAUGAUGGCAUGGCUGAGCUGGUGCUCUUAUUUACUUAACACCAGUCCCCUAGUUUCUGGUCUUGCGAGUGAAACGAGUUAAGAGUAGAAACUGAUAGUCAAAUCUUACCGAUUUGAGGAACUACCCAUCUGGUCCUCGCGUUAUUGUGGUGGCUCUGAGGUUCCAUCUCUUGUUUGAGGAGAUUUUUUAUCCGAGUAUGGGCCUUUAUGAAUAUAUCUUGUAUAUAUUUGGGCUUAUGUCUCGUCAGGCCUUUCAUAACGGUUAAUGACGUGGUGCUUCCCGACUCUUCGUAUUUGAAAUUUGAAACGACGGGCUAUCUAUCCUCGAUAUACGGUGAGUGAGCUGGCAUCCCCAUCACUUAAACGCUUCCAUUUCCCCCUUUUCGUUUCAAAUCCCUAGAUUGAAAUCAUCAUCGCUUUGUUAUUCGUCUCUCCGCCGUUAGCCAACUCCUUAUUUGAACUUUGCUCACACCUCCCGCGUCCGGAGUAUCCAUGUGCUGGGUGUUUCCUUUGUCACGGCAGCGCUAUCAGUGCCAGUUUAUUCCAGGUAUAGCCUUUAACCUUUUCUUUGGUUGUUGUUGAUUGGGUUCUGUGUUGCCCCUUUUUGUAUUCGUGUACUCGGGUUUGCUUGGGUGUCCUUUUGAGACUUCGAUAUGUCAAAUCGGAGGAGGAAGUUAAUUGCAGAUGACAGUGACGAAGAAAUAGAGGAUACACACCUUAGUACCCACGUCCCCUGACCAUUUCACCCUCCCCUGAAUUAGAACUUGUAGGAAAUAGAGGUGGACCUGCGUCAGGCUCCAGUGAGAACCACAGUUCUGGUGGGGUUGGAGUCCCUGAAGAAGUGGGUGAUGGUGAGGGAAGCAGUUCCGAGCCGAGCAGACCCCCUAAGAAAAUGAACCUUGGCCAUAAGGUGGAGGCGGAUUCUUACCCUAUUGACUACAUAGCUUGUGCCACUACCCAAACAGAUCUAUUCAAGCUUAGGAACCUCUACAACAUUCCUGAGGAGGUUCUCCUGGUAGUUCCUGGGAAAAGUGACGUUCCUAGUCGGCCUCCGCGGGGGUAUGUGACGAUGCACCUGGAGAGUUUCAAAUUAGGAGCUCGACUGCCCCUUCAGCGUUAUUUUGCUAAGAUACUGGGUGGUAUGCACCUGGCCCCAGGUCAGCUACAUCCCAAUGGGUGGAGGGUUCUCUCAGCUAUGUAUGUGUUAUGGAAGAGGUGUGGAUCAGAGGAGCCCUCUCUUGUUGAAGUAAAGCAUUUAUAUCAGCUGAUGAGUAGCCCGAAUGAGGCAGGCUAGUACUACUUUAUGUCGAGCUCUGCGAAGAGGAAGCCAAUCACCGGCUUCCCCUCCUCGUGUAAAAACUGGAAGAAUAAAUUCUUCUUUGCUGGAGGGAAAUGAUGUACAGCAGGCCGUUCGCUGGGUGGUGAUAUUUACCUUCCAACGCAUUUUGUCACCCCAGGUCGUUCAUUUUUUGCCUAUAUUCUUUCUCAAAUUGCCACUUAUUGGGUUCUUUAACCUUGUUUGUUUUUUCAGAAUCGUGGGGUUUGGUUAAGGAUCUUGAAGACCGACUUUUGCUCCAAGUUGAAACUGCUCUGGUGAACGCGUCUACCUGCCAAGACCUCCUGUCACCAACAAACUUGGUCGGUUCGGGCUUAGUGGACAUUGCUGCCGGAAUGGAUAACAAGAUCCUCAACGCGAUGACCAGAAAGUGUGGUCGGGCUCCAAGCAGCUCCAGCAACCUUCCUCCUCCUCCAAAGAAAGCCAAUGUUGGUCAACCCAAGGCUUCUGUUCCUGCUCUGCCCCCUCCUCCACCUCGGAAAAAUGGUGGGGAGAAGGUGAGUAAUAGGAGUCCCGAGGUCAGCAUCCAGUCUGGGGACCGAUCUUCUCCUCUUCCAUCUUGGGAUCAAGGUGACUACCUGAGCCUGUAUCAGAAGGAUUACGGAAAAUCGGUGGGGCCCAAGAUGGUGAAGGACAUCGAGAGUAUGAACCUCUCCGAGCUAGCUUGUUCUGUUCAAAGAGUCUCCUUCAAGCUGGCCACCUUGGUUUCGUGUUACAAGAACAGGUCCACGCGCCAUGAGAGGAGGCUUCAAGCUGACAAUCAGGAUUUGAAGAAGAAAGUUGAAUCUGCUGAUCGCUCAAAGGAGAAGCUGGCUGAGCUGAACAAGCAGAUCACGGACCUCGAGGAGAAAGUUGCUGUUGCUGAGUCCACCACCUCCAAACUUGAGGGUGAGUUGGGUGACCUGAAGUUUGAUCUUCAGGCUACUCAAAGUGAAAGAGAUACUUUGAGGACCGCCCUUGAGGGAGAAAUCAAAUCUCUGAGCACGCAGUUGGCUGAGGCGAGAGGCAAAUCUGUUGAUGUGGAUGAUCGGCUAGAUGCAGAGUAUGACUCUGGGGUUGCUUUUUGCUUUAAGUACAUCAUGUCUGUGCUUAAGGAAUAAUAUCCCAAGCUGGACAUAAGCAAGCUGGAGGCUGGAGUGCAGAGAUAUAUGGCUGAGGCCAACCAGGGGGAUAAGGAGCAGGGUGACCAGGAUUAGGUGGAGGCUCCUUUAGAUGGGGUGCAGGAGGGGGAAGCUGGGGGUCGUGCUCUUAAAGUGGGUCAAGGGUCCAUGACUCCUCCUCCCGGUAUUGCUAAUCUUCCACCUCCCGAGAUUGCCGAUCCUUCAACUGCUGAAGCUGUCGACCCUCCUAAUUUUUAGGUUUAUUUUUUGUAUAAACUCUAAAUUUUCAUCUGUUUUGUAAACAUUUUGAGCAUAAAUUUUAGAUGCUUUCUAUUGGCUCUUCUGUUGUGGUUUUGCUUAUAGAUCGUUUCUGUAAAUUGCCUUAAUGCUUUUAGUUGGCUUUGCCUGCUAGUCCUUUAAUCGACUGAGUAGGAAUAGCAUUUGUUUGUCAUAACCAAAUUUGUAGAUUUGCCUACUGGUCCUUUAGACGACCGAGCAGGAGUAGGCACUCGCUUGCCUUAGUAGAAUUUCAUAAAAUUGCCUGCUGGUCUUUCGUUGACCGAGCAGGAGUAGGCACUCGCUUGCCUUAGUAGAAUGUCGUAAAAUUGCCUGCUAGUUUUUCGUUGACCGAGCAGGAACAAGCACUUACUUGCCUUAGUAAAAUUUCAUGAAAUUGCCUGCUGGUCUUUCGUUGACCGAGCAGGAACAUGUACUUAUUUGCCUUAGUAAAAUUUUGUGAAAUUGCCUGCUGGUCUUUCGUUGACCGAGCAGGAACAAGCACUUACUUGCCUUAGUAAAAUUUCGUGAAAUUGACUGCUGGUCUUUCGUUGACCGAGCAGGAACAUGCACUUACUUGCCUUAGUAAAAUUUCGUGGGCUUGCUAGCAGAGGGAUUCAUGCUGAAUUCAUCUUUAUUGAAAUUUGAAUGCAUUAUAGAAAUGCGGAAUAUAUGCAUGUGUAACAAGUCAUCAUGCAUUUAAUAGAAAUAACUUGUCAAAAUGAAGACUUAGUAGAGCACUUUGCUUACUGGAAAUACUUCUUCAAGUGCUCGGCGUUCUACGACCUCUUCACAUCUCGUCCGUCUAGGUACGCUAACUUGUAAGCUCCUGGUCCAGUCGCUCGUAUCACCCUGUACGGGCCUUCCCAUUUCAGGCCGAGUGUGCCAUGGUUAGGAUCCCUAGUGUUUUGAUUCACCUUCCUAAGCACCCAAUCCCCUGCUCGGAACUGCCUCACGCGUACGUUCUUGUUGUAAUAACGCAUGACCAUUUGCUGACACUGGGCCACCUUCUGCGAGGCCCCUUCACUUUUCUCCUCCAGCAGGUCCAGGUUCAAGCAGAUCUGCUCAUCGUUUUGCUCCUCAUUGAAGUAUUCCGUCCGAUGUGUUCAUACUCCAAUUUCUGCUGGGACUACCGCCUCAUGACCAAAAGCUAAAGCAAACGGGGUUUCCUCGGUGGCGGUUUUGUGAGUUAUCCGGUAAGCCCAUAGUACUCCUGGUAGCUCGUCGACCCAAGCUCCCUUAUUCUCUCCCAGUCUUGUUUUCAGGAGUUUCUUUAUUACUUUGUUGGCUGCUUCCACCUGUCCGUUUGCCUGGGGGUGUGCGGGGGUGCAGAACUUCAGGUCCACCCCCAGGUUCCGGCAAAAUUCUCUGAAGUUGUUGUUGUCAAAUUGCCUCCCAUUGUCUGUAAUGAUGGCAUAUGGGAUCCCGUAUCUGCAGAUGAUAUUUUUCCAAAUAAAAUCCGUCGUCUUUCUCUCCUUGAUUUGGCUGAGGACUCCCACUUCUACCCACUUGGUGAAGUAGUCUAUCGCCACAAUUGCAUGUGUUGCCGCUCCUCGACCCUUAGGUAAUAGACCAAUCAGGUCGAUUCCCCAUUGGGCAAAAGACCAUGGGGAUGUCAUAGUGGUCAGCUUUUCUGGGGGUUGUGCAGGAAUCUCUGAGAAGCUUUGGCAGGUUUUACAGUUCUUUGCCAUCCUUUUCGCAUCCUGGUGCAUGGUUGGCCAGAAAUAUCCUUGCCGGAAUGCCUUGAAGGCUAAAGUUCUAGCUCCCGAGUGAUUGCCACAUAUUCCUUCAUGAAUCUCCCUCAGUACAUAAUCUGCCUCCUCGACAUCCAAACAUCUUAAAAGGGGCAAGGUGAAUCCUCGGCGGUAGAGUACCCCAUCGAGUAGCGUGUACCUGGCGGCUCGGCAUUUUAAUUUUCUUGCUUGCCUCUUGUCCUCCGGCAAAAUGCCAUCGCGGAUGUAUGAGAGAAUCGGGCCCAUCCAGGAUUCUUCGGUACUUACUCUCAUUACCUCUAUUUCCUCCCCUAUACUUGGCGAGGUUCUCACCUCUAGUGGAACCGACUUAGGUAAUUUUGGAUCCGCAAUUGCAGCCAUUCUAGCCAAUAUAUCUGCUCGGUAAUUCUCAUUCCGGGAUAUCUGCUUUACCUCUACCUUUUUUAAAAGCCCAACCAUUUGCUUCGCCUUUUUCAAAUAAAGACCCAACCUCUCUUCCCUUACUUGAAAUUGAUCGUUGAGCUGAUUACAUACUAGCUGGGAAUCUGCUCAGAUUUCUACUCUUUCUGCUCGUAGUGCAUGUGCAAGCCCGAGCCCAGUAAUGAAGGCUUCAUAUUCAGCUUGGUUGUUAGUAAGCUGGAACUCGAAUUUUACUGCAUAGGAUACCUCGAUCCCUUCUAGGCUUCUUAUUAUAACUCAUGCUCCGGAUCCUUGUUCACUACGUGACCCAUCAACCAUUACCAGCCACACCCCCUUUGGAUUCUCCUGUUCUACUGGUUGCUCCUCCUGGACCUCUUCCCCUGGUUGAACACAGUCAACCAUAAAAUCAGCCAGGGCUUGGGCCUUGAUUGCUCCUCGGGGCCUAUAGGAUAUGUCGAAUUCGCUCAGCUCCACGGACCACUUUACUAACCGCCCUGAUGCAUCUGGUUUUUGGAGCAUUUGCCAAAGAGGCUGAUCAGUCAUCACAACUAUUGGGUGGGCCUGGAAAUAUGGUCGGAGUUUUCGUGCUGCCGUUAUUAAAGCCAAUGCCAAUUUCUCCAUCAAUGGAUACCUGGUUUCUGCGUCUACCAGGGCUUUGCUAGUGUAGUAUACGGGGUGUUGUUUUCCUUCUUCUUCUCUGACUAAUAUCGAGCUGGUAGCCCAUUUUGAGAUUGUCAAGUACAAAAACAGCUGGUCACAUUCUCUCGGAGUUGAUAGUAACGGGGCGUGGGCCAGAUAUUCCUUCAGCUGUCCGAACGCCUCCUCACAUUCUGAUGUCCACUCCAUCUUUCUCCAUUUCUUUAUGGUUUGGAAGAAAGGGUGGCAUUUAUCUGUAGUCCGCGAGAUGAAUCGGUUUAAUGCUCCCAAUUUCCCUGUAAGGCUCUGCACCUCCUUAACUGUUCGUGGGGACCUCAUUUCUGUUACCGCCCGUAUCUUUUCCGGGUUGGCCUCAAUCCCUCGGUGGCUCACCAAGAAUCCCAAAAAUUUGCCCGAGCUGACCCAAAAUGCACACUUCUCCGGGUUUAGCUUCAUUUCAUACCUUCUCAUCAAUUCAAAGGUUUCUUCCAAGUGUUUCACAUGAUCCCUCGGUUCUUUAGACUUUGUGAUCAUAUCGUCCACAUAUACCUCUAUAGUAUGACCGAUUACUGGCUUGAAGAUCUUAUUCACCAACCUUUGAUAGGUAGCUCCUGCAUUUUUCAGGCUAAAAGGCAUUACCCUGUAGCAAAACAAACCCAUGUUAGUUAUAAAGGUGGUGUUUUCCUCAUCCUACUCGUCCAUGGGUAUCUGGUUGUAUUCCGAAAAGGCAUCCAUGAAGCUGAGCAGACUGUGACCCGCUGUUGAGUCCACCAAUUGAUCUAUCUUUGGCAGGGGAAAACUGUCAUUCGGGCAUGCUUUAUUAAGGUCUGUGAAAUCCACACACAUUCUUCAUUUCCCGUUGGCCUUCUUUACCAGUACUACAUUGGAAAUCCAUUCCGGGUACUUGGCCUCCCUUAUAAAUCCUACUUUCAACAGCUUUUCCACUCGGCAUUUAUGGCCUCGUACCUUUCCUGGUUAAAGCACCUCUUCUUCUGCCUCACCGGCCUCGCCCCCUUCUUAAUUGCCAACUUGUGGCAAGCUACCCCGCGAUCAAUUCCUGGCAUGUCCUCGUGAGACCAGGCGAAUAUAUCUACAUGAGACUGUAGGCACUUUACCAGCUCGCCUUUUACUGCCCCGGCCAAUCCUGAUCCGAUCUUAACCACUCUGCUUGGGUUACUCUUGCUCACCGCAAUCUCUUCCAACUUCUCAACAGGUUCUUGGCGACCCUUUUUAGAAUCUCCUCGGUUAUCUAGAGAGGUAACCUGUAGCGUCUCCUUGGCCGCUGUAGCAUAACAACUCCUUGCCAUUCUCUGGUCACCUUUUACUACGCCAACAACUCCAUUUACUCUGUACUUCAGUGCCAGAUAAUGCGUGGAUAUAACGCAUUGGCUUACCCUCAUGAACGGUCUCCCCAGUAUCAUCUAGUAAGGGCUUAUUUCUUCUACUACGACAAAGUCCAGCAUCAUCGUUCUUUCAAACGGCUUUGACCCCACGGUAAUCGGGAGUUCGAUAAUCCCCAUGGGAGUUAACCUUCCCCCUCCAAAUCCCUUCAAGGAUGUAUUCGUCCGUUCCAAUUUCAAGUCUGAAAAUCCCAUAUCAUCUAGGGCCGACUUAAACAGGAUGUCAACCGAACUGCCCGUGUCCACCAGUAUUCGUCGCAAUUCUGUACCAGCCACCAUUGCCUUAAUCACCAGUGCAUCCUCAUGAGGAUAUAAAAUACCCUCUUCGUCGUCAUUUGUCCACAUAAUGGGAACUUGCCGCACUUUUGCCCUCUUGGCUGCUGGCAAAUUGAAAAGCACUUCUUUGCUGGUCAUGGCGUAUCUCCCAUAGUUCUUUCGUGCUCUGUUUGAAUCCCUAGCCAAUGUUGGCCCUCCUGCUAUCACACGGAUAAUCGACUGUUCACGUUCCAGGCCCCUCUCGGCUCCUUCAUCCCGCGUGUACUGUGAUUCAAUGACGGGGGACACUCCAUCUACAUAUUCAUCCAAGUAACGGUUUCUCACCAAAUCCUCCACCUGAAUCUUUAGGUCACGACAUUGGCUGAUAGUGUGACCGUGAGUGUCGUGGAAUUUGCAGAACCUGCUCUUAUCACGCCAGUGAGCAGGUUUUGUUAUAGGGGCCGGAGGGUAUAGCAAGCCACGUCCUUCGAUCCUCUCAUACAAUUCCUCCAUGGAGAUUUUUAAUGGGGUGUACUGUCUAUACGCCAAGCUCUGGUCAACCAGUUGAACUACUCGGCUAUCAUGGAUAUCACCCCGGGCUGGUAUCGUAGGUAGCUGAUCUGGUCGUCCUGCCCUGGAGUUAGGUGUAUGUAGUGCUCUGGGAGCGUUAUGAUAAAGGUGGGCAGCCAUCUGCCUGAAUUCUCGUUGCCGCUCCGGGAAUGGAGGGCGCGGAGGUUGAGCCCGGCUGUUUUGGAACUGUUGUGAUCUCUGAGCUAUGGGGUAAGGGCGGGACCGAGCUGAUAUUCCGCCCAUUGCUGAAGAUUCCCCAGCUCGCCUUCCCGAUCCGCUCCCGUUCGGGGUUUUCCGCUCCAUUCGUCUCAGCAUUUCCAGCUAUUCUCUUUUUAUCCUUGCCGAUUUCUCCUCUUCGAUUUCUAUAUCUCUCCUCGCCUGAUCAUACCCCGCCGAAUAAUUCUGUACCAAGGGACUUCUCAAGUUAUACCACAGUCGGCCUAUUCUCACCCCUUCUUUUAAUCCCCUCAACGCCUGCGGGUGAUUGAAAGCUCCCAAAUCCAGCACGGCCUGGUGGUAUCGUUUUACAAAAUCCCGAAGGGAUUUAUGUUCCUCUUGCUUCAUCCCCAUCAGUUCUAUCAUAUCAUCCUCUGGGGCCACUGCUCCUCGGAAUUGCUCCGCCAACUCUUGGCACAUCUCCUCGUGGCAGCUUGCGGUACCAUUCUCGGGCUCGUCCCUCUAGUGUCAAUGGGAACACCCUGCACCUCUGAGCUGGUGUCAACCCCUGCACACCCGUCAUGUCGUUGAAACGUUCAAUAUGCACCAGCGGGUCAUUUCGCCCGGAGUAUUUGAGGUCGGGGAAGCGGAAAUCUCUUGGGAUUACAGUACUCAUGAUCUCAGUUGACAACAGAGACUCUUCAUCUAGCAUUAUCCUCCAGUUCAGGGGUUUUCUCUUGCCCUGAAUCUCCUCCAUUAUCUGCGCCAAUCUACACACCUUUCCCUCCAACUCUACAGCACGGUCAGGGUCGCGCAUAGCUACCUGAUCUCGUUCCUGCUAGGCAUUCUGCAACCGCUGUCUGAGCUCUCCUUCAUCAACACUGGCUCCUCGGCCAUCAAUCUCCUGCACCCGUCCGGGGCGAGGUUGGUCCCUCCCUUCAUCCACGCGCUCUCCUGGAACCCGACCAGUACUUCUAUGGGGGUGCACCCCAUGAGGUUGGUCCAUCGGUGGAGGGAUUUCCUUGACUCUACGCCUCCGGAGGCUGGGCUCUGCUCCAACUUCGUCUCUCCCCACGGUGGUUUCACAAUCCCUUCUCCGCUCAUCCCUCAGCUCAUACAGUAUGGCCGUGAGAGUUUCCAUUUGUUUCUCCAUCCGCUCCAGUCGAUCUUGCAUCAUCCUUUCUCGAGCUUCUUCGCAAUCUCCCGGAGAGUGAUUGUCUCAACAGUCUCAUUGUCAUCCCUUAAAGUAUCCAUCCUUGAGGCAUCUAUAUCCAACCGUUCGCUGCUUUUCUGGUGACUACUGAUUUGGUGGUAGCUUUUUAUUCAGCUCCCCACAGACGGCGCCAAAAUGUUGAUGCUGAAAUCUGCUCGUCCUUUGCCCGACCAGAUCUUUACACCAACGCUUCUGUAAUCGGUAGUGAGGAUGUCAACUUCUUUUCGCCCCAACGACCGCUCUAGUCACUGAGAUUGGAAUAGGCCUUCCUUCUCCCACUAAGCCUGCGUUCACAAAAGUGGAUCAGAGACGCCGGUGGUUUUACCGGCGUAAACCCUCCGAUGCCUAAGUUAGCACAAGGUGUUUACGGAAAAACGGUGCAAUUUGGAUUCGAUAAAUUGCUUAUAAUUGGCUCACAGUUUGUACUAAAAACAGUCUGGUUUCAAUUUGGCAGAGUUUUCCCUUCUUCCCUUUUUUUUUUUGUCCCUUUCUUCAUUAGUUUCCUUAUCUUUUAUAGCCAUUGUUCCACGUUUCUGUUUACCCUUCAUCCCCCCUCUAUCUCGGAUCGUGGCAGCCCCAUGGGAUUCCAACUGCUAUAUUGUGGGUAAACGUGGGACACCGUAUCUCCCUCGGUGAUUCUGGGCAUAGCGCAACUGUCGUGAUUUCGUGAGAUUGUGUUCCCGCUUUUUGGGGAAUGAGUAUCUGCUCGGUAUUUGUCUCUGGUCGGUCCUUGCUCGUAAAAGACUCAUUAUCAGUGUUCUGCUCGUACCAUUUGGCUGAGGUGAUCCAUGCCGGGGUGGAAAUGAUGGCAUGGCUGAGCUGGUGCUCUUAGUUACUUAACAAACAUUCUAUUCUCUUCUUUACAAGGUGGAUAUGAUUUUAAGGUCACAUGUAUUUAGAGGCGAAAUUAGGACUUCUUGCAAGCUGGUGGUUAGACUAUAUUUUUUUUUAAGUUAAAAAAAGAAAAAGAAUCUUAAAGUAAAACUAUUGAAUUAAACCACAACAAUAAGUUCACAUUUUUUAGGUUUGAAAAUAUUUUUUGAAUUAUGUUUAUUCCAAAAAAAUCAAAUUUCAAAAUUGUGACUACGAUACCCCAUGAUUGCCAUACUCCACAACCUGUCACCGUUAGAUGGUUCUAAAUUAUUUACUUUAAUUAUUUUUUUAAUUGUCUAAUGAUACUUAGUCUAGGGAGUACGAUACCCUUAGAAAUCAUAGAUAGACACUUUACAAAAUUUAAAGCUAAAUGAGUAAUAAAUAUCUUGUAAUAAUUAGUUUACUUGAGACCAAAAAUAGAUUUCUAAAACAAGAUGGAGUGGGAAAGAAUUUGGGAAAAAUGACCGUGACCAAAUUUUAAAACAACUUGAGUGAUAAACUUGUAAAUUAUGUUGUGGUAUUUCGUAAAAAAAUAACAGUGAUAGCUAGUUUUAUAAAUACUGGUAAUUUUGUGAACAACAUAGUAAAAAAAAAAACUAAAUAAUAAUAAUAAUAGUAAUUAUUAUUAUUAUUAUUUUUUUUUUUGACGUAUCUUGGUUAUUUGGAAGUCAACAUAAAUUGUAUAUUUGCAAGGACAAGAAACUGUAAUUCAGAAAUUCGAGGAGGCAUGGUCAAAUUUCGACACUCUAAAGAAGCUGGGAGCAUCCAUUCUCCAUGGAGUUGAUGCAACUGAAAUGAAGGAACAUCCUGAAUUGAGUAAGCGGAAAUUUGAUAGAAUAAUCUUCAACUUCCCUCAUGCUGGCUUUCAUGGAAGGGAAGACGACGACAAAUUUUUCGAUGAGCUACCUAGUAAGUCCAAUGGACAUAUGUGUCAAUAUAGUGAGUUAAAAAUGGUUAUAUAUAAUAAGAUGGAACUUGAUAUAUAAAGUGAUCCAUAUGAAGAAACGAAUGUUUUUCAUUUAUUAAGUAAAACGUUAUACAUUGAGCAUAUUUAUAGAUGCAGAUAUUACAAUUUUUCAAAAAUUAGAUACACGUAUUACGGAAGGAUCUCACCAACCGCGUCGUUGCCGUUUGGUGCAGAUCGUGUCUUUGACAACUUCAAUUCGAUGUCGUUUUAUUGACAUUCUCAACACUCCCUGUAAUACCCCAAAUCUCCUGAGGGUAUUUAAAUAUUUUUAAUUUUUAGUGAUCAUUUUAACCCUAUGUCUUUCCCAUUAUAAGAGAGGGAGGGGGAGAGAGAGAUCGAUUGAGGAAAAGAAAUGACAGAAGAGAGAGAGAGAGAGAGAGAUGGAGAGAAAAUAGAGAAAAGAAAAGAAAAAGAGAAGAAGAAUUAUUCUUAGUUCUGCCAUAGGCGACACAUGGGAUCAAGUUGUAUUGUUUGAAUUGGAUAUUGUUGGGAGAAGUUUUGGAGGUAAGUUUUAAUUCUUGGUUUUCUUUAUUAAUUCGUUAUGGAGAAACAUGAUUAGAUAUUUGCAAUAGAAGUAGAAACCUAAGAUUUUACAGGAAAUAUGCUGACAAUGCAUUAUUACGAAAAUCAUAGUAAUUUGUACAAAUUGAUUUUAAUUUUGAUUUUUGGACAUGUUAAGCUAGACGUCUUAUAGAAUGUUUUGAAACUUGUUUCAAGUUAAUCGGAUAAGAUUUCAUUUAGUUACGAUUUUUCAAACUUAGGUCUAAAAGCCUGGAAAUUUCUGAUUUCAGUGAAUAACAUGAAUUACGAAAUUAUUUUUACCAUAGCUAGACUUCUUCAAAAAUUAUGAAAUUUGGAUCAGUGAUUUUUAUUUAUGUCUAAUAUGAUUCUGUAUGUUUUUAUGAUUUUAUGAUAAAACAAUAAAUUGUUUUGUAUUUCUAAACAAGUAUGUUCAAAACAGAAAAUUGUUUGAUAGUAUUGAUGAUGUCUGAAAUGUCAAUUUUUUUUUUAUAGUUUUUAAAGGAAUUAAGUUAUGAAAUUUUUAUCAAAGAAUUUUCAAUAUGUCAGCAUAUGGUCUAUAAAAUUUUAGAUUUUUCCAAUGAGAGAAUAAUUUAUUAAAAAUAGAAAACAAUGACUGUUUCGUUUUGAGGGUCGAACAUUGAGGACAUUUGAGGUUGAGUUUAGGAGCUAUUUAAAAUGAGAUAUUUGAGAAAAUUAAAGUUUAUGAUUGAGACUUGAUUAUAUCUUAUGAAAAUUUUAUUGAUAAUUUUAGGUUGACGAUAUCAGUACGCAUUUGUUACAUGAUGAUGCCAAGAAGUAAAUUAGACUUCAAAAUAAAUCACAAUAAACAAUAUGUAUAUGUUUGACUUGUUUGAAAAGUCUAUUUUUGAUAUUUACAUAUGUAGAUUUAUAUGUUUCUGCCCAUGUGUUUAUGUGAUGUAUUGUUAUGUGUUGAGCGUGAUUAUGUACAUGGGUAUAUGUAUGUGUGAAAUUUAAUUGGCAUAAGCACAAAAAUGCAUUGAGUUUUCUAUGAAUGAGAAAGUGGAUAUUAACAAAUGAAAUUUCUACUUUAGUAAACCCGUUCUCUAAAUCUUAUUUGGACCAUAACUUAGUAAACCCAUUCUUAGUUAGAGAACCCGCCAGCAACCCAUUCUCUUAUUUAUUUCGUAUCCUUCCCUCACAUUUUUAAUUGGCUUUUGUAAUUAAUAAGAAUAUCAACCUAAUAUACCAAAAAGAACAUUAUAAGUAUCAUAUAUUAAUGUAAAAAGAUACAUAUGUUAUAUAUAUUUUUUAUUUUUCUUGGUUUGUUAAGGUAAACAUUAUCAAACUUUUUUUUACUAAUUAAAUAAUUUAUCUAUAACUUGUCAUGUGUUUAACCAGUAAAAUUUAAGUAUUGUUAAUAUUUAUAAGUUAUAUAUGUCAAAAUAUCAUAUUUCAGAUGUUUUAAUUUCGAAAAAUAAACAACUUAACGCUUAUAUUCAGAUAUUGAAAAAAGAAAAAUAAACAUGUUAUUCAAAUAUAUGUAUUUAAACCUAUUAAAACUUUUGUUAAAUUCAAACCAAUUUAGAUUUCAGACAAAAAAAAAAAAACACGCUACCUAAAUCAUGUAAAUAAAUUAAAUACAUAAAUUAUGUGAUUUUAAAGGGUUCAUUUCAGCAAUUUAGCUGAGUCGUGUACUGCCUUUUGUGAGUUACAAGACAAAAGUUUACUUUCAAAUUACAGUUUAAAAUAUGUGUAAUUUUAUUUAAUAAUUGACUUUAAAAAUCCAUUACUGAAAAAAAAAUUUAACGUAUUGUGUAGGACAACAAGAUUAGAAAAGAAAAGAAGAAGAAAUUAAAAUAAAAAUAACUGAAAAAAAAAAGAUUUUAUGACGAGAUUAGAGAGUUGUCAAUAGUCCAACUCAUGUCAAAAAAAUUUAUUCAAGUCGAUGUGGGCACAAAUGGGCUUCCAAAAUAAAAUAUUUAUUACGCUUGGGCUUUGGGUUGUGGGCAAUUAAAAGUUACCAAGCCAUGGUAUUGUUCUUCAUUUCUUAGAAAACAAUAGCGACCGUUUUUCACAAGAAUUGGUCUUAGUUACUAUCUUUUCUGCACUCCUCUCUGUAUUCUCUUGUUAAUAUUCUGUUUUUCUUCAGUUUUUAUAAUGAAAAUGAUUGUGCAUCUCGUGAAUGUAAAUCUUUUUUAUGUUGAAUCAUGCAAAACCUCUUGUCUCAUAUGUUUUUGAAUAAUGAUUUGUCCCGUAGUUUAUUUUUUUAUAUUAUAGUAAUGAUGUGUUAUUCUUUGUGCUAAUUUUAUGCACCUAUUACUAUGGUUUUUUCGGUACUGCCUUUUUUUUUAUUUUUUAUUUCGUUUAAUGUCUUCCAACGAAGUUUUGCUGGGAAUUUAUACAAUUACUGAAUUAAGCUACUUUAUAUAUGUUGAAUAUAUAAAAUAAAAAAGACUCAACCAUAGGAUAGGAGUUCGGAAGGAAUCAUUUUCAUUUUAUAUGAUAAUCGCAUUAGUAACUUAGCCAGGAAACUUUGUGUGCACUGAUUGCCUCUAGAUUGUAAAUUCAAUUGAUCUCGUCUUGGUUGAAGUAGAUGAUAGUAAAUAGUAUCUGAGUUUCAUUUCAGAUUCCAAAAACAAUCCUCCAUGUGAAUGGUUAAGUAGAGAUUCACAUUGCUUUCUUUUUCUUUAGAGGAAUGGCUGACUCCUUUGAUCAUGAAAUUAUAUCACGGCUAUCACAAAAACUCGAGUAAUUCUAUUCAUAUAAUCAAAAUAGAGUUGAGUUCGAGCUCCUUCAUUUUAACCGAUUUAUUAUGAUGCAUAACCACAAAUGAUGAGAUGGUGUCGGAUAUGAUAAUGGGAAUUAGUUGUCAGCGAGAAAAUUAAUUCAUUGAUCUGAUCUUUGUUCUUGUUUAGCUUAAGUUUGAUUCAUGAGUCUUUAAGUCUGAGUUAGGUCUUGGGGUGUGAUUAAUCUAGUAGUCAUAAGGGUUAAUUUCACAACACUCUCCUAGUCCUUGGAAGUAAUUUAAUGAAAGGUGCAUCAAUUUGUUUGUGCAGCAACUGUAUGGCUAGAGAGUUUCAUGCUCUUGGUCUUCGCAGUUUUCUUAUUUGUAUGGUUUGGUUUUCUUUAUUUUUUGCCGACAAAUAAACAAAUCAACUUGCAAUAAAAUAAAUAUUAAAAUAAACUGAAAAAGCUCGAAUGCCGACAAAUUCCAGGUUGUUCAGUUCAAAAUUAAUUCUAUACUAAGUAUGAAGAAUAAAAUAAAAGCAAUAACUUGCAAAUUGAAAAUUCUGCAUUCCUAAACCAAAGUCCAAACAGGGGUAAACAUGUCUGCAAACAUAAACAAUGAUCAAACACUGUAGGCAGAAGCAUCGUUCUGCUUUGUAAAUUAGACCUGCUGGCGUGAUAUGGCGGAGGCUGCGGUGAACUUUGCUAUAGAGACCUUGGGUCCUUUGCUUGUCGAAGAAAUCAGAUUGUGGGGAGGUGUUAGAAAAGAAGUUCAAAGUAUCAAAAGCGAACUGGAGAGUCUCAGAUCUUUCCUGAAAGACGCGGAUGCAAGGGCAGCAGUCGAAGAAUUAGAAGGAGGCGGUGAGGAAAGUGUCAGAACUUGGGUGAAACAACUGAGGGAUGAAGCUUAUCUCAUUGAAGAUGUGAUCGACGAGUACACACUCAUGGUGGCAAAACUCCCUCAUGGGAGUGGCCUCGUUGGUGUUCUCCAUAGAAUCAGUCGUUUCAUAAAGAAGCUGAAGCUGCGGCGUGGAGUUGCUUCUGAGAUUCAAGAUAUCAAAUCAGCACUUGCUGCUAUAAAGGGAAGGGGAGAAAGCUAUCGAUUCAGAUCUAGUGAUGAACCAUCGAGCAGUGGAACCAGAAAUGUUAUCCCACAUGACUCUCGAGUUGGUUCCUUUUUUGUUGAAGAUGAUGAAGUUGUGGGCAUCGAAUCCAUUAAAGAUAAAUUGAUUGAUUUGAUGGUGAACGGAAGAUCCGAACGUUCAGUGGUUGCUGUGGUGGGUGAAGGAGGACUAGGCAAGACCACUCUUGCCGGAAAACUUUUUAACAAUGAUGGUUUAAAAACUCACUUCAGUAGCCGGGCUUGGGUCACCGUUGGGAAAGAAUACAACAAAAAUGAUUUGUUGAGGACAGUUAUAAAGGAGUUUCACCGUUUCUCAGGGCAACCUACUCCAGAGGAGACAGGCAACAUGGGAGAGAUGGACCUGAUCACCACGCUGAGGGACCACCUGAAGGACAAGAGUUACAUGGUUGUGUUCGACGAUGUUUGGAAGAUUGAUUUCUGGGGAGACGUGGAGCAUGCUUUACUUGAUAACAAGAAAUACAGCAGGAUAAUUGUCACAACACGGCUCAUGAAUGUCGCUAAGUAUUGCAAAUCAUCUUCCUCUGUUCACGUCCAUGAGCUUGAAACUUUGCCUCUAUAUGAGGCGUGGAAACUUUUUUGUAGAAAGGCGUUCGGACCAAGCUCCGGAGGCUCUUGUCCUUCAGAGUUGAAGGAGUUGUCCCAGGACAUCCUUGCAAAAUGUGGAGGUUUGCCUCUUGCUAUCGCGGCCAUAGGUGGACUUCUUUCAACCAAGAACAGGGUUGUAUCUGAAUGGAAGAAAUUAUUUGAUCGGUUGGGCUCAAUCUUAGGAGGUGAACCCCAUCUAAAAGACUGCAACAGAGUUUUAUCUGAAGGGUGUCAUGAUCUUCCUCACCAUCUCAAAUCAUGUCUUCUCUACUUUGGCUUAUUUCAAGAGAGCUGCAAAGUUAACUGUGCUACACUCAUCCGUUUGUGGAUAGCUGAGGGCUUUGUCCAGUACAGCAACCGCCCCACAUCUGAACAAGUUGCAGAAGAAUACUUGAAUGAGCUCAUUGACAGAAGCUUGGUUCAAGUUUCAGAGAGAGAUAUUUCUGGACGAGCUAGAAUCUGCCAAGUUCAUGAUCUUAUGCACGAGAUCGUCAUCAGAAAAACUGAAGAAUUGGGCUUUGGUCGUGUGCUGAACGGAGAGGACUUGAGUCAUUGCAGUAAAACUCGACGCAUAACUAUACAGAGAAGUAUUGAUGAUAGUGCUUUAGAGAGCAUCAAGGACUGGAAGGUCCGUUCUGUUUUUCUUUUCAAUGUAGAUAAGCUGCCCGACUCUUUCAUGAAUACAAGUAUUGCCAAUUUCAAGCUCAUGAAAGUACUAGAUCUGGAAGAUGCUCUUAUAGUUUACCUUCCUGAAGGAGUGGCAAGCUUACUCAAUUUACACUACUUGAGUUUGAGAAAUACAAAAGUAGAAAUAAUUCCCAAGUCCAUUGGAAAUCUUCUCAGUUUAGAGACUUUGAAUAUGAAAAAUACUUUGGUGAGAGAACUGAUUAAACAAAAACAAACUUUAUGCCCUUAAUCGUGCAUUUCCAAAUAAACACAUAUUUUAGGUAAUUUCGAAAUUUACCAUGAUCUCCCAUGAAUCCGACCUUGGAAGCUUGUUAUGGAGCUUUAUCGAGUUGCUACAAGCCUGAUCUAACUUCAGAAUUCCGCUUCCUUUGCUUCAGUUCCAGAAUCGGCUUUUCUCAACAAGUUACUGUACACACACGGGAGAGAAACGGGAGAGAGAGAGGUGCACUGCACUCGUGCCACAGAUUUCUUGAACAGUGAACUUCCAAUGGGCUGAAGUUACUUAAAUACAGUGGUUGAGCGCAAGGACCCCUCAUGUGUUAGUACAAAAUUGCCCAUCCCAUUAUGAGCUAAAUAACACAAUCAAGGAUUAUACUUGUCUAUAAUAUACUACUGUCUAGGGUAUGUCAAAAUCAGACUCAUUAACACAAUAUUUGAUCACUUAAUAAAUGAGUCUGUCAAAAUUGCUCCAUAAUAUUUGACAAUAGUCACGUAUUAAUUCAGUAAAAUAUAGAAAACAAUUAGAAUGAUUUAUGCCAGUCCACAUAAUGUGAGAAAUAAAUCUAACAAUCUCACACUUAGACGGCAGAAAUCACUCUAAGGAUAAAUUUAAAAAUAAAAUCAGAUGUAGAAAACAACCGAAUUAAUCAAUAUGUGACUAUAACAAAAGGUCAAAUGCAAGCAAUCACCCAAAACAUAAAUAAGUCCAAAGGUGCCAUAAAUAUCAAGUCAUAUGUGCACCGACAGGAUGCUCCACAUAACAAGACACUUAUAAACACGUGACUAUGCAGUAGUAUAAAAGUAUAAUUAUGGAAAUAACAUGACAAUGUGAUCAACAUGCUCAUUUCCACAAAGUCCACAUGUCUAGCAAAAUGAGACGAAAACAAUAUGUCUCCUAGACCAUUGCUUCUUUAUAACCAUAAUAAGACUCUAGCAAAAUGUCUCGAGAAGCGGGCUUCCCUUUUAAUCAUAAUGAGACUAAAUCAAAAUGUCUCAAGGAAGUCGUGCUUUCUUAUAAUUAUAAUGAGACUAAAUCAAAAUGUCUCAAGAUGCACACGGAAGGUAAGUCAUAAUGCUUCAGUCUUUAAUGUCCAUAUUGAGACUGAGCAAAAAUGUCUCGGACCAUAAUAUCCUCAUUCUAUACAUAAUGCCAUACGCAGCCAAAUGUGUACACAAUAUAUGGCAUAUCAAUAUCACAUAACAACAUGCAUGCAUGAUAACAAAACGAGUAAUACAUAAUCUCAUUUAAGUUGCAACUCAUAAUACAAACCAGAACUCCCACUGACUCAGCAUAUAUAAGUGGAUUCUAAUAAUCUCAUAUGCGUCACAUGCUCCCUAAAUACCUUUGGAGCUAAAGCUUUAGUAAGUGGAUCGGCUAACAUGAGUUCUGUAGGAAUAUACUCUACUGAUACAUAAGAUAGAGAAAUUUUCUCUCUCACAAAUAAGUAUUUAAUAUCAAUGUGCUUGGAACGUGAGGAACUCCCUGUAUUGUGAGAAAAAGAAACAGCUGCAGAAUUAUCACAGUAUAUUUUUAAUGGCCUCGGUACGGCCAAUAUACAAUCUAGCCCUGUGAUAAAAUUCUGCAUCCAUAAAGCUUGACGUGUAGCCUCAAAACAUGCUACAUAUUCUGCUUCCAUUGUUGAAGAAGCUAUGAGUGUCUGCUUGGCACUUUUCCAUGAUAUAGCUCCUCCUGCCAUCAUAAAGAUGUAACCAGAUGUGGAUUUCUUGUCUUCCAAGCACCCUGCGAAAUCAGCAUCAGAAUAUCCAACUAUAUUCAAAUAGUCAGAUUGCUGAUAUGUCAAUACAAAAUCUUUAGUGGCUUGCAAAUAUCUGAGUACUUUCUUUGCAGCCUUCCAGUGUUCAUAUCCAGGAUUGCUCAGGUAUCUUCCAAGUACUCCCACUGGAAAAGCAAUAUCAGUGCGAGUACAGACUUGAGCAUACAUCAAGCUACCCACAACAAAUGCAUACGGGACUGUUUGCAUUCUAGCUUUGUCGACAUCAUUAUCGGGACAUUGAGACUUGGAAAUCUUGUCACCUUUUGACAUUGGAGCUUGCCCAGGAGCACAAGACUGCAAAUUGAACCUUUUCAAAAUACGAUCAAUGUAAGUCUUUUGAGACAAUCCUAGAAUUCCUCUAGAUCUGUCACGAAGAAUCUCUAUCCCUAAUACAUAAUGGGCUUCACCAAGAUCCUUCAUAUCAAAGCUGUAUGACAACAUUUGCUUUGUCUCAAGUAAAAAAUUAGUGCCAUUAGCAGCGAGCAAGAUAUCAUCCACAUAAAGCACCAAAAUGAUAUACUUGCUCUCACUAACUCUCAAGUAUAUACACUGAUCAACAACAUUCUCCUGGAACCCAUAAGAGGUGACAAUAUCGUGAAAUUUCAAAUACCACUGUCUGGAUGCCUGUUUAAAUCCAUAAAUGGACCUUUUAAGCUUACACACCAUGUUUUCUCUAUCAGUCUCAACAAAACCAUCAGGUUGCACCAUGUACACAUCUUCAGACAAGCUCCCAUUGAGAAAAGCUGUCUUCACAUCCAUCUGAUGCAAUUCUAAAUUGAAAUGAGCUACCAAUGCCAUGAUAAUACGAAAAGAGUCUUUGGUAGAAACAGGAGAGUACGUUUCAGUGUAAUCAAUGCCUUCUCUUUGACUGAAACCCUUAGCCACAAGCCUGGCCUUGUACCUCUCUACCUGACCUCUGGCAUCUCUCUUGGUUUUGAACACCCAUUUGCAACCAAUUGGUCUACAUCCAUCUGGCAACUCAACUAAAUCCCAAACCCCAUUAUGAUACAUAGAUGCCAUCUCAUCAUGCAUCGCAUGUAUCCAAGAUGAUGAUUCUGAACAACUGAUGGCCUCUUGAAAGGUAAUAGGAUCAGAUGAUGAGUCAGCAUUAAAAUCAUGUUCCUGCAAGUAAACAACAUAAUCAUCAGGAAUUGCAGGUCUCCUGAUCCUCUCUGAUCUCCUCAAUUGCACAUCAGUAACAUCAUCCACUACAAUCAUAGGCUCCAUAUCAUGAUGAAGUUCAGGAUCAACUGAAGAAACAUCAAUGUGUGAUAAUCCCAUCGCAGAAGUCGGAAAAGAUAGAAUAGGCAAAACCACACGUUCUUCUCUUAAUGUAAGACUGCGAGGCUCAGAACUCACACCAUUGUGAUCAUCCUCAAAAUAAAUGGCACGAUCAGACUCAAUGAUUCUAGUAGUGUGGGAAGGACAAUAAAAUCUAGAACCCAUUGAGCCUAUACAAUAGCCAAUAAAAUGACCACUAAUGGUUUUCGAAUCAAGUUUCCUUGAUUGUGGAUUAUAGGGCCUCACUUCUGCUCUGCAUCCCUGGACAUGGAAAUGACGAAGACUCGGUCUCUUCCCUGACCACAAUUCAUAAGGAGUUUUGGGCACCGACUUACUAGGUACCUGAUUCAAAAUGUAAGCUGCAGUUCUUAAGGCUUCACCCCACAGAAAAUCUGGUAAGGUGGAGUUACUCAGCAUACACCGCACCAUGUCAAGAAGGGUACGAUUUCUCCUUUCUGCAAUUUCAUUCUGUUCAGGAGUUCCGGGCAUUGUAUACUGGGCUUCUAUUCCACAUUCCUGAAGAAAUUUAGCAAAAGGUCCAGGAUUACGCCCAGUUUCAUCAUAUCGCCCAUAGUACUCACCACCUCUGUCUGAUCUUACUGCUUUAAUUUUCUUGCCCUUUUGGAUCUCAACAUUAGCCUUAAAGGCUUGAAACACAGAUAAAGAUUCAAACUUUUCAGUAAGAAGUUCAACAUGACCAUAACGAGAAAAGUCAUCGAUGAACGUGAUGAAGUACUUAUAACCUCCAAUAGCAAUAGGAGUAAAUGGCCCACAGAUGUCUGUAUGUACCAACUCCAACACCUGUUGACUCCUCCGAGUUCUCUCUUUUCUGGCUUUGGCAGUAAGUUUGCCUUUGAUACAAUCAACACAAGUGCCAAAAUCAGAGAAAUCUAAAUUAUGAAGAAUGUCAUCUUUAAUGAGCCUUUCCAUCCUCUGUUUAGAAAUGUGACCUAACCGUUUAUGCCACAACAUAGAGGAAUUUUCAUUAACCCUCGCACGAUUAGAGCUAACAACAUUCAUAACAUGAGCAUUGGAUGAUGAUUCAACAGCACGAGAAAAUAAAUCAAUCAUAUAUAAGCCAUCAUAUAGAGUGCCAGAACCAACUAACUCUGAAUUGCGGAAUAAGUAAACUUUUCUAUCACCAAAAUGAAAAGUAUAGCCACAUCUAUCCAAAAUAGAUAUAGAUAUCAAGUUUCUCCUUAUAGAAGGAAUAUAAGUCGUAUCUAACAGAUCCAAAAAAUAGCCUGUGGCUAGAUGUAGUCUGACAACUCCUAUACUUUCAACUUUGGCUGUCACUCCAUUGCCCAUGUGAACUAUCAACUCCCCUUCAUUGGGCUCCCUCCUGCUUUUGAAUUCCUGUAAGGAAUUCGUUAUAUUAAUGGUUGCACCAGUAUCCAACCACCAAGUAUCAGAAGGAACAUCAACUAAAUUAGAUUCAAAGCCUACAAAGGCUACAUGAAUACCUUUCUUUUCCAACCAUGCUUUGAAUCCCCUGCAUUCAGCUCUAUUGUGCCCAGGUUUCUUACAAAAAUGGCACUUUCCCUUAAAGUUCUCAGAAGUGGAACCAAAAGUGGUAGAAGAAUUACCACGUGAAGUUUUCUUUCCAAACUUUUUCUUCUUGAAAAACUUAUUGCUGCCCUUUGAAGAGCCUUUCUUCACACUCCCACUCUCUUGAGUAGUUGCCACCAUGACAGUGUGAGAUUUCCCCUUCUUCAAUGAUUCCUCUUCUUGAACCACAUAAGCAGUCAACUCAGUGAUAUUCCAAGUGUCUCUCUGAGUAUUGCAUUGGCUUCUCAAAUUGCCAAAUUGUGGUGGAAGGGAUUCAAGGAUUUGGAAGACUAGGUAGUCAUCAGGCAGAUUGACAUCCAUGUCCUUUAACUUCUUAUGGUAACUGGUCAUCUUAAGGAUGUGCUCUCUGACCCCAGAAACACCAUCAUACUGGGUAUUAGCAAGCAGCCUCAGAUAGUUACCCUUUUCUGCCUUAUCUACCUUCUUAAAAGUUCUUCCAACAGCUGCCAAGUAAUCUUUGGCCUUAUCACAUGCAUGAAUGCUAUCUCUAGUUGUUCUAUCAAUGAUGUAUUUCAUUGUAUCCAGACAGUGUCUAUUGGAUUCAUCCCAAGCUGCCCACUCUGCUUUUCCAGCAGCAGUGCUCUUAUCUGUGGGCUUGGCUGGUUCAUCAACUCUUAAUGCCAAGUCUCUAUUCAAUGUAGACAGAUAAAACAAAAUGGACUCACACCAGUCCUCAAAAUUUGUCCCAGUUAAAUUCUUGAGGGAGGCUACUUGGAGAAAUGAGAGAAUAUCUAGAGCUGAGGAAGCAAUAACAAAAGAAUUAUCAAGCAUGCAAAAAAUUAAAAUCAUGCUAUACUCAAUUACUCUUCAUUCUAAGUUUCUCCAAUAGCAACACAAUAUGUUAGGCAUCCUUUAACAAUAUAGGAGUGCACUAACCUAAAGAUAAAGCAGACAAGUUGAAUAUAACACCAACAUUGACCUAUUACCGACAGGGUAAUCAAGCCACUCAGUAGAAAAUACUCAACAAAUCUCUUUAUCUUCCCAAGUAUCCUACCAAGUAGUGAUUUUCCGACAAGGAAGUAUCAUCACCCGUAUGGAUCUUGGUAAUAACAAUAACAAUUCAUCGCAAAAUUCAUAAUCAAUAAUGACAAAUGGGCAUCUAAUUGCAAAAUACGAAAUAAUUUAUCAUGAUUGGCCCUACAAUAAGCAGAUACACAAUCACUCUAAAUUGUAGUUUUGCAUCAUAUAUAUAUUUCAUACAUUAACAAAAUUGAGGCUAAAUAAACUUUGUCAAACGCAAUUAAAGUUUCUACUAAGAUAUUAAAUCAAAAAAAAUAUCUACACGCCUCAAUAAAAUAUAUGAAUUUUAUGCCCAUAAUAUCCAACAAUGAUGGAUUAUUAUAAAUUCUAAAUUCUAAAAAAUCGCCAAAAUUGUAAGGCUUUUGGACUAAAGUGACGAAUUUUCAGAAUUAUGAUUACUGUUUUAAAUAUUAAAACUAUUGGCCCAAACUGUAAAUAAAAUAAAAUAAAAUGUUGGGCCAUAAUAUAAUUUAUCAUAAUUAAAGGGACCAAAUGAUGUUUGACCACGCUGACCUUCGGUCAAGGACCAUUAUGAAAAUUUUGCAAAUAUUUUGGGCCAUAAUGACAUUUCGUAUAAAGUUUAGGGUAUGUCAAAAUCAGACUCAUUAACACAAUAUUUGAUCACUUAAUAAAUGUCAAGGACCAUUACUUGUCCAUAAUGUCAAGGACCAUUACUUGUCCAUAAUAUACUACUGUCUAGGGUAUGUCAAAAUCAGACUCAUUAACACAAUAUUUGAUCACUUAAUAAAUGAGUCUGUCAAAAUUGCUCCAUAAUAUUUGACAAUAGUCACGUAUUAAUUCGGUAAAAUAUAGAAAACAAUUAGAAUGAUUUAUGCCAGUCCACAUAAUGUGAGAAAUAAAUCUAACAAUAACUUUCAGUUGAGAUCAGGAAUCUUAAAAGGUCUCGUUAUCUAAUGGUGUAUCAGUACAAUUAUACCGCAGGUGCAACAGUAGCAGAAGAAGCAGCAGUAAAAUUACACGAGGGCUUUGGGUCUCUAACGAAUCUGCAGAAGUUGUGUAUUAUAGAUGCUGACUCUGAAGCGCUCAAAGAGCUUAUGAAGCUAAGGCAGUUAAGAAAGUUGAGCAUGAGGCCCCAAAAUGGAAGUGGCAAGGAUCUGUGUGCUUUGAUUGCAAAUUUCGAAAACCUAGAGAAUUUAACAGUACUAAUGAAAAGCAAAAAAGAAGUACUUGACUUGCAAUCUUUGAGUAAUCCUUCUCAAUAUCUGCAGCGUCUCUACUUGAAAGGGAAUAUGAAGAAACUGCCGGAUUGGAUUGUUAAACUAAAAAAUGUAAUCAGAGUCCUUCAAGCCUUGCCUAAUUUAUUGGAACUUUUACUCAUAAGGACAUACAACUACGAGCUUUUUCACUUUGAAGCAGGUUGGUUUCCAAAACUCCAAAUAUUGAAUCUCUUUGGCUUCGUCCCUGUGAAAUCGGUUAUAAUAGAGAAAGGUGUUGCGGAAACGUGGGUUGAGCAAUUACUAAUACUGCAACUUCUGGAGAAAUAUAAAUGUGGUGAUAAACAAAUGCAAAGAAAAUAAAACACAAUAUAUUUACGUGGUUCGGCGUAAUGCCUACGUCCACGGGCAAAAACUGGAAGAUAAUUUUACUAACAAUGGAAUUUACAAAAGUGGGAAAAACUCACAAAACCCACAACCCCAAUACACCCAAAUAGAACCUCACUAGAACACUCAAGUGGAAGCUCUCUCAAAUUCUCUCAAAGAACUCACUUGCAAUUGCUCUCUACUUCUCUCAAAUUGGGAUGAUUAACAAAUGAGGAAUUGCCUUCUAUUUAUUAGGAAAAAUGGGGUGCACUAUUGCACCAACCCCAACAAAAUUGUCAACAUAAAUUAGGCACCUACCUUAUGAAUUUGUUGUCAAAUUUGCUUCUCCAAAGUUGAAUGCAUGCAGGGCAACAACUUGUCAAAUAUUUGUGCCACCAACCUCCAAUUUGUCAAGAAACAAACGUGUGAAAAUAAGCUUUGUGGGCUGACUUUUCAACAAAAGGUGCGAUGCCUGAUAUUAGAGAACUGCGGAUUGGGCCUUGCCCAUUGUUGAUGGAGAUUCCUAUUGGAAUUGAACAUCUUAAAAACCUUAAGCAACUCAGAUUUGCUAGUAUGGUUAAACAAGUUUAUUACAUGACAAAAGGCGAGAACUGGGGGAAGGUUACUGAGCAUAUACCAGAUGUCCUUGUCACUUUUGUGCAGGCCGGGCGACUGUUUUAUUAUCGAAAAGAGGAUCUCUCAUCUCUGUCUCCUGAAUAUGUCGAGCAAAUCUGCUGAAGAAGAGGACUCAAAUAGGGAGCAGUCAUGCACGUCUAUGAAAUAAGUAAAUAGGUCUGCCACUCUCCUGCGUAUUUGGAUUAUUUUCUAUUUACUUUUAAGAAAAAUUAUUUUUCUCAUUUUUAAUUUGACAGACAAUUUAAUUAUAUAUAAUUCAAAUAAAAAUUCACCAAGAAAAUUCCUUUUUCCUUGUAAUUUGAGUACGUUUAAUAAAUAAAUAAACAAAUGCAGUAGGUCAGGAAAUCUUUUUCUAGUCAAAUAUAUAGUUAGAAUCAUAUAAUGAUUAGGUAUUAAUGUUAGUAUAGUAAAUUCCGUUAUAUUUUUUGUUACCAUGAACAGAUGGAGUAUAUAUAUCUUGCUUCUAGCGAAUUCAUUGAUGAGUUCAUCGAACCUAUACUGGAUCAGAUUGUGGGGGUAAUGCUACUAUUGAUAUGCUUUGAGUUUGAGUAAUUAUUAUCAGUGUUAUCGUGUAAUACAUGCUUAUGUGAGUGGUUGCUGCUGUGAGUGUGAGUGUAUUUCUAUAUAUUUAAAUCUGAGAUUAUGAUUCUAGAAAUAUUGUAUUAAAAGAAGGUAGGUGACUCUAAUGUUAGAAAAUUACAUAUGAUUUGAUUGAAUUAGCUUUUUUGCUUUUGGAAUUGCUUUAAGUUGCUCAAGGAAUGAUCCCGCAUAGGCUCACUCAUUAUAAUCUAUAUAUUCUAUCAAAGUGUUAGUUUUUGCGUGAAUUAAAGAGAAAGAGUGCUGGAAAUUUCAUUUUAUUUACUUUUCCAUGUCGUGGAUAAAUGAGAGCCGAGUUUUUGCGUGAAUUAAAGAGAAAGAGUGCUGGAAAUUUCAUUUUAUUUAUUUUUCCAUGUCGUGGAUAAAUGAGAGCCGAAACAAUGUUGAGUCUCUUCACAAUAAAAGUAAUUUUCGUACAUCUUUUCCUUCAGCUUUAUGAUACGCAAUGCACAUAGUCCUUAGUCCCUACACCUGCCCCUUUAUUAAUUAUUGGUUGAGAAACUUGUGGGCCUUAAAUGAUCGCAUAUAUACUUUUUUCCUUCAUUAUCACCCUUUCGCACUAAGUAUCACAAUCGUAUAUUAAGGCAACAAAUAUAAUAAAUAAAAUAAAAUAAAACCAUUAAAAGAAAUUGUAACCGCUACCAUCAAUAAAAACCUGUCUUGGUUUGGUUGGAAGAAUUUCCGUAAAAAUACAGAUGGCAUUUGAUUUGAAUUUGAAAUGUUAAUUAAGGAAACUAAUAAACAAGGAAAUACAAAUCCUCAAAUAAAUAAAUAAAUAAGGAAACACAAAUGACCAUAUAUACAUAGGCCGGCCCGGGCCCUUGGACAUGACACCAUAACCCUCCAAUAAUUUCAAUUUUUAUUAUCGUUCCCAAAACACCCUUCCAAACUUUUCCAGCGUUAAUAGUCAUGAAGAUAAUUUAUUAAUUUAAUCAAACAAUAAAGAUAAUUAUGUCAUUUUAUAUUUUUGGGUCAAGUCAAGUGAGGCAUUUUCUUCCAUCCUGAUCAUCUGCCAUGCAAACAUCUGGGUAAACUUUCUUCCAUCUUAUAACAUCAGGGCUUCUUCUCUGAUUCUUAUGGUCAUUCAUUCAUUUCUCUAAUCUCUUUUUCCUCUUACAUGUUUUUUUUUUAAGAUUUUUUUUUAUCAUAUGAUGUGGCAGAAAUUAUCCUGUUUAAAAAAUCUUUAUCCUAAAUUUGAUAUGUUACGUUGUUACUUAACCGUAAACAAAUGAUCAAUUUUACAUGAAAAUAGUAAAAUGACCAGAAAAAUCAGGAGAAUGUAUUAUUAAUGCCUUUGUGUUAUAUAUAUAAAAUUGAAUUUCAUAUGAUGAGAGGCCAAAAUCACCCUGUUUACAAAUCUUUAUCUUCAAUUUGAAUUGUUUGACUUAAAAACUAGAACUAUCAAAUAAGAGUCAGCAUUAGAACAAAAGUUAAAUAUAACAUUCCAUUCCCUUCUUUACAAGGUGGAUAUGAUUUUAAGGUCACAUGUAUUUAGAGGCAAAAUUAGGACUUCUUGCAAGCUGGUGGUUAGACUAUUUUUUUUAAGUUAAAAAAAGAAAAAGAAUCUUAAAGUAAAACUAUUGAAUUAAACCACAACAAUAAGUUCACAUUUUUUAGGUUUGAAAAAUAUUUUUUGAAUUAUGUUUAUUUCAAAAAAAUCAAAUUUCAAAAUUAUGACUACGAUACCCCAUGAUUGCCAUACUCCACAACCUGGCACCGUUAGAUGGUUCUAAAUUAUUGACUUUAAUUAUUUUUUUUAAUUGUCUAAUGAUACUUAGGUGUCGUUUAUUUUUUUUAUCUGAAAUCUGAAUAGACCUGAAUUAGUCUGAAGUCUGAAUAGAUCUGAAUGUCUGAAUCUGAAUAAUAUGUUUGUUUUUUCGUCUGAAUCUCGAAAAAUAAGUAUUAAGUUGUUUGUUUUUUUCAACUGAAAAAGCUGAAAAUAUGUACUUUUACAUUUGUAUCCUUAUUAAAUUUGAAUGUCAAAUAAAUAAUAUAUUAAAUACCACAAUAUUUUAACAUUUAUAAGUAAAAUUAUAUUCAAGUAAAUACAUAAUUAUUUUAGAAUUUUAAUAUAUAAAAUACCAUAAAUUUCAAAUUUUAUCGUAUAUAAUAUAAGAAAAAAAAACAGGGAUAUUUUUAUGUGGGGUAAAUGUCUAUGGGUGAGUUUUGGGAUAGACAUGAAAAAUAAAUUAUAAAACAUGGAUAUUUUUGACAUUAGUAAGUAAUUGACUUAAUUCAAAUUUAUCCAUUAAGUAAAAAGCCAAAAAAAUUGGCUUAUUUUAUUAAGUCAAAAUUAUCUAAAAAGUCUCAUUAAGUUAUAAAAACAAACACCUCUAAUUAACUUAAUUAAUUAAGUUAAGUCACUUUAAGUUAUUAAGUUAAAAAACAAACACCACCUUAGUCUGGGGAGUACGAUACCCUUAGAAAUCAUAGAUAGACACUUUACACAAUUUAAAGCUAAAUGAGUAAUAAAUAUCUUGUCAUAAUUAGUUUACUUGAGACCAAAAAUAGAUUUCUAAAACAAGAUGGAGUGGGAAAGAAUUUGGGAAAAAUGACCGUGACCAAAUUUUAAAACAACUUGAGUGAUAAACUUGUAAAUUAUGCUGUGGUAUUUCGUAAAAAAAUAACAGUGAUAGCUAGUUUUAUAAAUACUAGUAAUUUUGUGAACAACAUAGUAAAAAAAAAAACUAAAUAAUAAUAAUAAUAAUAGUAAUUAUUAUUAUUAUUAUUAUUAUUAUUAUUAUUAUUAUUUUGACGUAUCUUGCUUAUUUGGAAGUCAACAUAAAUUGUAUAUUUGCAAGGACAAGAAACUGUGAUUUAGAAAUUCGAGGAGGCACUGUCAAAUUUCGACACUCUAAAGAAGCUGGGAGCAUCCAUUCUCCAUGGAGUUGAUGCAACUGAAAUGAAGGAACAUCCUGAAUUGAGCAAGCGGAAAUUUGAUAGAAUAAUCUUCAACUUCCCUCAUGCUGGCUUUCAUGGAAGGGAAGACGACGACGAAUUUUUCAAUGAGCUACCUAGUAAGUCCAAUGGACAUAUGUGUCAAUAUAGUGAGUUAAAAAUGGUUAUAUAUAAUAAGAGGGAACUUGAUAUAUAAAGGGAUCCAUAUGAAGAAACGAGUGUUUUUCAUUUCUUAAGUAAAAUGUUAUACAUUGAGCAUAUUUAUAGAUGCAGAUAUUACAAUUUUUCAAAAAUUAGAUACACGUAUUACGAAAGGAUCUCACCAACCGCGUCGUUGCCGUUUGGUGCGGAUCGUGUCUUUGACAACUUCAAUUCGAUGUCGUUUUAUUGACAUUCUCAACACUCCCUGUAAUACCCCAAAUCGCCUGAGGGUAUUUAAAUAUUUUUAAUUUUUAGUGAUCAUUUUAACCCUAUGUCUUUCCCAUUAUAAGAGAGGGAGGGGGAGAGAGAGAUCGAUUGAGGAAAAAAAUGACAGAAGAGAGAGAGAGAGAGAGAGAGAUGGAGAGAAACUAGAGAAAAGAAAAGAAAAAGAGAAGAAGAAUUAUUCUUAGUUCUGCCAUAGGCGACACAUGGGAUCAAGUUGUGUUGUUUGAAUUGGAUAUUGUUGGGAGAACUUUUGGAGGUAAGUUUUAAUUCUUGGUUUUCUUUAUUAAUUCGUUAUGGAGAAACAUGAUUAGAUAUUUGCAAUAGAAGUAGAAACCUAAGAUUUUACAGGAAAUAUGCUGACAAUGCAUUAUUACGCAAAUCAUAAUAAUUUGUACAAAUUGAUUUUCAUUCUGAUUUUUGGAUAUGUUAAGUUAGACAUCUUAUAGAAUGUUUUGAAACUUGUUUCAAGUUAAUCGGAUAAGAUUUCAUUUAGUUACGAUUUUUCAAACUUAGGUCUAAAAGCCUAGAAAUUUCUGAUUUCAGUGAAUAACAUGAAUUACGAAAUUAUUUUUACCAUAGCUAGACUUCUUCAAAAAUUAUGAAAUUUGGAUCAGUGAUUUUUAUAUAUGUCUAAUAUGAUUCUAUAUGUUUUUAUGAUUUUAUGAUAAAACAAUAAAUUGUUUUGUAUUUUUAAACAAGUAUGUUCAAAACAGAAAACUGUUUGAUAGUAUUGAUGAUGUCUGAAAUGCCAAUUAUUUUCGAUAGUUUUUGAAGGAAUUUAGUUAUGAAUUUUUUAUCAAAGAAUUUUCAAUAUGUCAGAAUAUGGUCUAUAAAAUUUGAGAUUUUUCCAAUGAGAGAAUAAUUUAUUAAAAAUAGAAAACAAGGACUGUUUCAUUUUGAGGGUCGAACAUUGAGGACAUUUGAGGUUGAAUUUAGGAGCUAUUUAAAAUGAGAUAUUUGAGGACAUUAAAGUUUAUGAUUGAGACUUGAUUAUAUCUUAUGGAAAUUUUAUUGAUAAUUUUAGGUCGACGAUAUCAGUACGCAUUUGUUACAUGAUGAUGCCAAGAAGUAAGUAAACUAGACUUCAAAACAAAUCACAAUAAACAAUAUGUAUAUGUUUGACUUAUUUGAAAAGUCUAUUUUUGAUAUUUACAUAUGUAGAUUUAUAUGUUUCUGCCCAUGUGUUUAUGUGAUGUAUUGCUAUGUGUUGAGCGUGAUUAUGUACAUGGGUAUAUGUAUGUGUGAAAUUUAAUUGGCAUAAGCACGAAAAUGCAUUGAGUUUUCUAUGAAUGAGAAAAUGGAUAUUAACAAAUGAAAUUUCUACUUUAUGAGAUUUUGCAUUGGGGGUCACCUAUUGAAGCUGUGUGGGGCCACCUCUUGAGACUAUGUGGGGGCCAACUCUCGAGAGUCGACGUGCCGCGAAGUGCCACGCAUGGUGUAAAGUGCCAUGUAUAGCACAAAGUGCCACAUUGUAGGAUACAUAUUUUAUUGAAAGAAAAUGUGGAAGUUUGAAAGGGACAUAAAGAGAUUUUGAUAAGUUUGUUUCAAGUAUUUUGAAAAUAUCAUGACAUAUCAUCCAUGUGUGCAUUAUUUAUAAGUAUGUAUAUAUUUUGGUAUAAGAAAAACUAAUUUGCUUAUUGAGUUUUGUACUCAUUAUAGUUUAUUAUGAUUUAGUUUCCAGAAGUCAUGAUUGAUUCGUGAUGAGUGAGAAGUGGCUUUUGUAUUUGAGGCUUGAAUUAUUAUCGGCUGUAAAAAGUUAUUUAAAUUCAUAUGUGAGUCGUGGUCAGAUUUGCCCUUGGACUGGGGUGUUACACUCUCCCUCAAGCUAAUGCAUAGAUGUCUUGCAUACCCAGCUUGUCUAGGAAUUUUGUAAAUGAUUGGCUAGAAAUGACCUUUGUUAAAAUAUCUGUAAGUUGAUCUUUUGACUGAAUUUUCAACAAUUCUAAGAUUUUUCAUCUAAUUUCUCCUUAAUUAAAAAUCUAUCUACUUGACGUGUUUUGUUUGAUCGUGCUGAACUAGGGUAUGAGCAAUAUCUCAUGUAGCUUUGUUGUCACAGUAUAAUUGUAUUGGUUGUUGCUAUUAAUAGCCCAAAUAUUUUAAGAUACAGCUUAACCAUAACCCUUCACAUACCCCAAGGGCCACGCCUUGAUAUUCUACUUCAGUGCUCGAACGGGCAAUGACAUGUUGUUUGUUGCUUCUCCAUGUGAUAAGGUUGCCUCCCACAAAGGUAAAAGAGCCUGAGGUAGAAUGUUUAUCACUAGUUGACCCAGCCCAAUCUACAUUAGUAUAAACUUCUAUGCUGUUGCAAUCUUUAUUUUUGGAAAAUAUGAUUCCUUUUCCUAGAUUUGACUUCAGGUACCUCAGGAUCAGCAUGAUUGCUUUCAUAUGAUGUUCUCCGGGAUUGUGCAUGAACUGACUUACAACACUCAUUGCAUAAGCAAGAUCUGGCCUUGUGUGAGACAAGUACAUCAAUCUUCCAAUCAGCCUUUGAUAUCUUCCUUUGUCUACUGAAACUUGGUCUAAGGUAAUACAUAACUCCAGUCCUUCUUCUAUUGGGGUGUAAAUAGGCUGACAAGCUGUCAUUCGCAUUUCGUGCAAUAGAUCUGAGGCAUAUUUCCUUUGAGAUAAGAAGAUUCCUUCCUUAGAUCGAGAAACCUCGAUUCCACAAAAGUAUUUUAAGGCUCCUAAAUCCUUCAUCUCAAACUCUCUCGACAAAUACUUCUAAAGAGCUUCUCUUUCUUCCUCAUCGUUGCUUGUAACUACCAUGUCAUCCACAUAGAUGAUAAGGGCAGUGAUUUUACAUUGUCGUUUUUUAAUGAACAAGGUAUGAUUUGCCAAAAAACCUCAAAGACUUUUUGAAUUUCCCAAACCAUGCUCUUGGGGAUUGCUUCAACCCGUAUAAUGAUUUCUUCAAUUUACAUACUUUUUGAUUGAGUCAUUCUAGUCUACUGCAUCCUGGUGGAAAAUCCAUAUAAAUUUCUUCAGUCAGGUUGAUUAGUGUUAAAAAUUAUAUGUUUAUUAAGGGGUAAAAAUGUUAUUUUGUGAUAUUAAUGUAAUUUAUAUUUGUAAUUGUGUAACAUAUUGUGAAUUUCUAAUUAUUUUUUCUAAAUAUUUGAUUUUGUGUAUUUUUGUGUGUUUAUUAGGUAAAAAUAAUAAUUUCAUGCAAUUUGAGGCUUCAAACAAAUGUACGGAUGUCAAAUUUGGAUUCUGGACGUCCGAGAAAUUAUGUCAUUGUCGAGGAGGAUGCGAGACUUUUGUUGUAAAUUUUUAAGUUUUUACCAUGGUAAAUAUGGUAAUUGUAAAAUUAUAAGUUUUUAUCAUGUUAGGUAUGCUAAUUGUUAGUGGAAUGUGUUGGAUAUGCUUGAAUGGAUUAAGUUAGGUUUAUGUUUUAUUAGUGAGAUAAAUGUAAGGUUAAGAUGUAAUUAGAUUUAUUUAUUUGUGUGGUAUAGAUUUGCCAUGUAUUAGUAUAAAUAGAGAGGGGGUAACACACCUCUUCACACCUUCUCUUCUCUUCUUUCCCCCCAAAUUCUUCUUCUCAUCUCUCUUUGUAAUAUAUUUUCAAUCAUUAAAGUUAGUUUUAUUUUAAUUUUCAAAAUCCAUUUUUUAAUUAUGUGUUUUUCAAUUUUAAUAAUUCCCUUUAUUUCAAAAAAUGUUUAGCUAAAUAUUAGUAGUUAGGGGAAGGUGAAACUCUUAGUAAAAAUAUGGUUUAACCAAAUUCUAUUUUUAAUUUUAUAAAUUAAAUUGUUUUCUAUUUAAUUUUAUCCAUAUUUUAUGUUUUGAAAUUUUGAUUUAUUGUAAACAAACAUGGGAGUUUGGCACAAUGAAUUCUUAAUAUCUUAGUAUAAAGUAUGGUAAAAUGGUAUUUUGAUUUAUUGUAGACAAAUUAAGUUUUGGCACAUUAAGUUCUUAAUCCAUAAUAAAAUAAAUAGGAAAAUAAUUUUAAUUUAUACAAUUAAUCUUUUGGGAAAUAAAACAAAAAUAAAAAGAAUUUGUUAAAUUGUAUUUAUUACUAAAAGUUGAUCCAUAACCCUAACUAAUUCAAUUUCAUAGUUUUUUCUAAAAUUAAAUUUCAUAUUUUUAAUUUUAAUUUUAAGUUUUUAACUUAAAUAAACAAAUAAAAUCAUUUCUUUAUGGAUCGACCUCGGACUCACCGAGUUAUAAUAUAACAAGACACUUUUAUACUUGAGAGUUAGAAUUCACUUCUAAUUCAUGUCACAGGUCCCCAUGGAGGAAAACAGUCUUUACAUCGAACUGUUACACUAGCCAAUCCAAGUUUACUGAUAAUGAUAAUAAGAUACGAACUAUAUUAAUUUUUGCUACCGGUGCAAAUGUAUCGGUAUAAUCUAUCCCGUAGGUUUGGGUGUAACCCUUAGCUACGAGCCGUACUUUGUAUCGUUCAAUGGAGCCAUCUGCCUUGUACUUUAUAGUGUAGAUCCAUCGGCAACCCAUUGGUUUCUUUCCUGGUGGAAGCUAGUUCCCAUGUUUGAUUUUUCUGAAGCGAUCUCAUUUCGUCAUUCAUAACCGUUUUUCACUUUGGAUCUUUUAAGGCUUCAUGCACACUGUUAGGAAUAAAUAAAGUAGAUAAUUCAUUCACAAAUAACUUAUUUGAUUCUGACAAGCGAUGAUUAGAUACAAAAUGACUCAUAGGGUAUUUGACUCUACUAGAGAUGUCAUGCUCAUAUGUGGGUUUAGGGAUACCUCUAUUUUGACGCUAGGAAAGUAUUCUUCUAAUUAGACUGAGAUUUUUGGUAGGAACAUCCUCAGGAGAUGAUUGGUUAUGUAUUUCUUCAUGUGCUUCUUCUUGGGAUUCGUUCUCUAUUGUGGUUGUGUCUGAGUUAUUUUGCUCCCUAAAUGUGUCUUCACUUAUCUCAGCUUGAGAAUCAUCACCAUUUCCUUUUUCAGUAUCUUGAAGGUUUACUACCUCAAUAGAGGAUUGAUCUUUUUCAAGUGGAAGAUAUUUAAGAGUAUGAAUUUCCUCUUCAUUAUACUCCCCCUAAAAUUCAGGCUCCGAUGGGUAGUACAUGAUAUUUUCGUGAAAGACGACGUCCAUAGUGAAUUUCCUCUUCAUUACCAGUAGGUAUGGCUGCUGAAAAAGAAGAGAAAAGAGAAAUGAGUUUUACAGAAAAAGAUGAAGAAUAAGAUAAAUGGAUAAUGCAUUAUUCAUUAAAGCAUCAAAUACUGUUAUUGCGUGAAAGAGAUUUCUCUUUUUCUUUUGUUUAUCGCAGAAAUUUGGCUUUGCUUCUAACAUCUGGGCUUCUUCUCUUAAUUCUUAUGGUAAUUCGUUCAUUUCACUAAUGCUUUUUCUUCUCUUAUAUCUUUUUUUUUAGAUUUUCUUUUGAUCAUAUGAUGUGGCAAAAAAUACCUUGUUUAUAAAUCUUUAUCCUCAAUUUGAUAUGUUAAAUUGUCACUUAAUUUGAUGUGUAACAGUAAAGAAAUGAUCAAUUUUAUUGGAAAAUAGUAAAAUGACUAGGAAAACCAAGAAAACGUAUUAAUGCCUUUGUUUUUUUUCUUUUAAUAAUUGGAUUUCAUAUGAUGGGAGGCCAAAAUGACCCUGUUUACAAAUCUUUAUCUUCAAUUUGAACUGUUUUACUUCAAAACUGGAAUUAUUAAAUAAGAGUCAGUAUUAGUACAAAAGUUAAAUAUAAUAGCUUGGUCCCUUCUUUAUUAGGUGGAUAUGAUUUCAAGGUCACAUAUAUUUAGGGGCGAAGUUAGGAACCUUUUUCUAGCUAGUGGUUAGACUAAUAUUUUUUAAGUUUAAAAAAAAAAAGAUCUUAAAGUAAAGCUAUUGAAUUAAACCAUAACAAUAAGUUCACAUUUUUUAGGUUUUAAAAAUAUUUUGUGAAUUAUGUUUAUUUAAAAAUAAAAAUUAUUAAUCUGGAUGGUUCUAGAUUAUUGACUUUUAAUUAUUUUUAAUUAUCUAAUAAUGCUUAGUCUCCAGAGUACCCUUAUAAAUCAUAAAUAGACACUUUAAAGAAUUAAAAGCUAAAUGAGUGAUAAAUAUCUUGUUAUAAUUAGUUUACUUGAGGGCAAAAAUAGAUUUUUAAAAUAAGAUGGAGGGGGGAAGAAGUUGGGAAAAAUGACCGUGACCAAAUUUUAAGAAUGGCUUGAGUGAUAAACUGGUAAAUUAUGCUGUGGUGUUUUGUAAAAAAUAAUGUGGUGUUUUGUAAAAAAUAACAGUGGUAGCUAGUUUUAUAAAUUCUGCAUGGUAAUUUUGUGGACAACAUAGAAAAAAAAUAAAAACUAAAAAACUAAAUUAUUAUUAUUAUUAUUUUGACGUAUCUUGCUUAUUUGGAAGUCAACAUAAAUUGUAUAUUUGGAUGGACUAGAAACUGUGGUUCAGAAAUUCAAGGAGGAACGAUCAAAUUUGGACACCCUAAAGAAGCUGGGAGCAUCCAUUCUCCAUGGGGUUGAUGCAACUGAAAUGAAGGAACAUCCUGAAUUGAGCAAGCGGAAGUUUGAUAGAAUAAUCUUCAACUUCCUCGGCCCAUGCUGGCUUUCAUGGAAAGGAAGACGCGACGAAGUUAUUCGGUGAGCUGCCUAGUGAGUCCAAUGGACAUGUGUCACUAGAGUGAGUUACAAUGUUUGUAUAUAAUACGAGGGAGCUUGAUAAAUAAAGUGAUCCAUAUUUCUUAAUAAUUCGAGAUGCAUGUAGUGUUCAGGAGUUUGCUGGGAUAUUUCCACUUCACCAAUUCUUAAAAAGUUGGCUCCUACACCUAUUCCAUGAUCUUUCUUCCGGUAAUUUUCACAGAAUGCAUAUGAGCCUUGUGGAAGGAUUCUUCAGAAAUGCAAGUAGUAUGCUAAGGACUGAUAGUGAAGUUCAUGUAAGCCACAAAACAACAGCUCCAUUUUUCAAAUGGCAUAUCAAGGAACUCGAUAGCAAACACUCUUUUGGCAAGACUUCACUGUGUCCAAUUUGGAAAAAAUAGACAUCCCAGGUCACAACAACAAGAAAGGAGCUGGUUCGCAAUGCGAUGACCAUUUUCCCUUGAGAAAGUGCAGUACGUUCAAAUUUGGAUUCUAUCGUGCUCGCAAGAGGUCUAAAGUAAUGAGUUAUAGUGGAUUUGCUAUCAAAAGACCUAAGGCUAUUCAAGAGAUUCCAAUCCAAGCGCAGAAGCGUGAAACGGAUCCAUUUGACUGGAGAUAUACUAAUGCAAGGUCAGCUACUGAUGUGAAUGAAUUUACAUUGUGUGUGAAGUUUGAUGAUAGCUGGGUGGGUUACUCUGUUCCAAGCUUCGCCAGAAAUAUGACUGAUCGUCCAGGAUAUAAGAGACAAGCUUUGAUGAGUAAUGCUACGUCCCAUAAUGGCUGCUUUAAUACUCCCAACACGACGCUUGGAACAGUUGCUGACGACUUUCGCUAUCUUGUUCCCGAAUCACCAAUUCCAUAUGAAAGAUAUAACACGGAAGUAGCAGGAUUCCAAAGAGAAAUGCUAGGAGUUAUGAUAAAGCAGUGCGACCAGGAAGAACCUAAAAACGGAUUUUUGUAUCCUAUGGUGGGACGUCACUGUGAGGGAACUUUGAGACCAGCACAGCCGCCAAGGAUGAGAUUGGGAUUUAGUCACCAGCUGCUUUAAAGGAGAAGUGGUGCUAUUAUGCUUUCGUGGAAGAUUGAGCGACUUUUUGUCUUUAGUCGUGAAUUCUAUCUAGUUAAGCAUAUAUAGGUAUCGUAGUGCUGGUAAAAAGUUUUGAUUUGCUUUCAUUUGUGUUUGUUUUAACAAUUAAGAAUUUCAGCAAUCUGUUAGUGUGUUGCAUGGUGUUGUCAAUCUCCCAUUUGCAAAGAACUCGAUCUGUUUCCUGUUGAUAGAACUAAAUUUAGCUUAACAAUAUCGAUGAACUCAUCAAUGCAUUCACCACAAGGAAGAUACUCCUCCAUCGGUCAAUUAAGACAUGCAAAUUAUAGUAAUGCUACAAUUAAUAUACUUUUAUCAGUGUUAUUAUGUAAUAUAUGCUUAUGUGAGUGGUUGCUGCUGUGAGUUAAUGUAAUCUUUGUAUAUCUAAGACAAUAAUUUUAGAAUUGUUGUAAUUCUAUUGUCAUCAUAUCGUAAUCAGGUUUUAAUUAAAAAAAAAAAAAAAUUGUGUCCCAAUGUGAUUACCACUGCUGUAUGUUAACUUAUGCGGAAUGAUGCAUGCCUUAUUUAUGUUUGAGUUUUCAAAUUAUUUUAAUCAAACAUGUGCAGUUGAUAAGAAUUGUCCUUAGUUUUAGAUUCGAUAUACUAGCAAUCAUCAAGUAAUUGAUUAUCACAUAUAUUUUGGAAGUAGGAUCUAGUACAAUUGAUAAAUAGGCCAAUCCCAAACACGUACUAAGGAGUUGUUUGUUUUUUGUUUAAAGUCUAAAUUUUACUUAUUUUCAGACAUUUAUUGUUUUUAAUUUAUUAGUUUUCUAUCACUUAUGUUUGGUUAUAAGAUGUUUAUGUCUGAAUUAAAAAACUUAAAUAUUUUAACUUUUAUCUAAAUGACAAAAUAUCUAAAUAUAACUUUAAUAUUCUAUCACUUAUGUCACUGUCAGGACACUUUGAAAUUAGCAUAGUUGCCAAGGAUAAGGUUGGGUUUUAGCUGCCAGCUUUUAGGGAGAAGUGGUGGUGUAGUACCCCAAUUCUCCUAAGGAUAUUUACGUCUUUUUAAUUUUUAAUGAUCUUUUUUAUCUUAGUAUAAAUAGAAUAAGAUGUCUUUUCCAUUAUAAGAGAGAGAGAGAGAGAGAGAGAGAUGGAGAGAAAAGAGAGAGAAUAAAAGAAAAAGAAAAGAAGAAAGUCUUUUUCUUUGUUCUGUCAUAGGCAACACAUGGGAUCAAGUUGUUAUUGUUGGGAGAAGUUUUGGAGGUAAGUUUUAAUUAUUGGUUUCUAUUAAAUUGUUGUGGAGAAGCAUGAUUGCAAUAGAAGUAGAAACCUAAGAUUUUGCAGAAAUAUGCUGAUAGUGAAUUAUUACGAAAAUCAUAGUAAUUUGUCCAAAUUGAUUUUGAUUCUGAUUUUUGGAUAUGUAAAACUAGGCAUCGUCUAGAAUGUUUUGAAACUUGUUUCAAGUUAAUCGGAUAAGAUUUCAAUUAAUUAUGAUUUUUCAAAUUCAAGUCUGAAAACCUGGAAAUUUAUGAUUUCAGUGAAUAACAUGAAAUACGAAAUUAUUUUUACCAUAGCCAGACUUCUUCAAAAAUUAUGAAAUUUGGACCAAUGAUUUUUAUAAAUGUCUAGUAUGAUUCUGUAAAUUUUCAUGAUUUUAUGAUAAAGCAAUAAAUUGUUUUGUAUUUUUAAAGCAAGUGUGUUCAAAACAGAAAACUGUUUGACAGUAUUGAUGAUGUCUGAAACGUCAAUUAUUUUCAAUAGUUUUUGAAGGAAUUAAGUUAUGAAAUUUUUAUCAAUGAACUUUCAAUGUGUCAGCAUAUGGUCUGUAAAAUUUGAGAUUCUUCCAAUAAGGGAAUAAUUUAUUAAAACUCGGAGAAUAUGGACUGUUAUGUUUUGAGGGCCGAUUAUUGAGGACAUUGAGGUUGGGCUUAGGAGAUGUUUAAAUUGAGAUAUUUGAGGACAUUAGAGUUUAUGAUUGAGACUUGAUUAUAUCUUAUACGAUAUUUAUUGAUGAUUUUAGGUUGAUGAUAUCAGUACGCAUUUGUUGCAUGAGGAUGCCAAGAGGUAAGUAAACUAGACUUUAAAAACGAAUCACAAUAAACAAUAUAUAUGUUUGACUUGUAUGAGAAGCCUAUUUUGAUAUGUACGAAUAUAGAUUUAUAUGUCUCUGCUCAUGUGUUUAUGUGAUGUUUUGUUAUGUAUUGGGCGUGAUUAUGUACAUGGGCAUAUGUAUGUGUGAUGGUCCAUUGGCAUGAACAUGAAAAUGCAUUGCGUUUUCUAUGAAUGAGAAAGUGGAUUUUAGCAAAUGAGAUUUUUGUUUUAUGAGAUUUUGCAUUGGGGGCCAGCUCUUGAAGUUGUGUGGGGACCACCUCUUGAGACUAUGCAGGGGUCAUCUCUUGAGGGCCACAGCGCCGCAAAGUGCCACGCAUGGUGCAAAGUGUCACUCACAGCACAAAGUGCCACAAUGGCAGAAUAUGUAUUUCAUUGAAAAAAAAAUGAGAAAGUUUAAAAGCGACAGAAAGAUAUUUUUAUGAAUUUGUUUUACAGUAUUUCUAAAAGAUCAUGGCAUAGCAUCCAUCCGCAUUAUUUAUAAGUAUGUAUGUAUUUUCGUAUAAAAAAAAAAAACUAGUUUGCUUACUGAGUUUUGUACUCAUUAUAGUUUAUUGUGAUUCAGUUUUCAGAAGUCAGGAAUGAUUCAUAAUGAAUGAUAAGGUAGACUUGAAUUGAGGAUGAUAGAUGGUUUAGCUAAAUUUUCAAAUUAUUCCGCUGCCUAUUAUAUUGGAGGUUUGAAUUAUUUUGGUUAUUUAAAUUCAUAUGUUAGUGUGGUCAAAUUUGCCCUCGGAGUUCGGGCUAGGGUAUUACAGGUGGUGUUAUGCUUUUGUGGAAACUUGAGCAUCCUUCUACCUUGUGAAUUCUAGUUAAGCAUAGGUUUCCUAGUACAGGUUGAAAGCAUUGAUCAGCUUCCACUUUUGUUUCUUUUAAGAAUUAAGAAUUUCAAUUAUCUGUUGGUGUGUUGUGUAGUGUUACCAACCUCCUAUUUGCAAAUCGCUUGCUCUGUUGCCGUGUAUUUUGGGCAAUCUUUCAAAUGCAACGUCAAUGAAACGAUGCAAAUGGAUACCUCUAGAAACAGAUUCACUUUAUACAAACAGUUCCUGAGCUAUAGACUUAGACAACCUUUCAGGUUGCUAUCAAGUCUGAGUCGUUUCUAUUCAAAAACCAUUAAUGAUUUUUUUUUCUUUUCGUGUUUUAAAAUCUCUCCUACUUCAUUUUCAAUUUCUAGUCAGCAAUCCGCCCUAUUUAAGUCACUGGACUUGUCAUGGCAGUCGCGAUUUCGUAUCAACUGACGUACAACUACCAGCCUAUGUGAUAGCCUAUGUGAAUAGAUUACGUAUUAAAUAUUUUAAGAGCACACCUGCUCCACACACGUUAGUGGGAGAGAUAGCUAACCCAACUCAAAGUCAAAAUUUGGGCGCGGCGCUGAGGGUUGGGGAAUUAAUGCUUGGACUCGAACCAAUUCCAUUGGUAAAUUUCCACGGUAUUUGUAAGGGAGAUAUUUAGCCCUGCCAAAAUAAAUUUACUAUAUGGCACAGCAAAAUUUCUACCCUAUUAGUAAAAGAAGCUGCCACUUUAGAAAAAUUUUCCUCACUUCUCCAUGACCUCGAAAUAAAUAACUUCGUAGUCCAGAAUGACUGAUUUAAUCAAGCACAGCAAAGUACUGAGAGCCGAGUGUUUAUACAUAAUUAUCUUUGAUUAUGUGUAUUUUAUUAAAUUAUUUAUACAGAGUGUUUAGAAAAUUUUGACUCUUUAUUAUUCAAUAUAUUUACAUGGAAUGCUUAAAUAUCAUACUAUUAAAUAGAAAAAGAACUUAUACAAGAUUAAUUUUAUUUGGGCUUAAUUAUUAUAUCCAUGAGAUGACAUAGAUUGAUUUCGAGUUGUCGCUCUAAAAUUGGGGAUUAAUUAAUAAUUAGGCAAUUACUAAUUGAAUAGUGAUAGAUUCUGAAACCUUGGUAAUUUUUGUCUUAUUGAAUUCUCAUUUGCUUUAAUUGUUUUAUUAAUUUAAUUAGUUUCAUUCCUCUUAAAAAACUCAAUUUGCCCAACUAGGUUAGAAUUAAUAUUAAUUUUAGAUUUAAAUUAGACUUUUCAGUUUAUAACAAUUCAUGUGGGUUCGACCUCGUUACCAUUACUCUAUUUUUAAAUUUGUGCGCUUGCAAGUAAAUUAAAAUUUUUCACAGAUUUGUUGCCCGUGUAUAGAACUAAAAUUAGCUUAACAAUGGCAUGUGACAUCAGUUCCUCCUUUUAUUUUGAUUGUCAUUGCUCAAAUUGUCAUUAUAAAUUGCCCCAGAAUUUUUAUAAGUAUGGCCUCUUUAACUUCUCACAAAUUGAGAGCAGAAUGUAUGUGCCUCAUUUUUGGUCUAAUGUGCCUGAAUCUUGAACAGAGAAUAGAGGUUGAAUAGAUAUUUUGGCUAAGUGGAUAUUUUCUUGAACAGGGGACUUUAUUAAUGCAAGAGAACAGUGUGCUAAUGCUUUUCAAAGAUAAAUUCAGUUUCCGCGUACAUUCGAGAUUCCAAGGUGAAUGUCCCUUUUCCUUUACAAACUUGUGAAGCUUUCAAACAAUCAAUUUUUCUUACAUUGUAUAUUUGGAAGAAUUAGAACAAGGGAGCAAAAGAUUCUCAUGCUGAUAGUUCCCAUUCUCCAUAAUUGAUUGUAGCGCGUGUUUUAAAGCAUAUCUAGCAUUAAUGAAUGAAGUAGAAAUUUCAGGAAGCCAAGAAACUUUGUGAGCACUGAUUGCCUCUAGAUUGUACAUUCAAUUGAUCUCGUCUUGGUUGAAGUAGAUGAUAGUAAAUAGUAUCUGAGUUUCAUUUCAGAUUCCAAAAACAAUCCUCCAUGUGAAUGGUUAAGUAGAGAUUCACGUUGUUUUCUUUUUCUUUAGAGGAAUGGCUGACUCCUUUGAUCAUGAAAUUAUAUCACGGCUAUCACAAAAACUCAAGUAAUUCUAUUCAUAUAAUCAAAAUAGAGUUGAGUUCGAGCUCCUUCAUUUUAACUAAUUUAUUAUGAUGCAUAACCACAAAUGAUGAGAUGAUGUUGGAUAUGAUAAUGGGAAUUAGUUGUCAACGAGAAAAUUAAUUUCGCAAGAAUACAGUUAGUCGCAGAACUCUCCUAGUCCUUGGAAGUAAUUUAAAGGACAGGUGCAUCAAUUUGUUUGUGUAGCUUACUGUAUGGUUAGAGAGUGUUGUGUUUUCAAAAGAAUUCAAAUGCGUUACAAAACGGUGCCAUCAAACAAGUUUUUCAUUUUUUUCUUUUUAAAAAAACAAAAGACACCAUGAUUAUAUAGUUUCUCAUUUCUUCUUAUUUUUGGCUGUAAUGCAACAAUAAAUAUUGAUUAAGCAAAUUAGUUUUCAGGAAUACUUGAAGGAUACAUUACACAAGAUAUAAAGAGGAGAUUAAACAAUCCUCCAUGCUGGCUUAGUAAUGACUGUGGUGCAAUUUUGCAAAAGAUUAUAUGCCCGAUAAAAAGAGAGCAUCUGUGGUCAAGUGUGCGCCACACAUAUUAUCGAGUGCGAUAGCGCGUGGGAUGAGCUUUCUUAAGAGGGCGCUGGGCACCACAGCAAAGCUUCCCCAAUGAAAGCUCGCCACUCAUUAAGCUACUCCAGAUAUACACGGCUGCAAAAAUAAACAAAUCAACUUGCAAUAAAAUAAAUAUUAAAAUAAACUGAAAAAAGCUCAAAUGCCGACAAAUUCCACUUUGCUUCAAAAUUAACUUUAUAGUAAGUAUGAAGAAUAAAAUAUAAACAAUCAACUUCCAAGUUGAAAAUUCUGCAUUCUUAAACCAAUGUUCAAACAGUGUAUGCUGAAGCAUCGAUCUGCUUUGUAAAUUAGACCUGCUGGCGUGAUAUGGCGGAGGCUGCGGUGAACUUUGCUAUAGAGACCUUGGGUCCUUUGCUUGUCGAAGAAAUCAGAUUGUGGGGAGGUGUUAGAAAAGAAGUUCAAAGCAUCAAAAGCGAACUGGACAGUCUCAGAUCUUUCCUCAAAGACGCGGAUGCAAGGGCAGCAGUCGAAGAAUUAGAAGGAGGCGGUGAGGAAAGUGUCAGAACUUGGGUGAAACAACUGAGGGAUGAAGCUUAUCGCAUUGAAGAUGUGAUCGACGGGUACACACUCAUGGUGGCAAAACUCCCUCAUGGGAGUGGCCUCGUUGGUGUUCUCCAUAGAAUCAGUCGUUUCAUAAAGAAGCUGAAGCUGCGGCGUGGAGUUGCUACUGAGAUUCAAGAUAUCAAAUCAGCGCUUGCUGAUAUAAAGGGAAGGGGAGAAAGAUAUCGAUUCAGAUCUAUUGAUGAACCAUCGAGCAGUGGAACCAGAAAUGUUAUCCCACAUGACUCUCGAGUUCGUUCCUUUUUCGUUGAAGAUGAUGAAGUUGUGGGCAUCGAAUCCAUUAAAGAUAAAUUGAUUGAUUUGAUGGGGAACGGAAGAUCCGAACGUUUAGUGGUUGCUGUGGUGGGUGAAGGAGGACUAGGCAAGACCACUCUUGCCGGGAAAACUUUUAACAAUGAAGGUUUAAAAGCUCACUUCAGUUGCCGGGCUUGGGUCACCGUUGGGAAAGAAUACAAAAAAAAAGAUUUGUUGAGGACAAUUCUAAAGGAGUUUCAUCGUGUAACAAACGAGCCUGCUUCAGUGGAGACACACGACAUGGAAGAGAUGGAGCUGAUCACCGCGCUGAGGGACCACCUGAAGGACAAGAGUUACAUGGUUGUGUUCGACGAUGUUUGGAAGAUUGAUUUCUGGGGAGACGUGGAGGAUGCUUUACUUGAUAACAAGAAAAGCAGCAGGAUAAUUGUCACAACACGGCACAUGAAUGUCGCUAAGUUUUGCAAAUCAUCUUCCCCUGUUCAUGUCCAUGAGCUUGAAACUUUGCAUCCGAAUGAAGCGUGGAAACUUUUUUGUAGAAAGGCGUUCGGACCAAGCUCCGGAGGCUCUUGUCCUUCAGAGUUGAGGGAGUUGUCCCAGGACAUCCUUGCAAAAUGUGGAGGUUUGCCUCUUGCUAUUGUGGCCGUAGGUGGACUUCUUUUAACCAAGAACAGGGUUGUAUCUGAGUGUAAGAAAUUGUUUGAUAGGUUGGGCUCAAUGUUAGGAAGCGAUCCCCAUCUAAAAGAUUGCAACCGAGUUUUAUCUGAAGGGUAUUAUGAUCUUCCUCACCAUCUCAAAUCAUGUCUUCUGUACUUUGGCUUAUUUCCAGAGAGCUGCAAAAUUAACUGUGCUAGACUUAUCCGUUUGUGGAUAGCUGAGGGCUUUGUCCAGUACAGCAAACGCACCACAUCUGAACAGGUUGCAGAAGAAUACUUGAAUGAGCUCGUUGACAGAAGCUUGGUUCAAGUUUCUGAGAGAGAUAUUUCUGGGCGAGCUAGUAUCUGCCAAGUUCAUGAUCUUAUGCACGAGAUCGUCAUCAGAAAAACUGAAGAAUUGGGCUUCGGUCGUGUGCUGAACGGAGUGGACUUGAGUCAUUGCAGUAAAACUCGACGCAUAACUAUACAGAGAAGUAUUGAUGAUGGUGCUUUAGAGAGCAUCAAGCACUCGAAGGUCCGUACUGUUUUUCUUUUCAAUAUAGAUAAGCUGCCCGACUCUUUCAUGAAAACAAGUAUUGCCAAUUUCAAGCUCAUGAAAGUACUAGAUCUGGAAGAUUCUCCAAUAGAUUACCUUCCUGAAGGAGUGGGAAACUUAUUCAAUUUACACUAUUUGAGUGUGAAAAAUACAGAAGUAAAAAUAAUUCCCAAGUCCAUUGGAAAUCUUCUCAGUUUAGAGAUUUUGGAUUUGAAAAACACUUUGGUGAGUGAACUUCCAGUAGAGAUCAGGAAUCUUAAAAAGUUGCGUUAUCUAAUGGUGUAUCAGUACAAUUAUACCUCAGGUUCUAGUAUAGCAGGAGCAGCAGUAGCCAAAGUACACCGGGGGCUUGGGUCGCUAACGGAUCUGCAGAAGUUGUCUAUUAUAGAAGCUGACUCUCAAGCGCUUGACGAGCUUAUGAAGCUAAGGCAGUUAAGAAAGUUGGGCAUUAGGCCCCAAAAUGGAAAUGGCAAGGAUGUGUGUGCUUUGAUUGCAAAUUUGGAAAACCUAGAGUCUUUAACAGUGUUAAUGGCAAGCAAAGAAGAAAUACUUGACUUGCAGUCUUUGAGUAGUCCUCCUCAAUAUCUGCAGCGUCUCUACUUGACGGGGAAUAUGAAGAAACUGCCGGAUUGGAUUAUUAAACUAAAAAAUGUAAUCAGAUUGGGUUUGGACUUGUCGGGAUUGACUGAGGAUCCAAUCAGAGUCCUUCACGCCUUGCCUAAUUUAUUGGAACUUAGACUCGGGGGGACAUACAACUACGAGCUUUUUCACUUUGAAGCAGGUUGGUUUCCAAAACUCCAAAAGUUGCUUCUCGGGGACUUCGUCGAGGUGAAAUCGGUUAUAAUAGAGAAAGGUGCGAUGCCUGAUAUUAGAGAACUGUGGAUUGGGCCUUGCCCGCUGUUGAUGGAGAUUCCUAUUGGAAUUGAACAUCUUAAAAACCUUAAGCAACUCAGAUUUGCUCGUAUGGUUAAACAAGUUUAUUACAUGACAAAAGGCGAGAACUGGGGAAGGUUACUGAGCAUAUACCAGAUGUCCUUGUCACUUUUGUGCAGGCCGGGCGACUGUUUUAUUAUCGAAAAGAGGAUCUCUCAUCUCUGUCUCCUGAAUAUGUCGAGCAAAUCUGCUGAAGAAGAGGACUCAAAUAGGGAGCAGUCAUGCGUAUUUGGAUUAUUUUCUAUUUACUUUUAAGAAAAAUUAUUUUUCUCAUUUUUAAUUUGACAGACAAUUUAAUUAUAUAUAAUUCAAAUAAAAAUUCACCAAGAAAAUUCCUUUUUCCCUGUAAUUUGAGUACGUUUAAUAAAUAAAUAAACAAAUGCAGUAGGUCAGGAAAUCUUUUUCUAGUCAAAUAUAUAGUUAGAAUCAUAUAAUGAUUAGGUAUUAAUGUUAGUAUAGUAAUUUCCGUUAUAUUUUUUGUUACCAUGAACAGAUGGAGUAUAUAUAUCUUGCUUCUAGCGAAUUCAAUGAUGAGUUCAUCGAACCUAUACUGGAUCAGAUUGUGGUGGUAAUGCUACAUUGAUAUGCUUUGAGUUUGAGUAAUUAUUAUCAGUGUUAUCGUGUAAUACAUGCAUAUGUGAGUGGAUGCUGCUGCGAGUGUGAGUGUAUUCUUCUAUAUAUUUAAGACUGAGAUUAUGAUUUUAGAAAUGUUGUAUUACUAUUGUAAGGAAUUGUCAUCAUAUAAUAUUCAGUGUUUAAUAAUAAAAACUGUGUGCCAAUGUGGUUACCAUUGGCAUGUGGUUAAUUUGUGUGGACUGAUGCAUUUGCCUUAAUUUUAAUCUGUAGCUUAUUGUUUUCGUCAUAGUAACUUAGCAAAAAAUUGUUUCACAUGCAUUUUCAUAUUCUCAAGUUUAAUUUCCUCUUCAUUUACAUUAUUUUGCUUAUUAUUUUGCGACAUCUAUCUGGAUUAGUCUGCAACUUUCAUUGAAUUUAUUUAUUUUAUUUAAGAAGUAUGUGAAACCGUUAGUCUAAAAAUUGAAUGCAUAUUUAAGAUUGCGGUUAAUGAAUUGUCAAACAAUCACUUAUUUUUUUAAAAAAAAUUUACUCAAUCAUAUUUGAGUUGACAAUUUAUUUUAAACAUAUAUCAUUUUUGGACUAGAUACACUCACAAUCAUCAAAUAAUUGAUUUUCAAAUAUAAUUUGAGAAUAAAAUCCUUGUGGAUUACAGCAGAGAAAGUCUAUAAUUGGGUUCUGGGACUGGGGAAUUAAACUUACUAAGCCAUUCUACUAUUCUUGGGGAAAAAAUAGUGGCAGUAGUUAGGGUUAAAAUGUAAAGAAUACAAAGAAACUAUAUAAAAAAAGCAGAGGUGACUCUAAAUUUACAAUCAAAUAAAAGAGAAAUUUUAUUUUAUAUUUUAAAAAGUAUUGGUGACCCUAAAGUUAGAAAAUUACAGAUGAUUGCGAUUGAAUUAGUAAUUUUGCUUUUGAAAUUGCUUUAAGUUCCUCAAUAAAUGGUCCUGCGGAGGCUCACUCCUUAUAAUCUAAAUAUUAGAUCAAAGUGUUUGGUGGCGUUUUGUUUUUUAAUUUAAUGAAUUAAAGUGACCUAACUUAAUUAAUUAAGUUAAUUAGAGCUGUUUGUUUUUAUAACUUAAUGAGACUUUUAGAUAAUUUUGACUUAAUAAAAUAAGGUAAUUUUUUUGGCUUUUUACUUAAUGGAGAAAUGUAAAUUAAGUCAAUUACUUGUUAAUGUCAAAAAUAUUAUUGCUUUAUAAUUUAUUUUUCAUGUAUAUCCCAAAACUCACCCAUAGACAUUUACCCCACAUAAUAAUCUCAUCAUUAGUUUUAUUUAUAAAUGUUAAAAUAUUGUGGUAUUUAAUAUAUUAUUUAUGUAACAUCCAAAUUUAAUAAGGAUACAAAUGUAAAAGUACAUAUUUUCAGUUUUUUUAGUUUAAAAAAAAUAACUUAAUACUUAUUUUUAGAGAUUCAAACGAAAAAACAAACAUAUUAUUCAGAUUCAGUCAUUCAGAUCUAUUCAAAAUUCAGACUAAUUCAGAUCUAUUCAGAUGUCAGACAAAAUAACAAACGUCACCUUAGUUUUUGCGUGAAUGAAAGAGAAAGAUUGCUAGAAAUUUCAUUUUCUUUAUUUUUUCAUGUCAUGGAUAAAUAAGAGCCGAAACAAUGUUGAGUCUCUUCACAAUAAAAGCAAUUUUCAUACGUCUUUCCCUUCAGUUUUAUGAUAUUCAAUGCACGUAGUCCUUAGUAUAGUCCCUACCCCUGCCCCUUUAUUAAUUAUUGGUUAAAAAAAAAAAAGAAUCUUGAAGUAAAGCUAUUGAAUUAAACCAUAACAAUAAGUUCACAUUUUUUAGGUAUUAAAAAUAUUUUGUGAAUUAUGUUUAUUUAAAAAUAAAAAUUAUCAAACUUCAAAACUGUGACUACAAUACUCCAUGAGUGCCAUACUCCACAACUUGGCACUGCUAGAUGGUUCUAGAUUAUUGACUUUUAAUUACUUUUUAAUUAUCUAAUGAUGCUUAGUGUUGCAAACCGCCCAAGUUGCUAGCUCAAUUGCCCACCAUUUUGGGCUAGGGAGCCAAGACAAGGCCAAGAGUGUUAGCUUGACCCAAUUUCGGAAACUUCUAGGCAACUCUAGCACAUUUGAGCUUGUAAAUACUCUAGAAUUCUCCAUAGAUUUCCAGCACAUGUAAAUUGUAGAAUUCUCUAGAAUUGUAGAGCAUGGCAAGCCUCCCAUAUAAAUAUGGAAUGGCAUUAGGCAUUUGAACAACAAGCUAAAAACAAGUAACUCAAACACUUGUAAGCUCUCUUGUAAGCAUUCUUUCGAGUAAUACAAUUUCUCUUGUUUGGCUCCAUUACUCUCUUCUCUCUAGUCGAGAAGUUCAAGGCUUACUUAGCAACAUUCGGCAAAGUUGUCUAAGUGCCGCACGGGUCUACUGCGCAAAACACUCAUCCCGUGAUAAGUAGUAUCAGAGCUAAGGUUUGCACGCACGCAAGUUAGCUCAUGAGCAAUGGCCAACCCUUCGAAUCCAAUGCAAAAGGGUGUUGUUGGUGUGGAUGUUCCACCAGAACCAAGCCGCGGCCGUGAGGGAGAGCGCGCCCAAGGUAAGACUCGCAGCAAGUCCAAGGCCCCAUCCGUGGAUGCGUUGGAGCCUCGUGUAGGCACUCUCGAAAUCGCAUUGUCUGCCGCUCAAGAUAGCCUCGAGGGAUUAGAGGAAAGAGUGGACGGUCUCGAGGGAGAAUACGCCGAGUUCACGGUGGCAACCAAAGCCCUCAUCCAAGAGCAAGCGAACACUCUUCGAAGUGAGUUUCGUUAUUUUUAUGAUGAGUUGCUCAAACUUCCUAACUUUGUUCAGGAUGAACUACACGUUGUCCGUGCGGAAGUGGAUGAAGUUUGCUCGGAUUGGGCAUGGCACAAGCGCACAUUGUCUGCUAGUCCAGCUUCCGUAAACACGAGUGAUGUGCGGCGCAUUGACGUGCCAAAGCCCGACACCUACGAUGGCACACGCAACGCCACAAUCGUGGACAAUUUCCUCUUUGGGCUUGAUCAAUACUUCGAUGCCAUGGGUGUUCGAGACGAGGCAUCGAAAGUGGGCACAGAACCCACUUAUCUACGAGGCGCUGCACAACUAUGGUGGCGUUGCAAGCAUGGCGAGAUGGGCAAGGGCAUUUGCACCAUCGACACUUGGGCCGACUUCAAGCAAGAACUCCGAAAGCCGUUCGCCCCAAACAAUGCGGAGAAGGAAGCGCGAGCGCACUUACGUCGUCUCAAGCAAUCGGGUAGCAUUCGAGACUACAUCAAUGAGUUCACCACUCUUAUGCUCGAGAAGGAUUCGCUCUUCUACUUCCAAGAUGGCCUCAAGGAUUGGGCCAAGACCGAGCUUGAUAGGCGUGGCAUUCAAACACUUGACGACACCAUUGCCGUUGUGAAAUCACUCAUCGAGUACUCUACUCAAUCCAAGGACAAAAAGGCCAACCAAGGCAAAGGUGGGGGAGAGAGUCGCAAGGACAAGGGCAGUAACAACCACAAAGAUUGGGGGCAGAAAAAGACGCCUAGCAACAAGAGCGGACAAGGAAAAUCGGAGGGCAAGAAGGAGGCACCGAAGCCACGCAGCCCAUGCUUCAUUUGCAACGGUCCUCAUUGGGUACGCGACUGUCCGGAAAAGAAGUCGUUCAACGCUCUUGCUGCCCAACUCAAGAACAACCAUAACAUGUCCGCGGAAGAACCCCAACUUAGCAUGGGUUCUCUCCAAUGCCUCGGCUAGGGAUGGCAAUGGGGAGGGGAGGGGAGGGGACCAAUCUCCCCAUACCCAUCCCCGAUAUUUUGUUAUGUCCCCGUCCCCGUCAGAAUUGCUUAAGUGAAUCCCCAUCCCCUCCCCGAAUAAUAACAGGGGAUCCCCGAGGGUCCCCGGUCCCCGAAUAAUUAAUAGUCUAAUACAUUUUUUUUAUUUUUGAUUUUAAAUUAAUCAUAUUAAAAUAAAAAAUUCAGAUAAAAAUAAAGUUCAAAAUAUAUCUUGCAUUAAUAUUGAUCCAUUUCAAAGUCACAUUCAAAAUAUAAAUUAUUAAAAUAUAUAUCUUUGUCAAUGACUCAAUCUUCAUAAUCCUACAAUAAAAAGAAAAAAAAUUAUUUUUAUAUCGGCAAUAAAAUAAAUGUAGAUACUUAAUUAAUAUUUUUAAUAAAACUAUUUACCUCCUGCUCCUCCUGUUCUUCCUCGAGAAAUGUGGCAAAUUGAGAGCUAGCCUCAGAUUUUAAACCUAAAACAAUGAAAAUGAUAUAAGUAACGUAACUUAUAAGCGCAAAUAUUAAUAACUGUAUAAUAUAAUUACAAUGUAAAAUAAACUCAUAUUGCUAUUGUAAGCUCGUAACCAACUUUGACAGCACAUUAAGGCCUCCAAUGUACUUGGAUGAAGUUUGUUACGGUGUGCGCUCACAAUUCUACCACCGGUGCUAAAAGCUGAUUCAGAAGCAACUGUUGUAAUUGGAAUUUCUAAAAUAUCUCUAGCAAUUCGAGCUAAUGUAGAAUACGAAUUAGGAUUAGAACUGUUGUAAAUUAUAAUUAGGCAGCUCUCUCCUGUAUCAUUGUGGUUUGGAUUAAAAAUUUAAGACUUUAAUUAGUUAAUUAAGUUUAAAAGUUUAAUAAUAUAACUAUUUUAAUAUUUAUUAUUUUUAACAAUAUUUAUAAUUUUGUUAUUUAUUUAUUAGUAAUUUUAAAAAUAAAAAUAAAAUUAAAAAUUAAAAUGGGGAAAUGGGUAGGGGAUGGGGAUUCCACCUCAUCCCCGUCCCCUCCCCGAAUAAAAAAUUGGGUAAAAAAUUUUCCCCGUCCCCUCCCCGAAUAAAAAAUUGGGUAUAAAAUUAUCCUCGUACCCUCCCCGAAUGGGGAAAAUCCCCGAGGGUACCCGUCCCCGUGGGGAUUUUUGCCAUCCCUAGCCUCGGCGCACUCAAUCGUCAACAGCCCGCACUCGUCAAGAAAUGGCUCAUGUAUGUGAGCGCGAAGAUAAACAGCCAGUCCGUUCACGCGCUACUAGACACGGGAGCAACACACAACUUCGUGUCUGAAGAUGAGGCCAAGCGCUUAGGCCUCAAAGCCACCAAGGAAGGAGGCACGAUGAAGGUAGUGAACUCACUCGCCAAGCCAACUGCGGGAAUUGUACAAGGCGUGCACAUAACACUCGGUACGUAGAGCAGAAAGCUUGACUUCUCCAUUGUGCUCAUGGAUGACUUCAAGAUAGUCCUUGGCAUGGAGUUCUUCGACUAAGUCCAUGCCUUCCCGCUGCCUGCUACAAACUCCCUAAGCAUCCUCGAUGGGAGUAAGGCAUGCAUGGUUCCUACGGAACAAGGCAAGUCCGAGGAAAAGACACUCUCCGCCAUGCAAUUCAAAAGUGCUUUCAAGAAGGACCCAAGCUUCUUAGUCUCCAUCCGGGAACUAAAUGAGGAAGGAGAUAGCGAAAAAUUGCCAAGACAAGUCCCUCCGCGAAUACAAGCCGUCCUCAACGAGUUCAAGGACGUAAUGCCUCCAGAACUUCUGAAGAAGCUCUCACCUCGACGAGAGGUAAAUCAUGCAAUUGAGUUGGAAUAAGGCGCAAAGCCACCAGCCUUGUCGCCCUACCGCAUGGCGCCACUCGAACUUGAGGAGUUGCGGAGACAAAUCAAACACUUGCUGGACGCAGGAUACAUUCGUCCUUCGAAGACCUCAUUCGGUGCCCGGUCCUCUUCCAAAAGAAAAAGGAUGGAUCGCUACGGAUGUGCAUCGACUAUAGAGCACUCAACAAGAUCACCAUCAAGAACAAGUAUCUGAUUCCCUUGAUUGCGGACUUGUUCGACCAGCUUAGCAAAGCGCGGUACUUCACCAAACUUGACUUGCGCUCUGGGUACUAUCAAGUGCGCAUCACCAAGGGAGACGAACCGAAGACAGCAUGCACAACAAGGUACAGGUCUUUCGAAUUCCUUGUGAUGCCUUUUGGCCUUACUAAUGCACCCGCCACAUUUUGCACACUCAUGAACAAGGUGCUCCAACAAUUCCUCGACCGCUUUGUGGUCGUGUACUAGGAUGCAUAGUGGUGUAUAGUACCACGCUCGAGGAGCAUGCCCAACAUUUGCGACAAGUCCUCCAAGUACUCCGAGACAACGAGCUCUUCAUCAAAAUGGAGAAGUGCUCGUUUGCCCAACAAGUUCCUUGGCCACAAGAUUGCGGGUGGGAAGCUUAUGAUAGAGAAUGCCAAGGUAAAGGCCAUCAUCGAUUGGGAGCCUCCCACAAAAGUGCCCUAGCUUCGCUCAUUCCUUGGGUUGGUGAAUUACUACCGUCGCUUUAUCAAGGGCUACUCGGCCAAGGCGGCACCCUCGACGGAUAUGCUCAAGAAAAACAUAACGUGGCAUUGGUCUGAAGAGUGCCAACAUGCAUUCGAGGAGUUGAAAAGAGCAAUUUCGGAAGAACCCGUUCUCGCUCUUCCGGACCACACUAAGCCCUUCGAAGUUCAAACGGAUGCCUCAGAUUUUGCCAUUGGUGGAGUCCUUAUGCAAGAAGGCCACCUAAUAGCGUUCGAAAGUCGAAAGCUAAAUAAUGCGGAACGCCGCUACACGGUGCAAGAAAAUGAGAUGACAGCCAUCAUCCAUUGUAAGAGUGUGGCGACAUUACUUGCUUGGUUUACACUUCACAAUCCUGACGGAUAACGUGGCGACAAGCUACUUCCAAACACAAAAGAAAUUGAGUCCGAAGCAAGCAAGGUGGCAAGAUUUCUUAGCAGAAUUCGACUAUCAACUCGAGUACAAACUGGGUAAAGCCAAUGUCGUUGCGGACGCUCUAAGCUGCAAGGCCGAAUUGGCGACACUUAACAUGAGCCAAGCGAAAUCCGACCUUGUCUUACGCAUCAAGGAAGGCCUCCAACAAGAUCCGCUAGCAAAGGACUUGUUGGAGAAAGUGCUCGAAGGCAAAACAAUGCGAUUUUGGCAAGAGGAAGGCAUCCUCCUCACCAAGGGAGAUCGACUGUUUGUGCCAAGAUGGGGAACCUUGAAGUCAUCAAGGAGUGCCACGACUCCAAGUGGGCUAGUCAUCCAAGAAUCGAGCGCAUCAUCGUACUAGUCCAAGCCUCGUAUUUUUUGCCGCACAUGAGGGACGACAUCGAGACAUAUGUGCGCACUUGUCUUGUGUGCCAACAAGACAAGGUAGAUCAUCAACUUCCAACGGGAUUAUUGGAGCCGCUACCACUCGCAACAAGGCCAUGGGAAAAUGUCUCCAUGGAUUUCAUCACAUCGCUGCCCAAGUCCGAAGGGUGCGAAAGCAUUAUGGUCGUUGUCGAGUGUUACAGCAAGUACACCACUUUCAUUGCCGUACUAGCCGAUUGCAAAGCGGACGAGGCAGCCCGCCUAUUCGUCAAGCACAUUGUGAAACUUUGGGGAGUUCCGAAGACCAUUGUGAGCGACCGAGACCCUUAGUUCAUUGGGCGUUUUUGGAGGGAGCUCUUCAAGAUAUUAGGGACCGAUCUCAAGUUCUCGACAAGCUUCCACCCACAAACAGAUGGGCAGACCGAGCGCAUCAAUGGCCUUCUCGAGAUGUAUCUAAGGCAUUAUGUUAACGCUCAUCAGUGGGAUUGGGUGAAGCUACUCGACAUCGCCCAAUUUUCUUAUAAUUUGCAGCAAAGUGAGGCUACGGGCAAGAGUCCGUUCGAGAUCAUCAUGGGAUUCCAGCCCAUGACUCCCAACACCAUAGCCUCAACUUACGGAGGAAAAAGCCCCGCGGCACACAAGCUUGCCUGCGAAUGGCACGAGGAAGCAGACAUCACGCGAGCCUAUCUCGACAAAGCCUCGAGGAAGAUGAAAAAGUGGGUGAAUACAAGGAGACAGUAUAUUGAGUACAAGGAAGGUGAUCAAGUCAUGAUCAAGCUCCUACCCCAACAAUUCAAGACUUUGCGGAAAGUUCACAAGGGGUUAGUGAGGCGCUACGAGGGACCCUUCUGAGUUGUACGACGUGUGGGCAACGUCUCGUAUCAACUCCAACUUCCGCUAAGACUCAAGAUCCAUCUGGUCUUCCACGUGAGCCUUCUCAAGCCAUACCAUGGAGAUGUGGACGACCCAAGUCGUGGAGAAUCAAGGCGCGCGCCAACCGCCGUUGUCACCGCAUUCGACAAAGAUGUGGACUACAUCCUUGCGGAUCGCGUGGUUUCGAGGAGAGGCGUGCCAGCACAUAGCGAGUACUUGGUGAAGUAGAAAAAUCUCCCCGAAAGCGAAGCCACUUGGGAAUGUGAAGAAGAUUUGUGGCAAUUCGCUGAGCACAUCCAACACUUCAAGCAUGAGAGCGCGACGAGGACGCCGCAAGUUUAGGUUGGGGAGGAUGUUGCGGACCGCCCAAGUUGCUAGCCCAAUUGCCCAUCAUUUUGGGCUAGGAAGCCAAGACAAGGCCAAGAGUGCUAGUUUGGCCCAAUUCCGGAAACUUCUAGGCAACUCUAGCAUAUUUGAGCUUGUAAAUACUCUAGAAUUCUCCAUAGAUUUCCAGCAUAUGUAAAUGGUAGAAUUCUCUAGAAUUGUAGAGCAUGGCAAGCCUCCCCUAUAAAUAUGGGAUGACAUUAGGCAUUUGAACAACAAGCUAAAAACAAGCAAUUCAAACACUUGUAAGCUCUCUUGUAAGCAUUCUUUCGAGUAAUACAAUUUCUCUUGUUCGGCUCCAUUGCUCUCUUCUCUCUAGUUCGAGAAGUUCAAGGCUUACUUAGCAAUAUUCGGCAAAGUUGUCUAAUUGCCGCACGGGUCUGCUGCGCAAAACACUCAUCCCGUGACAUUAGUCUAUAGAGUACGAUAUCCUUAGAAAUAAAAAAGAGACACUUUAAAGAAUUAAAAGCUAAAUGAGUGAUAAAUAUCUUGUUGUAAUUAGUUUACUUGAGACCAAAAAUAGAUUUCUAAAAUGAGAUGGAGUGGGGAAGAAGUUGGGAAAAAUGACCAUGAGCUUGAGCGAUAAACUUGUAAAUUAUGCUAUGGUGUUUUGUUAAAAAUAACAGUGGUAGCUAGUUUUAUAAAUUCUGCAUGGUAAUUUUGUGAACAACAUAGAAAAAACUAAAAAACUAAAUUAUUAUUAUAAUUAUUUUGUUGGCGUAUCUUGCUUAUUGGAAGUGAACAUAAAUUGUAUAUUUGGAUGGACUAGAAACUGUGAUUCAGAAAUUCAGGGAGGCACGGUCAAAUUUGGACACCCUAAGGAAGCUGGGAGCAUCCAUUCUCCAUGGAGUUGAUGCAACUGAAAUGAAGGAACAUCCUCAAUUUAGCAAGCGUCAUACUGCUUAUUUUAAAUUGUUCUGUUUUUUUUUUUUUUCAGAAAUUGCUGUGAGUCUUGGGAGGUUCACUCAUUGUAAUUGAUAUGUUAAACUGAUUAAGGAAGCGUGAAGCAUAAAGUAGACCAAAGUGUUGAAUAGUUCUUUAAAAGAGAAAUAUUGCUAGAAAUCUUAAUUUUAUUUAUUUAUUUAUUAUGUCAUGGUUUUAUUUAUUCAUAAAAUUGAAAGCCACAAUGUUGAGUCUCUUCACAGUAAAAGCCAUUUUCACAUUUAGACUUCUUCUCCUUUAGCUUUAUGAGAUUCAAUGCCCCCCACAAUGUUGCGUCUCUUCACAGUAAAAGAAACUUGUGGUCCUAAAUGAUCGUUAGAAUUUAAGAAUAUAUAUAUAUUUCAUGUUACUGAGAUUUUUUUUUUUAUUUCCAUUCUAAAUUAACCAUUAAAAAGAAAUUGUAACCGUUGCUCCAUUGUAAAAAUUACGUUCAACAUUUCAAGAAAACAAUCUUAGUUGGAAGAAAUUCCGGAAAAAUAUAGAUCGGUUUUUGAAUUCGAAAUUUAAACUCAAUUAAGGAAACUAGUAAAUAAAAGGAAACACAAAACCAUAUUGGUCGGGGCCGUGGACCUGACAACAUGUCCCUCCGAUAAUUUCAAUCUUUUUUUCAUUCUUCCUAAAACACCUUUCCAAACUUCUCAAACUACAGAAGACAGACUCACAGACAGUAAUUACAUCAAGGCUAAUUAUGUCAUUUUACAUUCCUGGGUCAAGUCUGGUGAAGUAUUGUCCUCAUCAUGAUCAUUUGCCAUGCAAGCGUAUAACAAACUCUUCGGCAAUCUCACUACUACUAUGGCAACAGUGGCUGAAGCUGCUGAAAGAGAAGAGGAAAAAUAAAUGGGUUUGACGGAAAAAAAAAAAAAAAAAAAAAAGAAGAAGAGAAAUGGAUAAUGCUUUAUUCAUCAAAACAUAAAAUACUAUUAGCGGGCGAAGGAGAUUUCUCUUUUUCUCUUGCUUUAUCUCAGAAAUUUGGCUCUGCUUCUCACAUCUGCGCUUCUUCUCUUGUGAAAGAAAGUUAAAAGCUGUUUGUUUCAAGAGAAAAUUUACAGAGGAAAAUCAGAGUUCUUAUUUCUUGAUUAUUUGAUUACACAUAACAACUGAUCUAAUGCAGCUUAUAUACUCGAAGCUGUUUACAUACACAUGCUAAAGAAACUAGUAACAAACAUUAACAACUUAUGCUGACUUGUCAAUACCCGUAACUACUUCUGCUGAUCUGGCACUGAUGAGCUGGCACUAUUGACUUGCUUCACUAACUGAGACUGAGAACUACUUUGCCUUUCUAUUCUUCAUAAACUCAGCACAAUGAGUUUCCUUAACAGCCCCCCUCAAACUCAAGGGGCAUAGCUGCACAUUGAGUUUGUUCCGUAGAUAGUUGAAGUGAACAAAAGAAAGAGGUUUGGUCAUGAUAUCAGCUAUCUGUUCUUUACUAGGAAUGUACUGAAUUAUCAACUCCCCUGCAAUCACUUUAUUUCUGAUGAAGUGAAUGUCAAGCUCGAUAUGUUUUGUUCGUGAAUGAAAAACAGGAUUGCGAGCUAAUUCAGUGGCACUAAUGUUGUCACACCAAAUAGUAGGAAUUUCUGUGCAGCACAAAUUAAUCUCAAAAAAUAAGGAUUGUAACCAGCUUAUCUCUGCACUAGCUGAAGCUAAGGCUGUAUAUUCACUUUCAGCACUUGAUCGAGCAAUGACUGACUGCUUUUUAGAUGACAAAGAGAUCAGAUUGUUGCCUAAGUAAAUACAGUAAGAACCAACAGAUUUUCUGUCAUCAAGAUCACAAGCCCAAUCUGCAUCAGUGAACCCUGUAAUCUUCAUUUCUCCAUGCUGAACAAACUUGAGUCCAAAAUCCUGAGUAGAUUUCAAAUAUCUAAGAACUCUUUUACAAGCUAGAAGAUGUUGCAUUGUAGGAGCAGACACAUAUUGACUCAGUUUGUUUACAGCAAAAGCAAUCUCUGGUCUUGUUAGAAUUAAGUACUGCAUCCCACCUACAAUGCUUCUGUAACUUGUAGGAUCAGUAAUAUAUUGACCAAGAUCUCCUUGAGUUUCCUUUUGUAGCUUAAUACCAGUGCUCAUGGGUGUGUCAGUGCCUUUGCACUCAAGAAGCUGCACUUUGGAUAAUAGAUCUCGUAUGUAUUUCCUUUGGGACAAAAAGAUACAGCCUGCAUCAUACAACACUUCUAUGCCCAGAAAAUAAGACAACUUACCCAGAUCCUUUAAUGCAAAAACUUUACUGAACUCAGCUAUAAAAGCUUCCAAUUCUGCACUAUUUGGCCCUGUAAUUAGAAUGUCAUCGACAUAAAUCAACACCAUUAUCAUUGCUGAGCUUGUUUUCUUUAGGAACAGAGAAGGAUCAGCUCUUGAGUUUACAAAAUUCCACUGCAACAAACAACUCUUCAGCUUCUCAUACCAAGCUCUUGGAGCUUGUUUAAGACCAUAGAGUGACUUGUUAAGCUUACACACAAAGCCUUUCUUCUUAUCAUCAACAAAACCUGCUGGUUGAUCCAUGAAUACCUCUUCUGUCAACUCUCCAUUAAGAAAAGCAUUAUUUACACCUACUUGUCUUAUAUGCCAUUUGUUCAUAACAGCUAAACUGAUUACCACUCUGACAGUAGCUAAUUUCACCACUGGGCUAAAUGUUUCAAAGUAAUUGACCCCUUCAAUUUGCUGAAAUCCCUUAGCUACUAAUCUAGCUUUGUACUUAGCUAAGCUUCCAUCUGAGUUAUACUUAACUCUGUACACCCACUUGUUACCAACAACCUUCUGACCAUCCAACCUUGGAACCAGAGACCAUGUAUUGUUCUUAAGUAAAGCAUUGUAUUCUUCUGUCAUGGCUGCAAGCCAUGUAGAAUCCUGCAUAGCUUCUUCUACAGAAUCUGGUUCUUUAUGAACAAGUGCUGCAUUAUAGACUUUAGGUUUGAAAACUCCAGCCUUGCUUCUAGUGGUCAUGGAAUGUGUGUUUGCUGGUGUAGUGAUCUGUUGGGUAUUUUCUGGAGCAGAGGUGUGUUGAAUAAUAUUUGGUAAAAUUUGUGAUGAAGAGAGUGUGUUGGUAGUGAAUGGUUGAGUAGAUAUGGAAUUAUGAGGUUAUGUAUGUGGUUCAAAUAUUUGUUGCAAAGGCUGAGAAUUUGUGUUAUGUGCAUGAUUAACUGAAUGAUGAGAACUGUUGCUGGUAGAUCUUGCAGAAACAUGAUUAUAAGAAUUACUGUCAUCUGAAUUGGAAGAUAUUGACAAAGUGGAUAGAUGAUACACUUGUUGAGGAGUAAAUGACAGAUGUUGACAUGAAUUAUUGGAAGUGAAAACAGAAUCUGAGGAAUAAGGAAAUGAAUGCUCAUCAAAUAUGACAUGCCUAGCUAUAUAGACUUGACCAGUUGGAUGCAGACAUUUGUACCCUUUAUGAGAAGGGUUGUACCCAAUAAAGAUACACUUGUUGGAAUGAUAUGCAAACUUAUGCUUGUUAUAAUCUCUCAGAUAGGGAUAGCAUGCACAACCAAAGCACUUGAGCAUUUUGUAAUCUGGUUUGUGACUGAAGAGCUUUUCAUAUGGAGUAAGAAAUUUUAAAGUUGCAGAAGGCAACCUAUUAAUAUGAUAGACUGAUGUUUGAAAGGCUUCCCACAAAAAACUUAAGGGUAAUUUAGCUUGAGCUAGAAGUGUAAGACCUAACUCAACAAUGUGCCUGUGCUUUCUCUCAACUACCCCAUUUUGAUGAUAUGUGUAGGGAUAAGAGUGUCUGAAAAUAAUUCCAUUUUGGUUCAAAAAAUCUGUGAAAGCUCGAUAUUCUCCCCCCCCCCCCCCCCCAGUCUGAUUGCAACUUUUUAAUGGGACAUUGGAAUUGUUUUUCAACUUACACUUUGAAGAGUUUGAAAAUUUGUAAGGCUUUUGAUUUCAGUUUCAGUGGAUAGAUCCAGGUAUAUCGACUGAAAUCAUCAACAAAGCUGAUGUAAUAAACAUAACCAGCUCUGGAAGGAGAAGGGGAAGGACCCCACAAAUCAGUGUGAAUGAGUUCAAGUAUUUGGGAAGUUUUGGUUUCAGUUGCAGGGAAGUGCAGUCUAUGAACUUUACCCAUUUGACAUGCCUCACAUAUUUGUUGUGCAGCUUGCUUAAUAAUGGAAGUAGAAAUAUUGAUAGACUGAUCAUUCUUAAGUAAAUGCACUAGUACAUCAUAAUGAGGAUGACCAAAUCGUCUAUGAAACAAGAUGACCUUAUUAACUGAUUCAUUACAAGGUAAGAAAGAAUUGACAGCAGUUUGAUAACAAGCUACAGACUUUGAAUGUUUAUUCUGGACAUCAGUUAAAACGGGAAAUUGUAGAUGACAUGUAGAAAGCAUAGACAGAGGCUUGUUUGAAGAAAUUUGACUCAAGAAAGAAAGAGGAGAUGACUGAGAUGACUGUAACAGCAACUUGUAUAAUCCUUUUUCAGCAAGGCCUUGCAGAAGUACUUGUCCCUUCAGUGAAUCCUUUACAUAACAUACAUUACCAACAAAUUCAAUGGAAAUGUUAUUAUCAGUGGUUAGCUUGGAUAUACUUAUUAAGUUCUUAGUAAUAGAAGGAACUAACAAGAUAUCCUUAAGUGCUAUAGGUGUGUGUUUGUGGGCAGCAUUAAGACUUUUAUGGCUAAAGUAAGCAUCACCAAUAUGAGUAAUAAUCAAACCUUGUCCAUUGCCAAUAGUCAGCUGAUCUAGGCCUCUGAACUCUUCUCGCACAUGCAUAUUACCCAUGUUAUUUGUAAUGUGAUGUGUGGCCCCACUAUCCAGAUACCACCCUUCAUCUGAUGAACCUUCAAGGUUAGCAACAUAAGCUUCAGGAAAAGUAAAAGCAUCAGACUGAUAAGAAUAAACAGGUCAAUAAUUCACUAGUUGAUAGCUCGAGUUAACAUCUGCAGCUUCAUAAGAGUCUUCAACUGUUGACUGCUGAUAAGGAAAUGACUCAAAAUUAGCCAUAUAAGCAGCCUUUGAUCCCAUCAUUUUACCUCUGCCAAAAUGCUUAGGAAUGUAAUUAUCACCAUAUCGAUACCAGCAAGCAUCAGCAGUAUGACCUUGCUUAUGACAUAUUUGGCAUAUAGGUGUCAGUUCAUUAUGUUCACCAUUAGAAAUAUUUUGAUUAUGUGCAGGAGAAAACAUAUUUCUGAUGUGUGGUGGUCUGUGAAAAUGUUGAAACUGAUUUUUGCCAAAACUUGCAGCACCAUUUCCUCUACCAAAACCACCAAUAGCACUAUUACCAGCUGGAAAACCUCUAGGAUAAGAAGUAGAGACCAUGCCACGACCAAAAUACUGACCUCUUCCUCUAUAUUGACCAUUAGAACCAUUAACAAAAGUAUUCCUCCUUGGAAAACCUCUCAUAUGCGAGGAAUUUGCAUAAUUUGCAUUCAUCAUACUAUAGUUGGCAUUAAACAUAGCCUGUGGAUUCUGGUUCUGUUCUAAACGAGCUUCAUGUGUUAACAACAGUGCAUAUGCAUCAUCAAAGUUCAUUUUAUUGGCUGUGAUUAUGGAAGCCAGAUCCAAAUAACCAGGUCCUAAUCCAUUAAGAGUUCUUAUCAACAGAUCUUUUUCAGUUAUAUUAUCACCAGCACAAGCAAGCUUAUUCACAAGAGUUUUCAUUUUUUAGCAAUAUUCUUCAACUGGCAUUGAUUCUUUUCUCAAAGUAUCCAAUUCAUAUCUAAGUUGCAUUAUUUUUGCUUCAGAUUGAACUCCGAAUUGUUUUUCAAUAGAUCUCCAAACAUCAAAGGAGGUAUCAUAAUUGAGAACUGAGCUUAGAAUACCUUCACUUAUUGUUGAAAGAAGCCAGCUAAGCAGAGUCUGAUCCUGAGCUCUCCAAUUAACAUAAGCUGGAUUCCCAACCUUCUCCACAGAUCCAUCAGCUCUUGAUUGAGAUAGAUAUUGUUCUGGAGUAUUCUGACCUUCUGAGAUUAAUCCUUCAAGUCGAUUUCCUCUGAUUGACGUCAGUACUUGUUUGCGCCAAAGAAGAAAAUUUGAUCGAUUGAGUUUUACAGUUGCAGCAAAAGUAAAUGAAGUUUGCGUAGAUUGAAAUUGAUUGAUAGUUGAAUGAAUUUGAUUAGUUGUAUUGGAACUAGCCAUAGUUGGCUCUGAUACCAUGGAAGAAAGUUAAAAGCUAUUUGUUUCAAGAGAAAAUUUACAGAGGAAAAUCAGAGUUCUUAUUUCUUGAUUAUUUGAUUACACAUAACAACUGAUCUAAUGCAGCUUAUAUACUCGAAGCUGUUUACAUACACAUGCUAAAGAAACUAGUAACAAACAUUAACAACUUAUGCUGACUUGUCAAUACCCGUAACUACUUCUGCUCAUCUGGCACUGAUGAGCUGGCACUGAUGAGCUGGCACUAUUGACUUGCUCACUAACUGAGACUGAGAACUUCUUUGCCUUUCUAUUCUUCAUAAACUCAGCACAAUAAGUUUCCUUAACAUCUUGAUUCUUAUGGUACGGUAAUAUAAUCAAUUUUACGAAAAAAGAAAAAUAGAAAAUUGUAAAAUUACCAGGAAAAUUAUUAAAAAGUAUUAUUAUCUAUUGUGACAUCUGGUUUAUUUGGAAGUUAAUAUAAACCAUCUUUGGAUGGAUUAGAAACUGUCACUCAGAAAUUCAAGAAGGCAGAGUCAAACUUGGACACUCUAAAUUAAGAAGCUGGGAGCAUCCCUUAUCCAUGGAGUUGAUGCAACUGAAAUGAGGCGUCAUCCUGAAUUGAGAGAGCGGAUCGUUGAUAGAAUUAUCUUCAAAUUCCCCCAUGCUGGCUUUUCUGGAAAGGAAGACAACAAUCAACUUAUUCAAUGAGCUGCUUUAAAAUACAGUUCCUUGUAGAAAUUUUGUGUUUCUUCUGCAUUGCUUACUAAUCUGAAACUUUCAUUUCUUUUGCAAUGAUCCAGCUAUUCACUGUCAUCGUUUGAUGUUAAUACGGGGAUCAGCAACUCAUGCUUUUGAAGAUUUCAUGGAUAGGAUUGAAACUUAAUUGAAAAUCAUAGUUUCCAAAGGGGAAUUGCUAAAUUGCUGAUGAAGAAAUUAUAGUCUGGUUUAGAUUUAGAUACAAGUUGAAAGCGAAAACCCAGCUUUGAUUUUAAGGGAUCUGGGAUUUGGAUGACUCUUGCAUAUAUAGGAUAUUUUUGUAAUGUUUGCUUUCAAUGGUUGAUUACUUGCUAGUGAGGAAUUUCAGAGUGACGAAAAAUGCAGAGUCCUGUGGAAACGUGGGUCGAUACACUACAGUGACAUGAAAAUGGUUAAAAAAAAAAGAGUGAACUUGCUUAAUAAAGUGAUCCGUUUUGCUAAAAAAUUCAAAACAUUGUAGUCUAGAGUUCCCUGUGAUAUUUUAAAAAUCACUAAUUCUGAAAAUGCUGGCUCGUAUACCUGUUCGAUGAUCUUUCUUCUGGUAGUCGCAGAAUGCAUAUGAGUCUUGUGGAAGGUUUCUUGAAAUGCAAGUGGCAUGCUGAGUCGUAGUUGUGAAGUUCAUGUAACCCACAAAACAACUGCUCCAUUUCGCGACUGGAAUAUCGAGGAACUUGCUCCCAAACACUGUUUGUCAUCAAUGUACCCUGUCAACCUUAAAAAAAAAAGACUACCCUGGUUACAACAACAAGUGAGGAGCUGGUUUGAAAUGUGAUGAGCCCUUCCCCUUGGGAGAGUGCAGUACCUUCAUAUUUGGAUUCUAUCGUGCUCGCAAGAGAGUAAUGAGUUAUGGUGGAUUCGCUAACAAAAGACAUCAGCCGGUUCAAGAGAUUCCAAUCCAAGUGCAGAAGGAUGGAACUCCAUUUGACUCGAGAUAUGCUAAUGCAAAGUCAUCCACUGGUAUGAAUGAAUUUCCAGCCUGUUCGAAGUUUGAUGGCAGCGGCAUGAGUUACUCUGUUCGUGAAUAUCCUAGGUUUGACAGAUUCAUACAUCCUCAAACAAGUUUCACUAGAAAUAUGACUGACCAUCCAGCAUAUAAGAGACUAGCUUUGAUGAGUAAUAUACAAAGCGAAAAUGCUAGGUCCCAUAAUGGCCGCUUCAAUAGUUCCAUAAUUCUGUGUGAAAGGUAUAUCGCAGAAGUACCAGGAUUCCAAAGAGAAAAUGCGAGGAUUUUGUAUCCUAUGGAUGGAAGUAAUUUAAAAGAAAGGUGCAUCAAUUUGUUUGUGUAGCAUACUGUAUGGCUAGAGAGUUUCAUGCUCUUGGUCUUCGCAGUUUUCUUAUUUGUAUGGUUUCGUUUUCUUUAUUUUUUGCCGACAAAUAAACAAAUCAACUUGCAAUAAAAUAAUAUUAAAAUACACUAAAAAAGCUCAAAUGCCGACAAAUUCCAGGUUGUUCAGUUCAAAAUUAAUUCUAUAGUAAGUAUGAAGAAUAAAAUAUAAACAAUCAACCUGCAAGUUGAAAAUUCUGCAUUCUUAAACCAAUGUCCAAACAGGGGUAAACAUGUCUGCAAACAUAAACAAUGAUCAAACACUGUUUGCAAAAGCAUCAAUCUGCUUUGUAAAUUAGACCUGCUGGUGUGAUAUGGCGGAGGCUGCGGUGAACUUUGCAAUAGAGACCUUGGGUCCUUUGCUUGUCGAAGAAAUCAGAUUGUGGGGAGGUGUUAGAAAAGAAGUUCAAAGUAUCAAAAGCGAACUGGAGAGUCUCAGAUCUUUCCUCAAAGAUGCGGAUGCAAGGGCAGCAGUCGAAGAAUUAGAAGGAGGCGGUGAGGAAAGUGUCAGAACUUGGGUGAAACAACUGAGGGAUGAAGCUUAUCGCAUUGAAGAUGUGAUCGACGAGUACACACUCAUGGUGGCAAAACUCCCUCAUGGGAGUGGCCUCGUUGGUGUUCUCCAUAGAAUCAGUCGUUUCAUAAAGAAGCUGAAGCUGCGGCGUGGAGUUGCUACUGAGAUUCAAGAUAUCAAAUCAGCGCUUGCUGAUAUAAAGCGAAGGGGAGAAAGCUAUCGAUUCAGAUCUAUUGAUGAACCAUCGAGCAGUGGAACCAGAAAUGUUAUCCCACAUGACUCUCGAGUUCGUUCCUUUUUCGUUGAAGAUGAUGAAGUUGUGGGCAUCGAAUCCAUUAAAGAUAAAUUGAUUGAUUUGAUGGUGAAUGGCAGAUCCGAACGUUCAGUGGUCGCUGUGGUGGGUGAAGGAGGAUUAGGCAAGACCACCCUUGCCGGAAAAAUUUUUAACAGUGAAGGUUUAAAAACUCACUUCAAUUGCCGGGCUUGGAUCACCGUUGGGAAAGAAUACAAAAAAAAUGAAAGAGUUUCAUCGUGUAGCAAACCAGCCUGCUCCAGUGGAGAUACACGACAUGGAAGAGAUGGACCUGAUCACCACGCUGAGGGACCACUUGAAGGACAAAAGUUACAUGGUUGUGUUCGACGAUGUUUGGAAGAUUGAUUUUUGGGGAGACGUGGAGCAUGCUUUACUUGAUAGCAAGAAAUGCGGCAGGAUAAUUGUCACAACACGGCACACGAAUGUCGCUAAGUAUUGCAAAUCAUCUUCCUCUGUUCACCUCCAUGAGCUUGAAACUUUGCCUCCAAACGAGGCGUGGAAACUUUUUUGUAGAAAGGCGUUCGGUCGUGUGCUGAACGGAGAGGACUUGAGUCAUUGCAGUAAAACUCGACGCAUUACUAUACAGAGAAGUAUUGAUGACGGUGCUUUAGAGAGAAUCAAGGACUCGAAGGUCCGUUCUGUUUUUCUUUUCAAUGUGGAUAGGCUGCCCGACUCUUUCAUGAAUGCAAGUAUUGCCAAUUUCAAGCUCAUGAAAGUACUAGAUCUGGAAGAUGCUCCUGUAGAUGACCUUCCUGAAGGAGUGGGGAACUUAUUCAAUUUACACUACUUGAGUGUGAAAAAUACAAAAGUAGAAACACUUCCCAAGUCCAUUGGAAAUCUUCUCAGUUUAGAGACUUUGAAUAGGAAAUAUACUUUGGUGAGAGAACUUCCAGUUGAGAUCAGGAAUCUUAAAAGGUUGCGUUAUCUAAUGGUGUAUCAGUACAAUUAUACCUCUAUAACAGCAGAAACAGCAGCCAGAGUACGCGGGGGCUUUGGGUCUCUAACAGCUCUGCAGAAGUUGUCUACUAUAGAAGCUGACUCGCAAGUGCUUAAGGAGCUUACGAAGCUAAGGCAGUUAAGAAAGUUGGGCAUUAGGCCCCAAAAUGGAAAUGGCAAGGAUCUGUGUGCUUUGAUUGCAAAUUUGGAAAACCUAGAGUCUUUAACAGUAGGAAUGACAAGCAAAGAAGAAAUACUUGACUUGCAAUAUUUGAGUAGUCCUCCUCAAUAUCUGCAGCGUCUCUACUUGAAGGGGAAUAUGAAGAAACUGCCGGAUUGGAUUUUUAAACUUAAAAAUCUAAUCAGAUUGGGUUUGGAACUGUCGGGAUUGACUGAGGAGCCAAUC
rnacentral:lncRNA from 1 species